rnacentral:lncRNA from 1 species
CCGUGUAGAUGCAUGACCGCCGCCGUCGUCGUCGCCGCCACCACCGCGCUCUCUCUCCCGAACUCGCGUGCGCUCCGCACCCGAUACCGCCGCAGUCACAGUCGCCAGUCAGUACGCCGCUAACCGCUCCGAACUGCACCACUCGCGGCGACCGUCACACGGUUGUGUCGUUAUCUCGUUGUUCGCUAUACCAUUUAUUAUUGUACCGCUCGAGUGUUUUAACGCCACCCAUUAACGCCGCUCACCGAAAAUGCCGUAUAUUCCAACGACCGUUUCGGGGUUUUCGUCCGGUUAGGUCGCAUUGUUCUUCAUCGACGGGUAAACCGUCGCGUCUUUUGCGCCUUCGCGUGUGUCGUGUUAAAUGUUCGUGAACCACCGUCGGCAAUUCGGUAGCGCGGCAACCACCGACGGGCACGUUCGGCCGAAGGCGAUCCCGCCGGGACACUCGUUCUAAGGUAACAUUUAUACUAUUAUGUCCGUGGGGCCGAUUCGACUCUCUCGCAAAAGCCUCGAACUCUUUGCGGGCUCGACGUAACCCCUUGUCUUUUCAAAGUUGCAUCGUUUUAAAGCGUUAGCCAACAGAUUGUUAAGGUACGUGGUACAAUGUUCCGUUACUGUAUACUCGCUAGUACACGUCGAAACAUUAAGAACACGGACCCCGCGUUUUUUCACGUAGAUCGUCGUGAUGCGAUACGUCUUGCGUUUGACGAAUGUUCGUAUCGUCUUUUGCCAUUCGUCUCACCAUCUUUUGCCGGGCUUUCAUAUACUUUAGGCUAUGCUAGUGUAGCGCGAACCUUCCGGAAGCAAUUAACGCCGAUGAUAUAGUCGAGUUUUCCUUUGAAUUGUUCUUUUCUCGUCCCGUUUUCGUCACCAUAAUAUGGCAAGAUUUCACUUGGUGAGUUGACAUUCUCAACCACUGGUCUUUUGAUCGUGAUUGUUUCGUAACGAGUUUUAAAUGUCACGGGGGUUCAAUUCGCAUUAGUCACUUUAACAUUAUAAUAGUACCGUUUUAAAUAGUUUAAUAAAAACAUGAUUACACUUUCAAGUUGGUAUCUAAUUUAUAAGGGUCGAAAUUAAAUUCGUAUUUUGUAAAUUUCAACACGUCAUGACAAUAUGACAUGCACAAUUUAUCUGUGAUGCUUUGAAAAGUUGUGCUCAUGACCUAUCGGUAUAGUCUCAUAAUUAUAUCUAUACACAUUAUACCCAAUAAUGAAUAUACAAAUACACGCUUCGUUUGCAUUUUACACGUUUAUAGCCCUGUGUAAACUUCUCUGUUCAAACAAAUUGAAUACAUUUCAAGUUUGUAUGCGUUUUUACUAUACUCUAAAAUGUUCAAGAGAACGAAUAGGAGACAGUCUUUACCAAUAUUGAUGUAAAUGAUAAUGGGAAUUUCUUAAAACCAGCCAAUGACCGCUCGAGAAAUAUUAUUCAUAUUUGCAUUACAUAAAUUAUUUAAAUCUAAAUACGCGCAAUUAAGUUAGGUACACACGUUUGAAAUUCAGACUGCGUACUGCCAUUUUUAAAGCAAACACAUUCAGGUCCUGCUUGGCUGCUUAUCAAUAUAUUAUAUUAUAUAAUUUCGGUACUUAUAAACAUAAUAUACUUUGGCUAUUAUUUGAUUUCCCAGUAGAAUUUUAUUUUAUUAUUGCAAAUCUUUCUAUUGAACCAGGUCAGUUAGGUAAAUAUGCUAUCGGUUCAAGUUUCUAGAUAUAACAUAAUAUUGUAUAAUUCUUGAUGCACAAGUUGAUACUUAAUUUGUACGGUAUCUACAAUGACUUACAUAAAUUAAAAUACAAUUUAGCAUGCAGUAUUAUGAAUCGAAAAUGACUUCGUAGGGGAAGUUUAAAAAUUAUUCAUAUUUGGAAAACAAAACAAACGAAAUAGCUAAUGUAGUGAAGUUAUCCUCGAAAUAAUAGGUUAGAUAGUAAUGCGCGGAUCGGUUGUUAUUCGAUAUUUAACGAGUUAUCGUGUGAUUAUUAUUUUUUUUAUACGCGAUUUCAAUUGAACUAAAAUAUUGUGUUAAUGAUUAUGCAUUCCGUCUUAAAAAGGAAUUUCAAGAAUGUAAAUUCGUCCAGCAAUUAUCGAUAUAAUACGCAUGUCUAUAAUGUACAUAUGUACCUUUAGGUGUUUCGUUAAAAUAGUUUAUAUCGGUUGAUAGGUACUAUAUUAAAUGUUACAAGUAAAUGUGAUAUUAGUGCGCCCGCAGUGCCUUUUUCAAUUCUGCCGUCUUAAAUUCGUCAUGAAAAAUAAUAAGGAAGAAUAUUUUACCCCACGUCUCCCUCCCUUUCCCACCCGUGCCUCCGAAGAUGCUUUUAUCACGAGAUUGAUAAUUUACUCGCGAUGUGUAUAGUAUUACGUAUCGAAAUCGAACGCACAUUCUAUAUUACACCUCCAGGCCAAAUGGAAGCUCCUACUCGUUUCCAGCGAAAAAAUUAGUUUAAAAUAUAAUUAUUACUAUCGAAACCGGCGGCGUACGCUUUUUACUUAGUCAUGUAAGCCGUAUAGGUAUUAUUAUUAUUAUAUUCGAUGAACCAAAAUGCGUACCUAUGUAUUUCGAAAUUUUUAAUAUCGAAUGAUAAUAUUAUAGCGUUAUUAUGACUGACAGCUUAUUUAUUGCGAGUUAAAUGUCAGAAUAUAGUGUUCGGAUAUAUUUUGUCCCAGAAAAGAACGGCUUAUAUCAAUUGUGUGUAGUUUUCAAUUAAUUCAAAUUCAAUUUUGAAAAUUCAUACUCUUAUGCCAUUUAAACUAAAAAUCGACUUAAGCGUUUCUUCUACGGAACCAAAGGUAUAAAUAUAUAUAUAUAAUUAUAUUAUAUUCGGAUUUAUUCACACGUGUAGUGUAGGUAAUUUGGGAUUUGGUAAGAGAUUCGAUUCCUGCAAAGAUUUAUCGAAAUCGUUCGCUAUUCGAAUUGACCACAGUCAAUAAAAUAUAUAUAAUAUUAUGUUGUAUUUUUUAUUAACAAAUAAGGGUUUUUUUUUUUUAAAAAAUUUGAAUAAUAAUAUUUAAAGGCAAUGUUGAUAAUAUUUUAUAGUGUUUUCAUAAUCUGGUGAACGCGUGUAGUUUAUAAUCGGGGCUUGAAAUUUUAUGCAAAUGUACGUUUGUUAUCGAAAAUUCAUAUUCUGGGUAACCAAGUAAAAGCUCGUAAGUCUCUUUUAACGAGUAUAAAAAAAAAUUGUCGCAAGUAAACUAUUACUAAUAAAACUGAAAGGAGAAUCAAAAAUUACCCUCCUCCCCAAUGACACCGACUAGAUUAAAAAUGUUACACGAAAGUUUCUAUAAAGUUUUUAGUUGGACUUUUUUUUUAUACAAAAGUUAUUUACGUAAUAAGAGAAUACAAAUUAAAUUUGUUUCGUGUUACAGAUUCUAAAUAAAAAAACUGUUCAGAGCAUUGGUAUUAUUGUAUAAUAUUUUAAUUUUUUUCUAUAAUUAUGCAUAUUCUGAUUGGGUAAUUUUAAAUAGUUUUUUACAUUAUGCUAGUUCUUUACAUAUUUUUUUCAAUAUAAGAUACAUUUUAUUUGAGAAGAUAUUAUAAAAAGGCAAAUUUGCGUUCAGCAGGACCAAUUUUGUGCUGUUAGUUUUAUUACUUUAAUUAAAUUUGCCUAUUAGCAAACUUUAAGUUGUAAGAAUAUUAUCUAUGGAACUACGUCAAUUUUUUUCGAUAUUUUAAAUAAUGUCUAAACGAUACGUACAAAAUAAACAUUUUUAAAUUGUGAUAUUUCACCUCGUAUUUUACAUACAUAUAUACGCUUAAAAAUAAGAAUAUCGAUGAAGUUGCACAGAUAAUUUUCUUAUCUUGAAGUUUGGUAAUAAGUCAAUUCACUCUAAUAAUAAAUUUAACAAUACAAAGUUGUCUCUGCUGAACGAAAAUGUGCUAUGUCGUGCGUCCUAAGUCUGAAGUUAAAUUUUGAAAUUUAAUAUUUUUUCUCCAUAUUUUAUCAUUAUAAACCAUCACCAAUUAAUUAUUAUUUAUAAAUUAAAAAUCCAAAAAGUAAAAAUGUUAAGGUCCAUGUUUUUAUUUGUAUAUGAUUUGCUGUUGAUAGAACGUUUUAAUGGCGUGUAGAACAUUGUUUUUGUGUGAGGCUCAACCAUUUACGGCACUUACCACUAUCACCAACACCAAUUCUUUUAUGAACAAAUCAGUAACAAAUUGUUAUUAAAGUAAUUGCUUAUAACUCUCUGUUCUGUGGUUCUACAGGCUUACGUCUACAACCGUCCACGACCCACGAUUUUAGUUGCGGCACGGGCCUUAAAUAUAUUCUUGGCCACGCCGCUGGAGCGUAUUAUUAUUGUACGUUGGCAACCUCUAAAACUGCGCAUUUAAACAUUUGAAAGUGCAUAUUUCAACUUUUCUGAGUGCAUAAAGUUCCUAGUUCGCAGUUUAAUAUCGUAAUCGUAUUAUAAUACAUACUUGGUAUCGGUGCUUUAGUUUAUUAACGGUUCGUAAUUAUACGGUUGCAUGACACGCUUACUAAUCCAACAAUUUUAUUGCAAACGCCAGCCAAAAACAUAUAAUACUCGGAAAUAAUAAUCACCACGGACGUCGCAUAAUAAUAAUAUUUUGCGAAUACCUCGAGUUAAUUCAAAUAAGUGAGUUUGUAAUUUAAAAAAAAAAAAUAAAAUUAUAUUAUUAUGAUAUUUCCUUCGACUCGUUAUACCGAUACCUACCUGCCAACGUAGUAGUUGUAUUCGGUGCCGUCGCCGCCAUUCCGGUUUUAUUCUAAAUAAAGUCAUUAAAAACAAUAAAGCCAUUAUUUAUACGAAAAAAAAAAAAAAAAAAACCAGUUUACCCAGGCCCGGUAGUUUGCAACCCCUCAAUUGUUCGAUAUACCUACUCAUUACAGUCUACGCCUAUAGGACACGCAGUAAUUAAGUGAUACCUAUAUAUUUCCUUUUAUUUUUCGACGUCCUUUUUUUUCCCUUUUUUUUCCGAACGACGUCUAAAAUUUAUCCACAUCCGUGUGUAUAGCUGUAAGUUUUCAAGCUUGAUAAAAUAUGUAUUUUGAAUAAAUAGUGCGUUUAUAUUAUUUUUUCCUAUAAUAUUAUAUUAUAUAUAUAUACCUACGAUAUUUCAGUUUUCGUUAUAAUGAAUCCGAUAAUCAAAGGUUUAAGAAAAAUAAAUCGUGAAAUUUUAAUGAGCACUAAAACUUAUUUGUGUAUGAGAAAGUUGUAAUAUAAAUCGAGUACCUAACUCGAAUUAUUAUAAUACGAUUCACUGCUGUUAUAUAUAAGAGAAACUUCAAUUACUAUACAGCAUUGUUAUUGCAGGGGUAUACUUAAAACUUCAUAAAUUUGUUUUUACGCUUUAUAAAAUCACCGUAGUAUUUUUAUUAUGAAAAGAAACUUUUAAAGUUUGAUAUUGUGCCGAGUAUUUUUUUUUAUCUUUUGAUUUUUAUUUAUAAAUAUAUAUAUAUAUAUAUAAUAUUCAAUUGUUUUGUUGAGCUUUAUGUGUAACGUCGCGCGUAUAUUGUUUAAUAUGAACAUGUUUUCGAGCUUCGUUUGAUUCUAAUCAUAAUUUAUGGCUUACGGAUCAUCUCGAGUUGGUUAGGUAAUACAUAAAUUGUAUAGGCAAUAUAAUAUAUAAGGUGUUAACGGCAAUCUUGUCAAUGCGUAUACAGAAAUUAUACGAAUCUCGACAAAAUUUGAAUUAGUUUUACUAAUAUUUCUUUCUUAAGCACCUCGGCUUUAUACACUAUAAUAUGGUAAUGACUUUUAUUGAAUAGAUUAAAAUUCCUAAACGAGUACCCAUAGUAUAUAAUCUUGUACACUCACAUAAACACACACACACACAUACGCGCGCGUACACAUAUAUAAAUAUGAAAAAAAGUGUUAACGUUUUUUUAAUUUUUUCACCGCAUCAUUUUGAUCCCGUGUAUUAGUUUGCGUACAUAAACUAUAUAAAGAAUUAAAAUUCGAUGGUUUUAAAUUACUCGAAAUCCUGUUUUUAUCAUAUUAUUUACCGCGCUCAACAUUAAAACCAAUAAGUAUUAUAUUAUAGAAGCCGAAUAGAGCUGGUUUUAGCACGUACGUAUAAUAUAACAUAUAACAUGUAGCAAUUACAGAAAGAUCCGCUAUAUACAAUAAAAAUAAAUAUUUUGAACGCCGUAAAAUGCAUUUUAAAAUGUCACACCGUGUUAAUACCUAACUAUAAUAUUUGUAAUAUUUGCAUCUAAUUUUCGAAAACAACCACCGAUGGCACGAUACAAUAAUUUUUUUUUUAUCUACAAAGAUUCUGAAUAUAAUUGAUUUUUUUUUUUUGUCAACUAUUGUAUAAAACUUAUUUAACGACAAUAUUUUUUGAAAAAUGUUACCCUUAUUCUGUAUACCAUAAACACAUAAUAUCAAAUUUCAAUUUUAAAUAGUACUCUGCCUCCCUACUUUCAAAUCUGAUAUUUAUUUAUUGAAAUUAAUCAUUUUCGUGUACCUAUAACGCGCGCUUAAACAUCACAAUUUACUCUGUAAUUUAUAAUACAUCGAAAUGUUUUAAAAACCGUACAGUUGAUCCUGCAAAUGCAAAUAUAAUAAUUUUGUAGUAAAAUUAUUCGGGUAGGUUUACUAUUAUUCCGUUCAACCAUGAUAUACAAUUUUUAACUUAACCUGGCCUCCACAUUUGUUCAAACCAAAUUCGAAAAGAAAAUAUUUUUCUAAAAAUGUUGUUACGCAUAACAUUAAUAAUGGAUUUUUCCAUUUAUGAGUUAUAACAGUUUAAAAUGCAUAUCGGGGGAGGUCGAAAAGGGGGGGGGGAGGUUACUUAUCGAAAAUAAAAAGUUAUAAUAAUCAUUGAAGCUAUAAUCCAUAAAGAGUAGGGUAAACGUUUGAAAUAAUGGAAAAAUAAAAUUUAAACAAGCUUCGUAAUGAUCGCAAAAUUUAAAACAGAUAUCCAAUUUAUAUUUAAAAUCUUCUGAGAAAAUCGCUGUAUCCGUAAUAAAGAAAUAUCGCUGUUAAAUAGUAUAAAGAAUUCUGACGGACACGGUGUUAUACAAUAUUAUGUUGAAACGAAUUGCGGUGAACAUCGAGUAUAAUUUUGACGAUAUUAUCAUCGCGCCGCAACGGGUGGUUUUCAAUGCGCUUCCGAGACAUCUCUACGUGACCGCAUGUACCAUUAUUGUGUUAACAUAUAUUAUUGUAUUAUAUUAUGUAUAUUGUACAGUCGUGUAAAUGGCGUACGGUAGGUGAACCCACCGCUGUCGUUUGGAUUUCGUGUGAAAUAAUAUUUUAUAUUAUAACCAUAUCGUUGAAAGCGGAUAUUUUUCGUAUAAUUUGCCACGUUUCGCCAUGUGUCUGCAGACGCCGUCAGACCGACCCAUGCUGCGGUGAUCGACUUUAUAUAGUAAUAAUAAUAUAAAAAUACCACCCGAAAUGUAAAAAUUAUUUUUCUAUUCAAUUGGAAUAAAAACGUAACAAAAAAAAAAAAAAAAAAAAACUGUAGGUAGGUAGGUAGGUACCUAUACUCUGUACGUAUAAUAAUAUAAUACAGCCACUCAUUAAUCUAACAAUGAUGUUUCUGAUCAAUUGUCGACAAUUCAAUAGGUAGGUUUUCAUAGUUAACACAUGUAAUAAUAAUUCUUUAGGCACAUAGUAGCAAAUAUAAAAAACAUUUAUAUCCGUACGGCAGUUUAGAAAAACUACACAUGUUUAAUAGGGUGCAUGAUUUUUUUUUUUUUAACGUGAAUUAUAUUAUUAUUUUUCUAUUUAAUCUCCCCUCCCAGUGUUACUAUAACAUAUUAUAUAAUAAUGUAAUACUAUAAUUGUGUAUACCUAUUUAUCGAAGUUAAUCGGUUUCGAGUACGACGCACGCGUUUACACAUUAUAAUAUAGGUAUUUAGUAAAUACCUAAGUCACAGUAAAUUAAAAUAGUUUAAAAAUCGUACAUUUGAUCCUGUAAAUGAAAAUAUAUUAAUUUAUUAUAUUUUUUAUCUUCAUUUGUUAGGUGUUUUUUUACGCUCUAGUGUCGUAUCAUAUUAUUUUUUUGAUUAGCUAACGAUUUAUGUUCUAAAUAAAGAUUUUAAGAUUCGGAGCGUAACAAGGGAUCUGAUGGUUUUACUAAAUGACGUGUGUUUUUGUAUUUUUUAGAUUCGGAGCGUAGCGAGGGAACUUUUGGUUUUACUAUGUGUAUUUUUUCUCUGUCUGAACAACUUUUCGAAAAGAAAUGUAUCAUUUUUUUUUAAAGUAAAAUUGUCUUUAGUUGGAAAAAUGAGAGAGGUUAUUUUUUGAUUUUCCAACAGGUUCUCAAAAUAAUUGGGAAAAACAGAAACAAAAUUAUAGGUAAAACGGAAAAUAUUUACGCGGCGUUACCGAUUUCAUUGUUUUUAAUUUUUGUAAACUAAGUUUUCCACCAGAAAUAUUGUUCCAAUUAAAAAAUAACAUUAGACCUUUUUGUUGUAUUUUUAAUCUUGUUAGUGAGUAAAAAAGUCGUCUUUUGAUUUCCCUGUAGAUUAUUUUUUUAAUAAUUGAGCAAAACAGAAGAAAAACGUAGAAAGAACGGGAAAAAGUACAAAAAUGGAUUUAUUAUUUUCAAUUUUGGUUUUUUGUUGUAUUUCAGUAAACAUAUUCGUAGAAACUUGAAACUUAUACUUAAACAGAAAACUUAUACUUGUUUUUUCUAGACAUGUUAAUUUUUAUUUGUUAAGUACUCUGUAGAUAAAAUUGUCUAAUUGUCUAAACGAAAAUGUUUGAAAAUUUGAUAAGAGGUUCAUUACAAGUCGUUCUUCGUGGUCAAAAAAAAAAAAAAUAAAUAAAUAAUAGAGUAUUACAUUUAAAAGUGUUAAAUUUUAACAAAAAUUUUAAAUAUUUUAAAUAUUAUAGGCCUUUAAAAACAUGGAUAACCGAACUUUGCUUUCAUUUUUCGUCAGCAAUGGCCAUUGGUUGACCGUUCCUUACAAGGAUAAAUAACCUUAUGUAUCCUACCUUUUCAACUAUCCAUCUACAACGGUGAUACACCCGUCCUCGGUAUCACCUCUUUUUUUAAAAAUAAAUAACGUAUAAUAUGUAUAAACAUUAUACUUAACGAGCAUGUAAGUAGUUUUUUUUCAAUUUUAUAUGUACUUUAAAUUAUAUAUAGACUGUGGGAAAUCUUCAAGAUUAUUUUAAGUACAAUUUUGAUGAAUAAAUCAGUUAAUAAAACAAAUAAAAUUAUCUAUUAAUAUAAUAAGAAGUAUACAAAGUCAAAUAAUUGUUCAAAACAGAAAUUCGACUCCAGCUUAUUGAUCUUAAUGUAUGGAUAAAACGAAUCUCUUUUAAUCGCUUUAAUAUUUUUUUAACCUAUCUCUUAAAACGUUUAUUACGUAAAUUACUUUGAUUGUAACGAAUUUUCUGAUAUAAAUUACAUUUUACAUUUUUUACAUAAUAAUAAUAAUAAUAAUAAUAUUUCUUUGUAAUCUAUUCAUUUGAUAGGUAUUAGAACACGGUGUUCGAAGCCCUAUAAUAUAUACCUUUAGUGAAAUUAAAUACGUAGUUAUUAACUUUAUAACACAUAGUUUUUUCUAACUGAACGUGCGACAUUGCUGAAAAUAUGAUAUCGAAACGAAUAAAGCAAAAAUUGUUUUUAUUUUGAUAGAAUCUAAAAAAAAAACGAUUGGUGAUCGAAUUUCACGUGAUUUACAUAAUACGAGGUGAAAUCUAUACCGUGUAGUUUGUAACGACAUAGUUAUACAGUCGACUGACCAAUAUCUCUGUUUGUAGACGUUUAGAAAUAUGAUGUACAUUAUGACACGAAUGUUUGCGGCGGUGGAAACAAUAUUUGCAUAACGUGUUUUAUGGUCGUAUAGGUAUAUAAUAUACUCGUAUACCCAUGCUUUAUUCUUCGGUCCACAUCCCGCGUUCGUGAUAAUAAAUAACAACAAUGCCGGGCAUACACUACAAUAAUAAUAAUAAUAAUAUAUUAAUACACUAUAUUAUAAUAUAUAAUAUUAAUAAUACAAUAGAUCGUAGGCCCGAUGUUUAGAUUUAUUAUAAUUCCCAUUAAAACCGAUCGUACAAUAAUACGAGCCGCGCGGAGUACAUAAAUUAUUAUUUUUUAUUGGUCAUUCACUACGGAAACGAAACGGGAAUUAAACACAACUUACACGAAUUCUAUAAUGUUAUCAUCAUGACGAAUGUUAAAUAUUAAUCAACACGUGUCAGAACGCGAGAGCGAUUUCUCUUUGUAAUAAUCUACACGGCAUAUAGGUGUAAUACGUCUGUUACACUCGUACAUAAUAUUAUUAUUAUAGGUAUCGGCCGAGUGGCUAUAAUUUCACACGUGUUACCGUCUAUCCCGACCAAGAUGCCGCCGCCGGUUCGGUACUUUUCACACGUAAAUUAUUCUUAUAUUAUCGUUCGAAAUCCUUAAUAUGGGUACGUCGCGUGUUUGGACGCAUUGCGGGGUUCCUCAGUAGAUAGCUAUAUUGGCACACUCAAGCCCAUUAACCUUACAGUAUUAUAAACCAAACUUGCGCUGUAAAACUCCCCUGACAAUAAUCAUUUCGUAUGUACGCUGCACCAAGCGCAUUAUAAUUUGUUCGGUAUGUGUUUUUAAACUUUAAACUGUUAUUAUAAAUUAAAACAAAAACUGUCGGAAAUUUCAAUGGGAAUUCUUUCUCGCGGCGUAUAACGUAAAAUAAACGUUAAAUAUGCAUAAUAUUGCGUAUAGUACGUAAUAUAAUAUUAUUGUAUAUUAUAAUUUUCGAUUUUCCUGUCUCGGUUUAAAACGUUACAUCCGUCGCGUCGUCGUGAUUUUCCGAAAAAAUAAAUCGUCGCAAUCUGUGCAUUUCAAUGAUGGUUCAAUGAUGUUGUGCGAUUUAAAAAUAAUUUAUUAUUAGGAAAAAAUAAAGAAAAACAACUACGUUUUAAAUAACAAAAAGAUCAGAUUUUGAUUGAACAUCCGAAUGUUAAAUUUACCGGAGGCGACAACGCUCACUGUUUACAGUCGCUUUUAUCGGGACCGUUGUUAUUUUAAUUUAAUCCACGGGUUUAAGAUAACAUUUGAACAACAGAGAUUCCAAAUAAAAACACUUAAAUCGACAUUUGCUGUUUACGCGAAAAAAAAAUAAUGUAGAAAUGCAUUAGCUUUUAUGCUUAAUUUAUUAUAUAUUAAUAUAUUAUACGACGUGAUGCCGCCGUCGGGGAAUACUUAAAAACGCUAAAAGCAAUACUUUCGAAGGUACGUAAAAAAAAAAAAAAAAAAAAUCGAUGAAUAUACGGCAAACUACAAAUCCGCAUCUGUGCAAAUCCGCAGACGUGGGUGGUGGGUACGGAAAGAUUAUAGUGUAUAUACCAGCAGUGUUGGGAAAGUUUCUUUUUAAAAGGAAUCCGUCCCUUUAAUUUAAAUUUUUUUUUUUAUCGAUACCUAUAAUAAGUCCCAAAAUAUACUUAUGUAUUUUUUUUAUUUUUAAAUUAAAAAUACUUAUAUUUAAUUUGCUUCGGAAACGUACAUACUGUAGGUUUUCGUUAUACAUCAGCCAUUCGCGUACUUAAUUAUACAAUUUGGUAAUGUACGGGAAAAUUGUAAAAAACGAACGAAUAUUUGCGUUCACGUUUCCCAUAAAUAGGAACCUACUUGUUCUUUUAUUUUGAAAGCCGCGCGUUCCGCGAUUCUUUCCCGGAUAAAAGGAACGCGUUCUUCGUUCACAACUUUUGUUGUACACUCACGGAAUACAAGCAGACGAUCGUAAAACAACGAGUGUUUUUAUGCGCGGCGAUUGGCUGUGUAAUAUUUUAGAUAGCUUAUGAUAUAUGUAUUAACAUACAACUAAAUAUUUAUACGUCUGCGAUGUUGACAAUGCAACCCCGUAACCCGGUAAGAUAGCUCAAUGAAAAGUUUCGAUACGUUAAGCCGUAGAUUAAUAAUUUAUUGUAAAGCCUACAAUAAUAUCGAAAUUUGUCGUCGGGUCAUCCCGACGGUCAUUCACAGAACUCAUCUAAAAGUUUUACCGAACAAUAUCGGACGGGGUAAAGUCACGCGGGUCCCGAAAGUUUUGUUUUUCAAUUCUCGCGUUGUAUAAAACGAUUGUCCUCGUUGUCGCGGUGACCGAUCGUAGUACUCCCGUGUAUGGUAUAUAAAAAAAAAAAAAAAAAAUCGCCCGGCCAACACACAAUCGUAUACGUAUAUUUAAUACAGUGGUGUCGAUUUAUGCUCUUUACAUACUAUGUAUAUUAUAAUACAGUUACCGUUUGAAGUUACCGGUAUAUAAAUUAGCUUUUCGCGCCGUUGUUCUUGUUGUUGUUAUGAUAUAUAGAAUGACAAUAUUGUACACGCGCGCGUGUGUGUGUGUGUGUGUGUAUAGCGUCGGAGAGAAGGAACUACUGCGGCGGCGGCGGCGGGGAGGGAAGGAAAAACAUUCCGUGCGCAUUAUAUUCCGAAAGCCGUUCGUUUCGUAUUCGUAUACAUCUAUGUAUAUUACGCGGGUGCAGUGGCUGAAACGGGAGGGGGGGGGGAAAUAAAAGGGGAAAAAACUGGUGCGAUGACACUCGGCGGCGGCGUCAUGAUUUAAGACUCGGCCGGGCGCUCGCCGCGCGCGCACGCACCGCGGGUAUAGGCACCGCGUUAAUAUUUAUAAUGCGCUCCGUUCGAACGUCAUCCACAAAGGGCAAUUGUACCGGGUCUCCUUUCCCCGUAUAUAUUUUAUUAUUAUAUUUGUGUAUUUACGUCGCCCGCGGUACCGGGAAAAUCGGUAUCGUAGGUAUUAUACGCAUAUACGUGUAUAUACGUAACUGCGCGUUAUGCGAUUAAAUCUCCGGUUUGUUUCGUAUAAUAUAAUAACGCGUAUAAAAUGUUAUUGCGCGCAUUUCGUACGGCCGUAUCCGAUAUUAUAUUAUUGGCAACUCGGCACGGCAGCCGCGGCACCGGCGCGCCGCCGACGCUGCCGCGGUUUGUACGCCGCGCGACGAUACCAUCGGCGUCGGCCGCGAAAACGCGCGCGCGCUCCACUCGCCCGUACAGAUAAAAUAAUAUUAUUGUUUUAACGUCGCGCGCACGUGACAUCGCGUAUAUUAUGUAUACGUAUGCGUAUUGUACAUUAUAUUAUUGUCGUUGUUGAAAUACGGACCGCGGGCAGAUAAUAUCCUACAGCGGCCGCCGUCGUCGGUGCCGCGAUCCGCGGCGGCGAGUGUCGGAAAACUCGCGCGCGCUAACGGAUCCGAAGGCGGUAACGAAACUACAUCGGUUUUGGGAGGGGGGGGGUUCGGUGGUGUAGUGUGAUGAGGACUGGACGGACGGACCGCCACUUAUCCGCGUGUCGGCGCGCCGAACGGAAAUAGCGUUUAUUUUUUAUUUUUUUUUUUUUUUUUUUCCGAGGGGUAGUCAAAUCGAUUUCACUACCCCUCGGAAAAAUGAUUUCCCUGUUCUCGCCCGACCCCUUGCGCGAAAGUGCAAUGUAUAGUUUGGACGAUUCGUUUAGUAAUAAUAUUGGUGGGUUUACGCGGGUGACCGGAAAGAGUUCCAAUAAAUAUAGAGCCGCUUAUGAAGUAGUGAAUAUUUUAUUACGCAACGGAAAGACUUUUGUUCAAAUCUGUAGGUGACGUUCGAAACUAUCGUAUACUUCGAAUUGAAGUAAAUAAAAUCGAAUUUUGAACUGAAAUUUGAUUUCCCUGUCUCGCGUAUUUCUAUCGAAAAUAUUCAUAUAUCGGUUAAUAAUACUCGUAGAGACCUGCAUUUUUACAAACAACUUGUAUUGGCCUUUUCUAAACGUGGUAAAAUUCUUGAAAUAUUCUGACGAUAUCUGAACUAUUUGUAUGCAUUUUACAUUUUCUAGUUUGUUUUUUUUUUUUUUCGGAAUUUUUAUUUGGUAGAUAUUAUUAUUUAUGAAUAAAAUUGUUUGACCAAACAGAAAUUCUUGACAAUUUAUUUCGAGGUUCAUUGUAAGUUGCACUUAGUGGUUAAGUUAAUGGAGCUCAAAAUAGUGUUUCGUCAGCAAUGAUUUAUCGCGUCGUUGAUUGCAGACAUAAAUUAAAUAAUUUAAUUUAUCCGAACUUCCCAAUGACAACAGUGGCACACACACCAGCAGUAUUAUAGCUCUUUUUAUGUAUAUAUCUAUUGGUAGUAUUGGAUGUACUAUUGUACUUUUAGUACUACAAACUUCAACGUCGACUUUUGAUAUUUUUUCCAAUCAAUUGUUCAAUAGGACCGAAUGGGAUUUAUCGGAGUGUUUUCGAAAAGUUAUGAUAAGUUAUAGUAGUGCCGGCUUCACGUAUGUUACAAUUUCGUUAUUAAAUAAUCCGUACAGUUAACUCCUAUACGUAUAUAGUUAUAUACAUGUAUACGGUAACUUUGGAUUGCUGCUGUUGCUGUUCGCCACUUCAAUACAGAAAAUAAGUUUACCUAGUUUUUUUUUUUUUUUUUUUUACCUAUACAAAGUAUAUUAAAUCAAAUCAAACGGGCGCGGCGGCAUGAAGUGAAACGACAAUAAAUUCGCCUAGGGCCAGGUCCAAAACCGCUGUCUGGUUAAAUCCUUCACUGUGGGUUAUAAUGCACUACCCGACUGCGGCUCAUUUAAUAAUGACUUCAAAAUUGACUUUUGAAACGCCGUGGUCGUUACGGGCGACAAUGGAGCAAAAAACUCGAGACUCAUGCCUGUUUAUAUAUACGUACUAGUAUGUCGAUUGUUGUGUACACCGGUGGGUACUCAAAUGCGUGUAAUUAUAACGUUCAUAACGGAAUACGAAGCCGUAAAACCCAUAUGUUAAAUAAUAUAAAUGUUUUCGAAAACAUGCACUAAGUUUUUUUCCACGGCCGACAAUGCAAUCCGAUUAUUAUACGUAUAAGAUAUUGUACGCGUAAUAUACGUCAUACACGAGCACACAGCUGCGGUAUACGAACGAAACUUGUUACAUUAUUUACUGUUUUACACGCGCCUCUGCCUAGUACUUCAAAAGUUUUCUUCCUCCGAAUUGUUUUCACAUUCAAUCUGUUCCGUGUUCAUAAUAUUAUAAAACAAACGCGGAUCGAUUGCAAAUCGAGUUUAUUGUUAUUCACUGGGUAUUAUUGCAAAUGUUAUUGUUAUUUAUCGGUUUCUUUACUCCGCCGUUAUUGUUAUGUUAUCGGUCUACAGGAGCGCGGAGGCGCACAAAAUCACUGCACGGCGCACACGGACAAAUAUAUAAUUUACCUAUUGAACACGUGUAACACGUAUAUAAUUGAUUUAAAAAUAAAUUUUAAUUGAUAAUGAUCGAUUAAAAUUACGCGCUUUAUUGCACUUGGGCGUCCGUAAACACGGGUUCAAUAUUGAUAUUAAAUGUGACACAGUUAAACGUUUUACGCAAUUUAUUAUUUCGAGCGCACGCGAUCGAGCACAAUUUUUUAUAGACAUAAAAAAAAAAAAAAAAUAGCUCGACUAAAAUUAUUAUAAUAAUACGUAUCGCGUGCGCGCGCGCGUAAGCACGUUUAAUGUAAAAUGUAACCGAGAAUGUCCGUUGACGCAAAAUUAAUUAUAUUUUAUACCGAUAAGUUAAAUUGUACCACACGAAGACAAGUUUUUUUUUCUUCCCCCCCCUUCUCCCGCCCGACUUUACAGUUGUAUCCUAAUAAUAAUAUUAUAUAUGGUUUUGGUCUCGCGUGUAUUAUUAUUAAUGUCUCACCCGUCGGACCGAAUAUCAAAACGCCGCGUUCAAAAUCAAGUCUCGUUAUUAUUUCCGAGAACAAUUUAUCGUUUCAGAUCGAAAAGAUAAAUAAGUGGACAAAUAUAAAAAUAACCCAUCCGAAAAUUAAACAGAUAUUAUUUAUUCUACUAGUAACGAAUGUUCCGUCGGGAUUCCGCGACGACGACGACGACGACGACAACGGGGUGUAAACGUAUUAUAAUAUUAUUAUCGUUUCGUGUUAAGUAGCAGUCGUUCCCGAACCGAUAUAAUAUUUUAACGCCGCCGACACCGGCACACACAAUAUCCCGAUGGUUUUCGUUAAUAUUAUACUCUCGUUUUACGUCUACAGAAAAAAAAAAAACUCCUUUUUUUUCUUUAUUAUAAUGUUUUCGGGAAAAAACGAUAUUCGGUCCGGCGUCGGCGUCGUCGUCGUCGUAUUAUAAUAAUAAUUAUGCGCGUGUGUUUCUCGAGUCAAAACAGCGGGCACCUAUUAUUACAGAAUAAUAUUUAUGUAUCGUCUUUUUUUUCAAAUACGUAUAUUAUAUUUUAUUUUAUUUCGAGACGUUUCGGUACGCGUCGUGUACGCGCGUAUAAUAAAUUUCCCGAUUUCGAGAGAAAAUAAAAAAAACAACCCGUAACCGUGCGGGAUACGAAAACGCUCGUAAUGUCGCGUGUACGACGAUCGCGUGCGCCGACCGAGCGGAAAAAAAAAAAAAAAAAAACCGUUGCCCGGGUCUUGUCGCGCCGCUUACCGGCCCCGGGCCGUCGUCUGCGUCCUCGGGCGUUCCCGGACGGUGCGUACGCGGCGCGGCGGAAUCGUUAUCACAGACCGCGGCGGCGGCGAUUAAUGGAAACCCCCCCCCCCCCCCCGGUUUUCGACGCCGCCGCGACGCGUCGCGCGACUCCCGAGCCCGUGUACACGUAAUACACGUAUUAUUAUGACGUAUCGCUGUCGACGCGCGCACACGGCAACAUUGUCAUAAUGUCUCCGACGCAUGAUGCGUGCGCGCGCCCACACACGUUUACUUUCCGUGUCACCGCGGCGGCGUUCGUCCGCACACACGCGUACUCGCGAACGGUAGUGGCGCGCCGCCGCCCCGGGCUGCACGCGCGUUCCGUUUCUCCCGUGUACGUUUAGCGACGGUAACGGGGGGGAAAAACACACACACACACACGACGUUUCGCCGUUCGUUUUUCGGCGCGGCGUCUCUGCGGCCAUCCGCGAAAAUACCGCACGCGCAACAGAUUUCGCAUAAUAAACGCGCGUAAACGUAUUCCCGCCCGCCCGCCCGCCCGCGCGUACGCGCGUUCGAAACGGUGCCCGUUUGCGACAGGUUUGAUCGAACCGCGUUUUCGCGUCCACGAGAAUUAAGAAAAUAAUCGUUUUUCUCAACGUUCUACGCAACGGUCACUUAUUGCCGCCGCCGUAGGGGUCGGCGGCGCGCGCUUCGGAUGGAUAGGCGGAGAUUAGAAUGUUAUCGCGUUAGCCACCCUUUGGCAUUUUUUCCCCCGCCCGUCUUCCGCAGUUUAAUGUAUAUAUAUAUAUAUAUAUAUAUAUAUAUAUGUAUGUAUGUAUAGAACAUUUUCCUUUUCAGUGGUCCGGGGACGUUUUUGCAGCAAGAGCGCCGUCGUCGUUCGUCCGGCAUAAUCGAAUCGAAGGAGCCGGGGUCGGUAAACGGGGCAGAACGCGGAACACCGCCAAACCGACUUGGCGGUCGAAACGGAAAUACGUAUUGGUUAAUAAAAUUGUCCCGUUUGAGUUAAAUACUGUAACAACAGAAAUUAACGUUGCGCGACGAUCAAACUCGCGAGGGAUAAAUGCGAUUCGUGUUGCCGGCACAAUAUUAUACCGUACAAAUGUAAUUAUCACAACAUGUACGCGGGCUAAAAUCGCGAAACUUUGGACGAAACCCAAUCGAAAAUCAAGAAAAACGCCUUCUCGGGCGCAUCGCGGUGUAACGUUUACGCGACUAUAGGUCUGUCUUAUUCUAUACAUACGUAUAUAUAUAUAUAAAAUACAUAUCAACUGCCGUAGAGGAGGAAUCUCGCGGUCGACUCUUCCCAGACUUCCGGCCAGGAUGUUUGUCCACUUAAAAUGCUUUCCGCGUCGGCGCUAUCUCUUCGUCGGGGGUUAAGUUUGUGAAAUAGUCCGUCGGCGGUGUUUUUAAAUUCGCAUAUACUCUGUGUGCGCUGAAGUACGCUAUACGCAUAAGUAUAUACGUGUACACAUAGGAUUUUCGUUUGAACGUGAUGGUCAAUUUUCGCUUAACCCGAGACUAAUAGUACCCAUCCCGGACAACUGACGCGUGCGGUAAGUACAACGAAAACCCUAACCGCGCGCGGUUAUAGGCGUACACGGGCUCUGCGAUAUAUUAUUUGUUAUAUUAUUUGCGGGCGGCUCAAGUUAUUUUUUCGUAGUCGGCCAACCACAAUUAUUAGCCCCGACAACCCUUCUCGCUGCAGGCCUAUACGUGACUGCAAUCGUAAUCUCUCUCUCUCUCUCUCUCUAUAUAUAUAUAUAUGCAUACACAGGUACGACGUGACCUUAAGUAUUGACCGCGGUUAUAGGCAGUGUUGACCGCGUUAUUGUUACCAGUUUGGUGGAGCGCAUAUCAAAAUAUAAAUUUGCGUACCGUAAUCGAGUAGUUUAAAACCAAUUUAGUAUAGUGUUAAAAACGCAUACAAGUUAUUACAACGAAUAAUAUUAUCGAAAUAUUCGAAUAUUCGAUUAAUUGACCAUCGUCAGAGUGUGAACCGUUUGGGUCUCGGGUGUAUCGUUCGCCGAGUGACGAAUUUUCAAAAACGUAUACAUCGUAUACACGGGCGUGCGCAGACUUCAUUCGCAGGUUAUGCAAUAUGACGAAUAGGACCCCUACCAAAUCUAAAACCGUACCGAGUCACAUUUUAUUGAAAAUAUUAAAACAUAUAAAGUCCGAGUCUUUUUUUUAUCGGCACAAACGUUUCGAACCCAUCCGUUACUUCUCCAAUAUUGAUUUCCGAUGCCGAUUUGUUCGUCCAAUAAAUAUCAGCAUAAGUGAAUGUUGACGAUAUUGUAACGCGGUGCUUCUGAGUUUAGAUUUAACAAUAGGCAAUUUGAAAAAAGCCCGCUCGCGCGAUCGAUUUGUCACGGGUAUUGUUGAAAACUGUCGCAUUGCUUUGUUGAGGUUAGAAAACGUUGUUUUUUUCCCCUACCGUUUCCCGAUAACCAAUAAUCGAUGCAAUUGUUUUAGUCGAUGACCCUCUAAUAGAAGUUGUGUCAGACGUGUUUUUUUAAUGUGUUUAAUUUCACACGCAAACGAACUAUCUAAAUUGAAUUUUUCGUACUACACGAAGCCGCAAACUACGUGCGCGCGCCUAUGAUUGUAUACGACAUAAUAUAUUACGAUUUUUAUAAUUGGAUACACCGGAGAUGGUCGUGUGAAUCGUCGAUUUACGGCAGACACUGAUUCGAUCCGUUUACAUCACCUCCGAGUGAUUCGAUUCAAUGGAUCCACUCGUAAAACGCGCGCAUACCUCUUAUUGUGUGUGCUAUUGUUCCGCAGUUGUAUUACAGCCGGUCACUGUCGAGUCGAAUCACGUGAUUGUAUGUGUUUUGGUUAUUUCCAGGUAGUUCGUCGUACGUGCAAUAUACGAGCCGGUGAUUCAUGAACGAUGUCUACGGUUUUCCCUUUCCGCGUAAAAUAUCGAAAAUAUUGCGCGGUUUCCUCACUGUUGUCGAUGCGGCGCAAAUGUGCACUUACUUGUGACGAUUGUGACGAUACCAAUGCAUUUAAAUGUCGAUGAAUCGUGUCACGAAGAUCCGUACAAAGUCAACGGUAAAAGCCGAGCACCGCAACCGAACGCGAUCGACUCUGCGCACCGGUUCUCCGGCCGAAACGAAUCCUGUAAACGUUGUCUACGGGAGAAUAUUGGCGGUGUCGCCGAAUCUCGCGAAACGGCAGCGUUCGUACACGGUACAGGGAUAUCGUAAACGCGAACCGAGACCGCUGACGGUGUACGGGCCGUUAGAAGCGCGAACGUUAAACGGAACGCGAUUGGGCGGUCCGAAGUGUCCCGACCGACAUUUAAGGGUGGGUGGGGAAUAUCACACGACGUACGAAACACCGCCGGUUUCCGUGCGCCCGGGUUAUUCUCGUGUGCUCCAGGUACGUACGAUAUUAUUAUCGCACGCGCCGCGACGGUUUUCUUCUCCGUCGAGGGGGAGCAAAAAAAAAAAAAAUAAAUAAAUAUAUGAAAUACCGGCGAUCGCGCGCGCAUGUGCCCGGCAAAUGUUGCGGUCGGUCCGUCGCCGUCGAUUAGUCCGAGACGGAUUAACGUGGCGGCACGCGCGCGCGCGUAUCGUUGACGGCGGCUAUACGUUCACGACAUGAAACGCGUAAAUGAAACGCGCGCGGCCGCGAGGUUGUCACGGCGAGUGAAACCGACGGAAAUAAAAAUAUCUCAUUUUCUUGUCCGCGGGGUUCCAAUUCAUUAUAAUCGUGCGCGUGCGUGUGGCUCGUGUUAUUGUUGUUGUUGUUGUUGUUGUUGUCGCUGCGUUACUGCGCGGCCUUCGGCUGCGGGUUGAUGUCUCGAUUGCCGUUUGCAUUGUGCGCGGGUCUUGUAAAUCUCCGCGCGUCCGACGAAGGGCUUGACAUCUUAACACAGUUGAUAAAAACCAACAAACGUCAAACAAAAAAAAAAAAAAACAGAUAAAACCCCGUCAAAUCCCCUAAACAAAACAUCACCGAUCAUAGUCGUUUCGACCACAAUAAUCUCUUGUGGUUUCGACGUUUUGUCGAUAUAUUUUUCGUGUUUUAAUAAUAUUAUUUGGGUUUUUUUUGUUUUUCAGGCUCUCGAAUCGAAAUCGUCUGAUGCUUAAUCUGCCAACAAAUGUUUUAACCGACGAAAACUAUGUAACCGAGGUGAGUGUUAACCUUUUCAGAUCUAUCCAUUUACAUGUUUUACAUUUGAUAUAAGCGCACUCGGGGUGUUGUAGAGUUUAUGCGUUUAUCGAGGUAAAACUCUAAUUGGGAUUCUCGUUAAUUUGUUAUUAUUGUUUAGCUUUUUUUUUCUUUUUUACACAACUUGCGCUAUAAUAUUACACAGUCCUUCUGGGCGGCGACGGUUUUAAAUGUCUCGCCGAUUGGCAUUGGCAUGUAGAGCACGUGACGAGUCAUCUAAAAAGUAUAAAAUGCGCUGUUUAAGCGCCCGGCAUAGUAAUUAAGACGUCGUGUCUGCUGCAGGUAUAUACUCUCUCGGAGUACAACAAACAGAAAUCUGGUACGAUUCUGCUGUUCGUGAUGAAUACAAAACGAGCCCGCCUAGGUUACCGGUGACACUAUUGUCGUGUUCCCCGACUCAGAUUAAAUAAAAUAAACACGCCCGUGGAGAGACCCGUAAUAGGCAGGUUCGCUAUGAACUCACGAUCGGACAUUUUAAUUGGAAUAAAUCAUUUUCGACCGUCAAUUGUCGCGGUUAGAAAAGAGCUACAACAGCAGCAGCAGCAGCAGCAGCUGCCGCUGGAUCAGCGCCAACCUCCUUUGCCGGGAUAGAAUGUGACACUUACGGGGGCGUGGCCGACGUUUUCCGACGUAUUAUAUUAUUAUUAUUAUUAUUAUUGUUAUUAUGAUCGCGUGAUAUUUAAUGAAGUAUUGAAGUUAUGCGCGUGUCCCGGCGCCAGGUGCAGAGAAAACAGUAUAAUAUAAUCGACUUUUUUUUUUUUUCGUUACAUAAUCCCAGAAUGAUAUAUACGUAUGUACUCGUAUACAGUAAUAUAAUAUUACGAUAUUCUAUACGUGUUACUGCACCCGGGGGACCGGGUAUACGUAUGUGUGUACCCAGUGUUCGAAUUAGUAGAAAUUAAGUAGAGGAGCUCAAUCCGACAAUUUAAAACUACGUUCCGAGUGCACAAUCACUCAACAAAAACCCGUGGGGGGCAUCGCCCACCGCUCUUUCCACCUUACCGGCAUUUCGCUUAACACUUUUCGGCUACAAACAUUCAAAUAAUUCCAAUUAUAUUUCGACAUCAAAAUCCUUUUAAAUUGAAAUCCACAUUAACGGACGUUAACUUGUGCCGUUCAUCCCUCCCCUCCCCCCGUUCUAGUAAAAAAAUAUAUGGUCGGGGCGCGUAAAAAAAAAAAAAAAUGCAUCAGAAGAGUUCCGUCCCGAUGCGCAACCCCCCCUCCCCCUUCGAGCGAAUUCGAGCACUGUUUAUAAUACCUCUAACAUAGAUCGUUAUUGAAUAUAUUGUAGACGGACGCGCGCGACGGUUAGACAAUCAAAAUUAUUAUUUAUUACACUCGCGUGUACCAGAAGUGUAUCGUCUCUUCCGGCCCGCGCAGCCGGACCGUAAUUUUUCGUCCGUCCGAAAACGUUCGCCUCGUUUUCGGCGACGAGACCCCGGACCGUAACGUCCGUUCUCGGAGUGUGCGCGCGCGCGCACAGGUCUGCCCGGACAUCAUUAAUCAUAUUAUUGUUAUUACCGUGCGCGCCGGAGUUUAUCCCGCGCGAUUCACGUGACACUACGAUCGCUCAAAAACGGGGAUUAAAAACAAUAAUACCGGUACGCGCGGACCGCGACGUCAAAUGCGGACGGGCGGGCACGGGCGGUCGCGUUAUUAUCGCCGCGUAAGACGGCCCGGGCGCAUUAUCGACUCGGCGAGCGGUAGUCGCGACGCGCGUCCGGGCGACCGGAUUUGUCUCGAGACGGUCGCCGCCCGCGUACGCGCGCAUUAUGUCAAUACGGUACGUACCCGCUGUCGCACUGUGACGUAGUAAAAAGUCGUGUUCCCGCGGACGGGCACAAUAAAAUAAUACGGGUUUUUUUUUUUACGGCCGGGGUUUAGGUAUAAUGAGAGAGAGAGAGAGAGAGAGAGAGAGAAAAUUUAAAAAGUCCGGAACACGUAAUAAAAUAUUUACGGUCGCUUCGCGGAAGCUGUGCCGCACGAAAUAAUAUACAAAACGAAACAAACGUCGCGAUUUCCUUCUUCUUUACCUGUACGUUUUACCGUCUUUGACCGUUCUUUUGGCGCGUAUUAUUGUUGUACUCUACGUUUGUUAUUUUUUUUCCUCCUCGGUAGCAUUAUGUUCUGUGUCGCACACGGUAUAAUAACGUAUAAAGUAUUUUCCCUGACUAGAACGAGGGUGUGCAUUUUUUUUUUUCUCUAUACAAUAUUGCGGUUUGGUACAAGGGACACGUUCGAAUUUAGAAAAAAAAAAAAAUAAUAAUAUUAUUAUUAUUAAUACGGUCCUCGUUGUGCUUUUCUUUUUUUUUUUUUUGGCAAAGAACGCAGAUUGAAGAAUACAAUAACAAUAAUAAUGAAAAAGAAAAAAAAAAUUUAAUAAUAAUGUAUGCGAGUGUAUAGUAACAAUACGUGUUUUACGCGAGAAAACAAUAUUUAACUGAACCCCAAUAGCGAAUAUUUCACACGUAAUAUAAUAUUAUUUUUACGCGUGUUUAUCAAGGCUUCGAUUUUCGCACGUAAAAUUCUGCAAGGACCCUACCCGCGGGGGACGUGACCCUGGGUACGCAGUCAAAUCACGGUCUGGGGUUUUUUUUUUUUUUAAUGAAAUUCACAAUAUCCUCCGUAGUAUAUUUGUAUUAUUAUCUGAUAACUACAUAGUUAAAAUAAUAAAACAUACCGCGUGCGCAGUAUGUUUACAAUAUAAAAUAAAUAAUAAAUUGACAUUGUACGCGUUGUUAACGCGUAAAAAAAAAAAUCCAUUGUAAUUUGUAUAUAUUUCGUUAUUAAAAUAAUUACACGACGACGGCCGACCGACUAUACUUGGGUAUAUAAUACAUACCUACAGCAUGAUUAGUAUUUACUAAAAAUGAUUGACACGUAAAAAUUGUCAAUAAAAAAUAAAAAACCCUCAACCGUUACACAUAAUAAUAAUAAUAAUAAUAUAAUGUGUAUUUUAUAAUAUGUAACGACGAUAAUGUGGCAUUGUGCUAUUAUGAUGUUAUGUAUCCGUCCGACGGUCCAGGGCCUGUCGUCCAUUGAAAGUCGAUUUUUUUUUUUGUUACGAACGCGCGUCUUAAUUACAACGACGAAAAUGUAUGAUAAUUUUUCUUUUCUAAUAAGAUACAGGUGGGUAUUAUAGGUAUGUGUAUGUGUGUAGGUAUUAUAUCUCUGUCAAUCAAUUUGUAUUUGGUUAUUUUUAAUUCUCGCGUACAUUCAAUCAAACCUGUUAUUAGACGUGAUGCCUAUAUUAUUAUAAUAUAAAUUAUAAUACGUUAAGGAUUAUAAGACAAAAUAUAAUAUCCCGCUGUAUUAUAUUAUAAUCGUUAACUUUAUUAUUAUUAUUUUUUUUCUUCCAUACACGAUCGACGGUCAUGACACGUGUAUACAUACCUACGACACGAUGACGUAUUUCGAAUUUUUUGACGGGUGAAAAAUCUGAGGAAACGGCGUUUUAUUAGAUUCCAACGUAAUAACCGAGCCAGCGCAGUUCGUACAGUGGCGCGGACAUCGUUACAAUGUUGGCGUGUAAACGUGAUUUGCCGCUCGAGGCCAAUCGCGUAAACAUCAUUCCGAGAUAAUAUUAUGAAUUAUGGUAAUGCGAAAAACUGAAAUUUCGGGUAUUAUCCGCGAUAAAUAAUACUUAUUUACACGUUGACCUGUUUGAUUUUCGCCGAACGUUUAUGUUUUUUUUUUUUUACCGUAUACAUUACACCCGUAUGCUUAUGCAGUAUAAUAAUGGUAUGUUAUAGUCGCGCGAAAAUCCCGGCGUACCCGGCGUGUUUUUUCUCAACGUGGUUUUCGCCGGCGUAACACGAACCUUUUCACACUAUCUCGAAUCGGCGGUGAUGGUGGUGGUGGGGGCGGGGUGGUACAAGAAGAAAAUAAAUACGAAAUUUCCUACACGGAGUAACGUGUAGUGUUUGAAGCAACAACGACCAUUUUAUCCGUAAACGAGCGUUCGAUUUGGAUUACGAGCGUACCGUGGAGUCUUAGCAGUUUUACCACGAGACGCGACGGUUUAUACUGUCGCGAGGGAAAUUCGUCGGGUGAAAACGGAUCGCGCAUUGCGGGUUCUCGCGCAGAAAAUCGUUUUCGCCGGAACGCUUCCGGACCGGCACGCCGCGGUACGACACGAAUACGGUUUUCGGCGUUGCGCUCGGCACGUCACUGCGAUAAUAUUUCAUCCGGGCCCGCGCAUCACUCGGGGGAAUCGCACCGAUGCGACGACGGCCGCGACGUUUUUGUCCCGAUCGAUACGCGACGACGGCGGCCGCGGCAACUGCGCGAUAAUAACGAUAACGAUAACGACAACGACAAUAAUCGCGUAAUCGUUAUCAUAACAAUUACGGCGAUACCGAGUAUACGAGGGAUCCUCCCGGCGGCGGCGCGGUGUUUUAUUUCUUUUGUCCGGCGUUACAAAAUUUUCCAGCCGUUACGACCCGCGGGUAAAUCGUGUGCCGUACAACGUACGUGUAUGCACACACGCGCUCGUACCUGUAUAAUAAUAAUGAUAAUAUUAUUAUUAUUAUUAUUAUACUAUACGGACACAGAGCCGUGUGUACGGGUAUAUUAUAUACAGGUACCACGGUUAUCAACGUCUAUACACGUAUUAUGUGCAUACCGCGACCGUGGUAACAUUGUGUGUGUAUAUAUAUAUAUAUAUACAUUCGGUUUCAUGGCGCGCAUCACACACCGCGACGGCGAAGGCCAAUCGGCGGUACUAUCGCCGCCGUUGUAUAAUUUAUAUCGGCCGGUACCGGAGACGGAUUAUUAUUAUGAUCGUUAUUAUUAUUAUUAUUAUUAUUAUUAGUGUUCGCUAUGCGUUUCCCAGAGUCAAUAAUUUUCGUGUUUCUUUUUCGUCGUCCCUCGCGCGUUUAUAAUAAUACGAUUUUUUUCGUAUAUAUAUAUGUAUAAAGUCGUCACGGCAACUCUUCCCUCCCCCCACCUCCCCAGAACUACCGACCCGUGGCCGGUCGGGGGAGGUGUGGUAUUUCGGGGGGAGGGGAGGGGGGGACGGCGACGGCGUUCGAGUCUCCGCGGGAUAAUUCAUAAUGGUCGACCGGGGGCGCGGUGGUUCAACGGCGUUGCGUUCCAUUUUGUUGUACAAAUAAUAAUACACACAUACACACACACACACAAUGCGUGUCGUACAACGUUAUAGGUAUCAUAUUAUUAUAUUAUACGUUUUUUUUUUUUUUUUUUUUUUUUUUUUUUUUCUUACUAUUAUUAUAUUUUUUUUAGUUAACCGUCGGGGGCAGACGCGGCCAUGUUUCGCGUCGUCAAAGGACUCGUAGCCGAUGCCGGCCGACCGGUUGAUUAAGGCGUCGUUCGCGCUUGACACCCCCCCCCCCCACCGUCCACUCAGUCAUACAUCACCCACCCCCACCACCACCACUCGGUCGCUAAUUAAUCACCAGAACAAUUUGACGAAAAAAAAAAAAAAACAAAAUAAUAAUAAUAAAACCCUAUUACGGACAACAAUAAAAUAUUAUUGUUAUUAUUAUUAUUAUUGUGUAUACGCGCGAUACAUGCGCGCGCGAAGAUAUCGGUCAUAAAGUCGUCUCACCGCCGUCCGUUUGUCGGUAACCGUGUAAUAACCGUGGUAGUAUAACCGCGCGUUUGCCGCACGUCGUCGCCGCCGCCACCACCCGGACAACGUAAUACAUAUGCAUAAUUUUUUUUUCGGUCGCAACGGACGACAUGUCCGGUCACAAAUAAUAACGAUAAUAAUUGUGACCGGGUCGCGUCGACGGGUAGGUUAGGUACAAUAAUAAUAAUGUUAUUUUCGACGGCGCAUUACCAUAAUCUCGUGACACGACUCCGCCGCCGCCGCCGCCGCCGCCGCCACUCUUUUGAACGCGAGAGGGCUCCCGUCGCCACAGCCGCCGCCGCCGCCGUUUGUACACGUCGGGUCGUGUAAUUUAUAGCCGCCGGAGUUUCGAAAAUUCUCGGCCGGUGCGCGCCGGCAAUCGUAUACGCAAUAUCCGUCGGCGGCGCGGCGAUAAUUAGUCAUCACGUUACGACGCUUACUAUUAUUUUUAAUUUUCGACGAUUUUUCUUUUUCUUUUCUCGAAAAUUAUUACACCGGCCAUUUUACACCCCCUCUAGAUACGCCAUGGCAUUGUGCGCGGCGUACGAGCGCACGCAUAAAACGACUGUACGGACGGUACCCGUCGUAUUUGACCGCGUACGGACAAUGGAAACACGGAGAAAAUACUCGGCUCGGCCGAAAAAGCGGUUCGCUGGACAGCGGGUCUUAUUCUGACGGCGUUCGUUAGGCGAACACGUUGCGUCCGUGAGUUCGUUGCACGGCCAGCGCAGCGGGCGGACAGCGUUUUCGUUAGCCGACCCGACCGUUCGUGGGACGCGGCAUAUCUUCUGCUUGUAUCCAAAAGCUCGUCCGUAGCUCCGCUCGAUUAAAGUAAAACACCGGCCGCCUAUUUUCGCGUAUUAUACGGUGCGCCCGCGUGAAAAUCUCCGGUAACAAUCAAACAUAUUGAGAUUUCGCCGGUACGCAGCGCGUAUUGUUUCUGUCGCGCGUCGUUUGUCGCGGUGUCGGGGCGAUCCCCCCACCCCUCCACCCCCGUACCUGAUUCGUUCGCACGUUGCCGUCACUCGGCGCGUUUCGAAAACCCCGAAAAAACGUCACUACGUCCCGUACCGGCCCGCGGGAACACGUCGAAUUCCGCGUGAUACAUCAUUUCGUAUUGUCCGUCCGAUAAUUAUGCGCGUACACCGUGUCCGACGACGAUUAAUCGUACACGAGUACCCACGGAUAUUGCGCGUUGCAGUCGCAGUCGAUUGUCGUCGCCCGCGCGCAGGUGAUCCCGACGACAAUACAGCGCGUCGGUACGCGCCGAUCCGCGGGGCCGAGUACCGUUUUCGAGGCGCGCGAAAAGACCAGCGGUAUAAGAAAAAAAAAAAAAAAAAAAAAAGAGCAGAAGAAAAAUGCGUUAUUGACACGGCCGCCGUGAUUUAUAUUCGCAUAAUACGCGCGGUGGAUGCGUUGCCCAUUAUUGUGCGCCGCGUACGACGAGUCGCGUUCGUAACGGAUAUGUAAUGUUAUUAUUGUAUUGUGUUGCAUUAUGCCGUCGUCGUCGUCGUCGCGUUCCAGCCGAAUCGUUUCCACCCGAGUGAGAAUCGGCGCGCGCGGCCGACGAGACGAGCGUGUAUUGUACGCGUCGUUCGUAUCAUCCGUUUUCGUAUUCCAUUCGAUUGUCCGCGAUUUUUAUUAUUAUUAUUAUUAUUAUUAUUUUUUUUUUUUUUUGCCGAACACCGACAAAAUAAUAAUAUAAACGUUAUGCGCGCCUCUUUUCGCCGUCCGUCCGGUGGAAGCGCACAUGGCUGACGUACGGAACUGCAUCGGCCGAGGAAUACCGCCGCUGCUGCACCGUUCGCAUACGAGCGUGCGUCGCGCGUGAUUCCGAACCCUAACUCGGCUGGCGCACGGCAUCCAGACGGACGAUCCCGUUACGCCGCCGCCGCGCUUCGACCCGUCCGGCGGCGUAACUGGAACUAGAACCGCGGCGAAAUAUUCUGUAAAGGCGCCGUUCCGAUAAGCGGCAGAUAAAAAAAAAAAAAAAGGUCAUUCAAAAAGAGCCACGCCCGUGUCCAACAAUACCUCGGUCAAGGUCUCUGCCGAGCCCCUCGACAGUUGUGGGCCCGCGGCGUUUGCCCGCCUUGCCCACACCAAGCAUUUACGCUACUGUCCCCGCCACAAACGAUACCGAUACGCGUAAAAAAUAAAAUACGUUCUGAAAACCGAAAAAAUAUAUGCCCUGAAAACGAUCAAAAUAUCCUAUUGAAAACAAAAAAAAAAAGUUUUAAAUUUUUAAUCUAUUUUUAUCUAUUUGAAUAUUUUUCAAACAGCGUAGCCGGGUUUUCUUUUCGUUGUUUUCCUUUAAUUAUUUAUUUGUAAACGCGUUGGAACAACUGAUUUUGAUACGUUCACAAACUAUUUGUGUUAUUUUCAGCCUGCUGGUAGAUUCACAAGCACAUAUCUAUGUUAUUCCGAAUUAAAUAAUGGUUCGCUGUUAAAGCAACCGACGGUGCUCUGUUUGUCAUCGGAUAAUUGGGAGUGACAGUCUCGUGGAUCUCGGUCAAAUGCAGUACCUCGAUCAGAUACGCGUCGUCUCUGAAAACGACACAUUUAUUACGCCACACCGGGGUCUAUUCGGUACAGCCAUCUUAGAGGUACUUCCCGUUUCGGUUGACUCGGACAAGUAUCUCCAAAAUAUAACAUUCGAACGUAUCAAAAUAUAGCUAUCAUUUAAAAUCGUUUGUACAGUUUGUUGUAACUGGUAUUCAAAUGUUAUUGCGCAGUUAUUGUUACAAGAUUGUGCACUAAAUCAAUUGCGGUUCGGAAAUACACCGCGGUGACUGCGACGUGCCGACGAUUAUUCAGUUCGAUUCUCGCGAAUAUAAUAUUUUCGCCUUGAUAUUAUAAGUUCUUGUGGGAACCGUUCGUUGCAGACAGAAUUCGUUUUUGUUCCAGUAUAGGUAAUACGUCUCUGGUGUGGCGAUUUAUCACGACGUGUUAUCCAUAGCGAACGCAAAGCAACGUGUCGGCGUCGGUUGGUACGCCUGCGGUGAAGAUUUAGCGGUAUAGUGAAAUGCAUUUUACAUGACGCAGUAUCAUACCUACAUAAUAAUAAUAUCGACAUUGCCGUAUACAAUAUAAAAACAAAACAAAAAAAAAAUAACGCACGUCUGUACGAGUAGUUUAUAGGACGACGUCGUCGUCUCGACUUACCGCUGCGGUCGAUAGAUCAAAAUAUCCGCGCAGUGUGCUGUACGGAUUUUUUAAACUCUGUAUACGCUCACCGGGAACAGGAAGCGCUCGGCAUAAAUAGUAAUAAAUUUACCGGCAACGGCCAAAGUCUCCUGCGAGGUUCUUCGUUGUGUGUGUGUUGUGCGCGGCAUACAGGUGAUUCGAAUAAAAUUAAAAAAAAAAUGAAGAAGUAGAAGCAUAGAGAAAACCGGUAAGGACGUUUAAGGAAAAUUUACGACUGCAGCAUGACGCGCAGACUGUAUACGCGUGUAUCGAGCGUCUACACAGUGAAGUUUUCUUCGCGGUUAGAAUAGAUAUCAUUAACUUUACAUAAAAAAAUAAUAAUGAUAAUAAUAAUGGCGCAUAUGUAUAUAUAUUUAUAAAACGUUCGACACAAGUUUCUGUAAAGUGCCGACGGGAAUGAAACGCGAAACUUGUGUAUGAAACGACGUAUUAAAGAUCGCAUUUGAGAUAAACCGUUGCGGCGUCCCUCGGGAUGCAUUCGUCCGCGCUUGUAUAUAAAUAUUACCGGAGUAUAUAUUAAUGAAAAAAAAAAAAAAAAAUCCUCGUUUUUCAUCGCCCUGCCGUGCGCGCUUCCGGUAAUUUACGACAAACUUUCGGACGGGUAUUGCUCUAAGCGCGCGCGAACUGUAUUACGGUAAUCCGGAAUAUUAAAAGCGCCGUUGCGAACGGUGCGCUUUUGCAUUAUCGUUUACCGCGAGGGCGGCGAGUGUAGGCGAUUUCAACUCGGCCGAAACGCGUAACAAUAUAUUAUUCCAAUCGCCGAGAGCCGCAGUAGUGUGUCUGUUUUUAUGAAUACAAAAUUGCCUAUGUAAAAAAAAAAAAAAAAUUACCCGCGAAAUCCGGUGACCCGGUCAAACGGUUUGUCGAUAUUCAAAUUACAUAUUAUGAUACUUGGCUAACUUACCCAAGAGAGUCGAUCGAGGACGGUAAAUCAUAAGUUUCGGAAGUACUCCGUCACUUGCCCGCCGCUGCGGUAAUAACUCGACAUGAUUAGACUAAGCAGCAAGUAACCGGGCCGAUUUUCGAUACAUUACAGUAUUAUAGUAGGUACGUGUGAGAAACGGAACGACGCAUAAUAAUAUUCGUACGGUUGAAAAAAAUCGAUAAAAUUAUACCGUAUGUUGAGAAAAAAAUAAAAACAUUAUUAUUGCACAUUGUAAACUACGUGUACGAGUGUAUUGCGUUAUUAUGUACAGCCGUACGGAUAAUCGCUUUAUUUUUAUUUGAUUUUUAUCUCUCUCCACUAGUUAUUAUGAUAAUAUAAUGCAGUUUGACGAUUAGUUCGGAAUUAAAUUGGUCCGGAUGAUUAUUAUAUUUAUAGGUAUAAUACGAGGUGGAAAAAAAAAAACCAGAAUACUCGAGUGGAAACUCGUUAUAUUGGACCGCGUCUCCGGGUGUUACUACACUAGACGAAUAAUAUUCGAUUGUAUAUUUUAAAAAAAAAUAAUAACGUACACGGCAUUUCGUAAAACACGUUCGUAUUUUUGUUUUUUUUUUUUUGUUCUUUUUACAUAUUUCGUCGUCUAUCACGCAAUAUUUUUCACGAUACUACUAUAUUGAAUUUCGGUCCGCGGCUAUUUUCGUGGCGGUGGGGGGGGAGAGGCAUUUUUCUUUUUCUUCUUUUCACAUCGGUCCCGCAGACUGCACGUAUAAAGGCGGGCGGCUGCGGUUACCCGUUACGGGUGUAGUGCAAAGUAUAAAGUCGAUCGUAAACCGGGCCGCGGACAGGUAGACAAUAACGUCUGCGGCGCGGUUUAGAGCUGGCGGCACCCCGUGCUACGGCGGCUGCGGCGGCGGCUGCGACGGCGGCGGCGGCGGCGGCACUAGGAGGCCACCUGGGAGGCGAACAGGCCGGCCGACCUUCGACGGGCAGAGCGGACCGCCGCCAUCGCACCCGAGAGUUGACGUCUUCAUCGGCACCCAUCGGGCGCGCGCUGCCGCCCGAUCAUUAUAUUAUUAUUAUUAUUGUUAUUAUUACGGAGACCCGAAACCGCCGCCGCCGCCCGGGUUAUCUCACCGCGUACGCGCAACAACAACAACAAUAAAUAAACGUUACUAUUGCACCUCGGCUGUAACGCGUGCAGUGCGUCGCGGCGUCUUGUACCUGUGUGCGUGUGUAUAUAAGGAAAAAAAAAAAAACAACAAAAAUAUAAUCGCCGCCGUCGUCGGCGGCUGUGGUACGGCGUACAAAGCGAGGAUUCACACCGCGGCGUGUUCGGGUGUUUUCGCCGCCGCGUUAUUAUUGUUAACGAGAUUGAUAUUAUGUUCGCCGGCGUUUAACAACAUCGGACGUUUUCGUCCUUGUAUCGCGUAUUUAACGCGUUUAUUAUUCGUGCGUACCGACUGUAAACAAAACAGAAAAAAAAAAAAUAGAAAAAAAAGAAACCCCCCGCCAAGAGCUCUGUGGCGUGAUGUGACGAAUCGUCUUUACCGUCAAGUGUUUUGCGGCGUUUCGCCAAUUGAAAAGCGUUUGAAAACUCAAUCCGAGUUCACCACUACUGGAACAGACAAUUGAUCAUCGUUAAAUAACGCGUGGGUGUGGCGUUAUUUUCUCAGAGUCGACUCUUGUACCUGAACCCAGAAAAAAUGAAUGUUAUUAGUUUAGUUCCAAUACUGAUAAUGACGUAACGUACAAUGCGAUAACAAGCGUUGUACGUAUUUUAUAUUUAUUGUUUGUCUGUUGUAAGACUCGGAGGGCUUCUGGGGACCAGCCCUUUGUAAUUUUUACCAAAACAAUUUCUGGAUAUCCGGGAUAUCUACGCGCGGUUCGACAUUUUUGUUCCGUCAUUUUAAUUUGCAAGGUAUAGCGAAGUCGCAAAACGAUGACCAUUAAUAACCGUAAACAUUGUAGGUAUCAUUGCGGUGGCUGUGUUAACAAUUCUAAUGACAUUCGUCACUGACGUCGUAUGCGAACUGUCGAUAGCGGAAAUGUUUGUCUUUGAGCACUUAGCUUUCAAGCCAUCGUCAAGGGUUUCGGAAAACCUCGCGUACGCCACUGAAUACAACCCUAGACCCGUCGAGCCGCCAUUGUAUCCAUAUCACGUACAGCAAUCGCUACGCCUUAACGGCAGUUUGGGGGCCAUUGACAACAGUAUAAUAACAAAAUAAUAAACAGACAGUCAGAAACGAACAAAUAAUAUUAUAAUGUCACACGGCGCGUUAAGUUAAUUAUGCGACGGCAACGGCGUUCCGCGUCCGAAUUAUCGCGAUAAUUAAAAUUAAUAUUAUUCCCCGAGACGAAGCGGCGGGAUACGGUUUUUUUUUUGUGUUCUCUCGGAUACGUCGGACUAAUUACGGCCGCCGCGCCGCGCAGUUUCGACCCAGUUGUGUCUCCGACCGCGGCACCACCGGGCGGACGGGCGAAAACGAUAAAAAUGCGCGGCGGAAAAAAAAAAAAAAAAACCCGCCCCCCCUCCUCCGAACGGUCCCCGGCCGAGACGACGACGUUGUUACAAUAACAAUAAUUAUGUCGAGGCGGUUUUUUUUUUCUUCUUCUUCUUCUUCUCGCAUAUUCCGAUGACCGGGUGGCGGGAGAACGUUAAUAAACCGGCCGGACGCACGGCUAUUGUCAAUGUCCUUUUCGGGCAACACAAUGACACGGGAGCGCGGGGCGAGCUGAUUAUUUCGCCGGUUAAUUAGCGUGCGCGUGCGCAUGGCGGAACCGGUGGCGGCGCAGCGAGUCGCGCCGAAGACGGCGACUGCACAUACGCGCGUGCAAUAAUACGCGCCGCGACACAAUACCGUCUCUUCUGUUUCUGGGCCGUCUGCGGAAUCCGGAAAUUUGCAUUCGCCAAUUAAACCGCGCGCGUGCCCAUACAUACUGUGCGGAUAAUAAUAAUAAAAAUAUAUUACGGAAAAAGCGAAGGAAGAAAAAAAAAAUCGCUCACUCUAUCCGGCGGGUUUGUGUCUCGUCGCGUCCGCGGACGAGGAGUGGGCGAGAGCGCGGGGGAGAGCGGCGGUCGGUGAACGGGCGAGGAAAAAAAAACCUUUAUUGUAGAAAACCCUCCGCCCCACCGUCAGUACGUUUUAUAAUAACAAUUAUAGAGACGCGCGCGCGGCGGCGGCGGCGGCGGCCAAAACGACGGGAUUAAAAUAAUCCGCCGCGGCUCGUGACGCCGCUGUUAACGGGCUCCUCUCCCGGUGUUUCGUCCGACCCGAGUUACGCUGCGCUUACGCGCGCAUUUUCCUUUGUGCGACGACGUAAUUAUCGUCGGACUGAUCUCCGUCGCCGGGGCGAUUCUUCUCCCGCACGUCUGCGGGAUAUGAACGAAAACGUAACAUAGGGGACUCCGUGCGGACAAUAUUGUGCUCGCGGUGUAGACGGUGCUCCCGCAGCGCACGUUCCGGUCAAAACGAACGCAGCGCGCGAUCGACGGGAGAUGCACGCCGUGUAGAUUCCACGGAGGAAGAGCACGCGGUGUCACGCGUGAGCCGACCCGUUGACGCCGGACGUGUUGGCCCGGUAACUGCGGUAACACGAAUGUCAGUGUCCCAUCUCACACAAGUAGUCGCCGUAGACCCGAAACGAACGGGCGAACAAUCGCGACCGGUUCAGAUAAAGUCGGAGCGGGAAUCGAAGUACCGGAAUUUUUCGAAACGGGCGGAAUUUAGCGGGAUCCGUCGGCACCCGAAUAGCGCUGAGGUCACGUUGGGUUCAACAAUUACAGUUCCAUAAUCCGGAUUCUCGGAUCCAAUCCGUCGGUCCGGACUUCGGGUCCGAUCCGUCGAUCUCGAUUUCAGAUUGCUGCACUGUUUUUUAGACAAACUCUUAUUUUUUGUUAUUAUCAAUAGUUUCCUCAACUAUUAUUGUAUCUUAAUAGUCUAAGCAAUAUUAUUGACGGAUACAAUUUUAGAUUUCUAUUGUAUACCUUAAUACAUUACCCAAUAUAAUUGAAAUUGGUUUUGGUGAUUAUUAUAAUACUCGUUUUCCACACAACGUGUUAUAACAUAAUCCGUAUAUUCGGGUCGGCGGUAUUCAUAAUCCGGAUUUAAAGUAACAGUCCGGAUUAAACGGAUUGCAACGUUUGUUGUUUCGAUCGAUCCGGACUUGGUGCUCGACACUAGUAUCCAGUCUAACGUAGUAUUGUGUCCGUAGUGCGGACGAAGAGGACGGCUCGCUUUGCUCUCCAAUACUCGAAUGGCGAGCCAAUGUCAGAUUUUCAAUCGAAAUCAAACUCCGAUUUGAAAACGUUUAUUUUACGAGGUCACACGAACGUUUCAGGAACCAAUGAUUAUCUUCCCGAUUUAUUCGCGUCCCCGUGCGCUGUGACCGAAACUCAUAUGUACAUUAUAUAUCAUUCGUCCAAUAUCAAGAUACUGUUUGUUAUAUAUACAUAUAUAUAUAGCCAAUAGGGUGUAUUGGAAAAAAAAAGAGAGAGUAGAUUCCGGUAGACGUUCGUUCCUCGGAGCUAUGCGUGUGUUUCGUUUUAUUCGCUUGAAUAGAUAUAAAUCUUAACGAAUAAAAUACGAUUCCGGAUUCCGAAUGGGAGCGCCUACACAAUAUACACGAGCCCUGCAUGUUGAUAACCCCGAUCAACACAACGUCUUACACGUUCAUUGUCUAGGAAUGUAUUACGUUUUUUCGAAAUUCGUUUUUUUUUUAUUAUUAUUUAGAUCGUUUAAGAAACUUCUCGCGAGCAGCUCCGUACCGUUAUUUUUUUCACCCUUAUUUUUAGAGGCGAGACCACUACACCGCGCCGUCAUAAAAAUGAUAUUCCUAGUAUAGGUUGCAAUUUGAAAAUAAAAAGAGGAAAGUGCUCUUUACGUUAUGUCUAAUCACCCUGUACAGCAGCGCCGGCAGUUAGUAACUUUAAACGUAAUUAGUGGGUUUAAAUCCGGAAAAACUUUUUCAAUUUUUCGCGUCAGAGUUUUGAUACACCAUACUCAUGACGUUUUUGAUUGGGGAGCUUGACGUCUGGUCGAAAACUUGUUUAUCGCAGACGUAAAAAAUAAAAUUAAAAAAAAAGCACCACGCAUAAUAUAGUAAAAACAUGACGGUAUAUUAUUAUUCCUCGUUCAGUGCGCUCAGAAUCUAUAAAAAGCAAAUCUGUGUUCUACCAUUCGUGUUCGAUAUUGUACGGUUAAACAAAAAUAAAACACGAAACUGAUCCCCGUUUAUCAUUAUUAUGAUGAAAUCGAGCAUGAUAAUAGAGGAACACGGGGUACGUAAUGAACACCCGAGGUAAUAAUGAGACGGCCGAUUAUCUGAACACAUUUGGCAACACUAGAAAAACGAACGCCAGUGGCGUGCCUUAGGAUACGCCGUUGACAUCGCUGUACACUCUCGAUGUUAUUUUUUCUAAACCCAAAUAAAUUCGAAAAUCAACUAAACCGUUCCGUUUGAUUGUUUCGUUUCGAUCACAGCCCGAGAAAAAAUGGUUUCUGUUUAUUAUGUAAUUAUUUGUCUGCAAAACUUUUUGCUUCUUUCUCCUUGGUGCUUAAUGCGUUGAUGAUUUAUACGCGUUUCUAACCGUCGAAAAAACACUGGCUAUACUUUAGCGGUCGAACAACAGUUUUUAUUAUUAUUAUUAUUAUUAUUAUUAUUAUAAAUCAUCGAAAUAAAAAGUUGAGAUUUUUAUUUAUUUUUUUUUUGUAUCUUAAUUUAUUCUGUCGUCCCCGAACGCGUUUGUAUAGUGAUUUCUUUAUUUCUUUUAUUUUUCUUUUUGUUUUAAUUGAAAUAAUGAAUGGAAUAUUCGGUAAUUUGGACCCGUGCCCAAAACGUAAAUUAGGUAUAUUAUAAUAUAUAUUUUAUAGCCGAGAAUAACAAAUUUGAUAAAAAAAAAAAAAAUUAACGUCUUGUAUAUCGGGAAUAACUCGAGACCAUAUUAUUAUCUUUAUUAUAAUAUAUUUGUGGCACGUAAUUACUACUAUUUUUUUUUUUUUUUUUCAUUUUGGCAAUCGGUCGUACCGUAUUAUGCGUUAUCAUAUUAACGCGAAAACCAGUAUUUUAUUUUUAGACUUCGUAUAAUAACGAUGUUUAAUUUCAUGUAUUGCUCAUUAUGCAUUUUGUUACGCACCCGUCCGUAUUGUAAUAAUAAUAAUAAUAAUAACACUGAACACUGCGGGUAUUGAAGCGCCGCGGUCGCUAAUAACCGCGUAUGUAAAAUGGUACGUACGCGUCGAAACCAAUACAUGACGACAAAAUUGUACACUUUUUUUACGAUCCCGGAGGAAAAUAACAAUCGUGUGCGAACAACGUGAACAACAAACCGAAUUUCGACGGUUUUCCGGGCGAUUAUGUUUUUAUUAUUAUUAUUGUUAUUGUUAUUGCACGGGGAGACGGCAGCAGGUGUUGUCGUAAUUUACGUUGUUACGUGCGCGCGUCUCGUUGUGGUCCUAUAAUUAAACCGCGCGCUUCUUCCACCGGUUGUUACAUUGGACUCGAGGAAAAAAUAGUAAAAAUUACCUGCCUACCUGCCGCUAAACACGAUAUCCAUUUCUAACGAUUAACAUCCUGUUCCGCUGUCGGUUUAAAACGACAGCGAUGGAAUCGUCGUUAUUGUAUACCUAAUUUCGUCGGCCCGACGGACGAAAAUGCGUCGUGAUCGGCAUAAAAAAAAAAAAAAAAAAAACAAAAAAAAAAUCCUUCAAUCUAGGGGGGUGGGGGAGGAAAUCCGUUUUCCGUUUUUUUUUCUGUUUGUUCGACAGACGGCGGCGGCGGCGGCGUGUUCGGUUUCUCAUUUGCUUCCAUUGCUCCGGAUCUGCUUUGUCUUAGACCUGUCGCGGUUUUUCAUCGACUCGCGUCUAUCGAAUUUAUGUUUUACAUCGAUAAAUUAUCAACUCUGAACGCGGCGAGGAAUGCUAAUUUAAUGGUUUUAUUAUGAUGUUUUUUUUUUUUUUUCUGUAUCUAUAAACAACUUUUCUAUUUCGUUCUAAUUGAACUUUCUUGUAUCAUUUAGUUGGUUUAUUGGGGAGGUUGAUUUUUAAUUUACUUUUUUUUUUCCUUUUUUUUUCGUAGUUUUCAUUGGCAAACGGGGAAAAAAACCUGACAAUACCAUAUCGUACACAUGUUUUGUUGAUUUCUGGGUUACCGCGGCAACAAUAUAAGAAAUACGACAAAUGAUAUACUCUGUUCAUAAUCAUUUUCGUUGGCGUGUACGGAUGUAACGUAUUAAAUAUCUUCCACUCCGAGUUCGACUUACCGGGUCUUUUAUCCGCUCAUCGGAUACAACAAUUGUGCGUAACGCUAUAUACGCGUUCGUUGGUGCAUACGGUGCAUCCUUUUCGUCGGGUCCCGGAUUCCCGCGACUAGCACUAGACGACUGUUGUACCGCAAUAUUAAUAAUAAUUAUAAUAGUCCAGAAAAAUAAAACACAAUAUCCGUCCUGAUGUCUGCCGGUCAAUGAGAGUUUUAAAACUGUGUACCUAAAACGGACGUAUCGAAAUGGAAAUUCGGCCAAAUCACCGAUAAUAAUGUAUCCCCCGUCCCGCGGGGUCGGUAAAAACGUGCACGAAAACGUUUCGUACCGUUUGUUUUUCAGCUGCGCCGAACCCCCCCCCGGCCCCGGCUACCGGACGACCGAUCGAAACGCGCCAGGGACCCGCGACUCGGACGCGCCCGUUCGCCUGUGACGCGCUCGCCACGCGUUCUGUUACGCCGGACGAACAGCGCGACGUUUCACUCGUAACGCCAUGUGCCGCUGUUGCCGGAUUACACGCGCGUGUAAUAAGCUACACGGGUGUGUUACGGGAUUCGGUUUAAAUUAGGCACGGUGUUGUUGUUAUUAUUUUUAUUAUUAUUAUUAUACGGCGUCGGUAAUAUAACUGCGGCAGACAGCGAGAAUCCGAAAAGAAACGUCCGCGUAAUAUUAUUACUGUUACACGAUAUUAUAAUAGCGAUUGCUGCUGCUGCUGCUGCUGCUGCCGCCGCCGUCGCCGUCCCCGCCGUACGGCCACGGGGGUAAACAGCAGGUGUUUGGGUGUCGGGCGCGAAGAAAAUAAAAUACGUUGUUAACCAUUAUAUUAUGUUAUUACGCACACGCGGUGAUACGUUUGUUAUUUUUUUUUUUUUAUAUUUUUCACGAGCCGGAGAGUGUGUUUAUUAUAAUUGAGUUGUUCGGCGCGCGCGCGCGCAGCACCGGCGUAUAGUGCGUUUCCACGAGAUUUAUCAUCUCGUAUUUUACCGACGCGUAAUUUACGCUGGGGGAUAGUAAGAAAAAAAAAAAUGGAAAAAUUACAAACGCGCGCGAAGAAGAAUUUUCGGGCGAAGAAUUUUUUUCACGCGGCAUUUUUUUUUUUUCGUAUUUCCACGUUGCGCUCGUGACGGGUCGGCGGCGGCGGCGGCGGCGAACGCGGUCCGCGAACGAUUAUGAAAAACCACGCGACCGCGAAACGCCGUUGUUUCGGUGCCGGUUGUGCACGGGCGCGCGUCGCUGUACAGGGUGCGCGACAUUUAUAUCGUUAUUAUUGUCGUCGUUGUCGUAUUGUGUCGCUCGACUACCGCUGGCCGCCCCGCGGUAUUAUACCGUACGUCUCCCGGGCGCGCGGGCGUGUGUUAUGCGUGUCCCGCGAUUGUGACCGUGACAGACGGGGCGCACAGGGACACAAUGCGUGAAGAGGAUGUGCCCGCGGUACACGUUUAACGACCGUCGUGUACGGCCGUGUUCCUUUUCGCAUACAUAUCAUUGUACAAAAAUAAUUGUACACCGUGCGUCCCGUCGACGGGACGCUGAUCGUCGGGAGGGGUUCGCGGUCGUGCGGAGACGGCCGUACGUCUCCGCACGACUGUACGGCGGUCGUCACCGCGGGACGUCUCCCCGCGAGACGCGCACAAGCGUUUGCUGCCGUCUGAGUAAGUUGCUAACAGGGGCCGCACAAUGGUACACGCCGCGUCGCGUUUUCUGGCGGCCCCCGUCGUCGUCGUCGUAAAUCCGAUUACACGCAUUGUCCGAACCGAUGUACCGCGGUUUUAUUGACCGAAAUCGUUCGCCGCGGCGGUUUUUCACCUUUUAUAUUAUUACAUUAUUCCCUUUCGGUCUCUUUCUCUCCCGACCGCGAAUCAUUCCGCGACGAUAGAGUCGAAGAAGGAAACAAUAAACCGCACAAUACCUCGCGCCCCCUUUGCGCCUCCUCCGGUUCCUUUUUGCUGUACAAUAACGGAUCGGUUCGCGUCUUCGCACCGCGGCACCGCGUUUAUUGCUCGACGGUCCGUACGAAAUUCGCCAUGGCAGCAGUAGUGCAGUGGCGAUGAUCGAGACCAGUCGCCUGGCGUCCGUCGCCGCCGCCACUACAGUCUCCGCAGUUCGAGGCGAUCAUCACCAGAGUCCGUCGCCUGUGCCGUUUCCGAUGUUAUUGUUUAUAUCCGUUUUGAAAAAACUUUCCGGUCUACAACAAAAUUCAAUACGCGACACAUGGCCGCUCAAAUUUAUGGUAAGUCCAACCGUUUCCCAUCGUGUUGAACGUUAGGUUUUAUUUGGAAUUUCCCGGUAGAACAAUACGCUCGAACGAUAUUGAAUAGCCGUCUCAGCACGUUAUGCCUGGGGGGGGGAGGGGCCGUACAGGAGACUUAAAUUCUCAAUCAAUCGCGACGGCACUACUAACAGUUAUUGAAACCGAAUACCAAAUUUCAAAACAUCGUGUACUGCAGUGUUUUAAUAAAACGUUUUUGUGUAUUAAGUCGAUCAAUUGAAAUGUCAAUUUUUUUCCCUCCCUUAUCAACCUUUAUAGACCCAGGUCUACAAAAUCCGACAAUUUACCGUUCUAAUCGAUCGGCGACGGCCUUUUCUUGUUGUGUUCCAAGACUUUUGGGCUUUUGUAUCAUCAACUUGUACAAUUAUUGACCCCAUAUUUAUGAGAACUACGAGGUCGUCCUGCAGUUCUAUUCCCCACAAUCUUGACAAUUCCCGACGUCUUGCUCAAAUCGCAUCCGUGUGAGCAUCCACGCAUUUUUCUUUAAUAGUAUUCUUAAAAUCUCUUCAUUUGUUUUGUUCUCUGUCUGACUUAUCGUAUGCGCGAAUUAUAUUUCGUUGAGCAGUGCAUCUCAAAAGCUUCUAAUUUUUUUUUUAUUUUCCGAUAUAAUUUUGUACGGCCCAUAGUGUCACGUACACGUUGCCGCGUUCCGAACAUGUGUUUUAACGUGCGUAUCUUCCGAGCAUCGAGACGUAUCGCCUUUAAAGUAAAUAUUUUAUUUUAUUUGUUUCUAUGAUGGCUGAUUUUUCUAAUCCCGCGCGUUAUUCGAUUUCCCGGACGCUCUUACGGUAAUCUAAUGAGAUAUCGAUCCAAAUACCAGUCCGUCGACCAUGUCACAAGUCUUUUCGAUCAACUACAUUAUUUAUGUACAUUGUAUACGUCGGGUUUUGUCUGCGGGUCUCUGGCGCGAUCCCUGGUCUUGGCGCAAUUAUAUUGUUUUCAUUCCUGACGUGUUCUGUUUCUAUUUAUUAUUUGUUACGCGCCUUUGGCGAAAAUAAUACGUUUUAUAUCGUUCAUCAGCACGCUUUUGAUCCGAUACACGUUUUCGUUUUCUUUAUUUAUAUAUAUAUUUAUUGCCCACUUGAAAAGUACGGUUGCUUAUUACUUAUAUGUAUGUAUACUUCAGAAUUUAAUUCGGAGCAAAUUAUCGAGUAUUUUAUUACGGGUAUAGGCACUCGGCCCGAUUAUAUUGUACCGUAUAGGUGUAUAUAAUUAUAAUACGCAUAACCUUUAUGAGAACCUAUCCGUUCCCCCCCCCUCCUGAUCCAUUAAACUGCCCACAUUUGGAUUGUCGAUUGAAUUAUUGUGUACCGUAUAUUAUUAUAAUAUUUAAAUGCGAACGCGCGCGGGGAAAUUAAAAAAAAAAAAACAAAAACAAAAUACCUACAUAAAAUUUUAUUACACCGGCUAAUAGAGUGAUAAUAAUAAAGGUCUGACGAUAAAUCUGUCACGCGCGCGUAUAUGAUAAUUCUUACCCGGCUGAAUAUGUAUUUAUCGAAAUCUAAUUUAAACGCGCGUAUACGUUAUUUAUAUUUUAUUAUGUUUGUUAAUGUACGAGUAGCGCGCGCGCGUUUCCGUCGGCAAUAUAAUUUGAUAGAGAGAGAAGAAAAAAAAAUAUAUAUACGACAAAUAUACUUCGGAGAAAAAAAAAAAUUUCCCCGGCCCACUGUGCGCCCGACGCUUUACAAGCAAUAUAAAUUAUCGAACUUGUUUUUUUUUUUUUUUUUUUUACUUUUCCCCCGUCCGAAAACCGUCCGGGUUACCAUACUGUUAUUAUUAUUACACGGAACAGUCGCGGCUGUAUGUCGAAGAACGCGGGAGAGAAUCGGUUUUUCGAGGACCGCGAAACAAGGUCGCGUGACGGCCGCGCUAUACGACGACGUCCGUACGUAAUAAUGUUCACGGGAAAAUAUUGCGCUGCGCGGCUCGCGUUUCGUUUUUUUCUCCUCUACCUGUAUCAUUUUUUGGGUUUUUUUUUUUUCGUGUUUUCUUUUACCGCCGGAACGACCGGUCGAAUAAAUCACUGCAUUAUUUUCGUUCCCCGCGCUCUGGUGCCCGCUGAUUGCGCGCGCGCGGCUCCGGCGCGUAUUCGUACGGUUUUGUACAUACGCGCGCGCAGUACAAUAUUAUUAUGCCUCCAUUACGAGACGUGAUUUAUCGAACGGAAUAAUAGUGUAACAUAGGCACACACGCGCGCGCACACAUACACACACACACACACGAGCGAAGGUAUAUAUCUCACGAAAUUUCCCCCGCCUCGCGUAUAGACUUUUUUUUUUUUCUCUCUCUCUACUCCUCGACGGCAGAAUACAUAAUAAUAAUAAUAAUACGAUAGUUGUGUAGCGAGCGGCCGCGGCGCGCAAUCGCGUCUUAUUAUCUCUCGUUUAAUUUAUUAUUGUUUAGAAAAAAAAAAAAAAAAAGUAAAACCAACCUUCUUUAAUUGGCGGAUCUCUCGUCACGCCGCCGCCGUUGCUCUCUCGAGUCACGGGCACCAAUUACGUGUAAAUAUUCGACGGUUAAUUGGUUCGUGUGCGUGCGCGCGCGCUCGCGCGUACACUUUUUACGGGCCGCGUGCGACGAGAAUAUCGUAACACCGUCGCGAUAGACGGCGAAAACGCGCGACGUUCCGAUUCCGCGGGGACAUUUCGGGGCGCCUGCUAUUUCGACGUCGAUUCGUCGGCGGCCAACCAAUAAGCGCCGCGGUGGAAAUUCUUUUCGCCGAUCGUUUUUGUGCGUGGUACAAUGAUACGCGAUUCGCAUUCGUGCAUUUCCAUCUCUGCCGCUGUUGUUUACCCCUCGUUUUCCAUUCGAUUAUAAUAAUACGCGGUACUAAUAUUGCAACAUUAUUGAAUACAAACCGAUACGUUUUAUUAUUGUCGUUAUUAUUUACAAUAAAUAACAAUUUUUAAUUUUCGACGGCCGCGUCAAAACAACAGCGCCGAAAAGUCAUAUUAACACGUCUAAAACAAAUAAUGGACAACGGCGUCGGCAUUGGCCCGUCUCGUACCGGAGCGUCGUUCUACAUUUUCUUGUCACGGGCCGCAUGACGGCAGUCACGUAUCGUGUACGAUGUAACUCUUACCGUGUAAACGCCUAAUCGAUUUAAUAAUUUUCGCGCACGUUGUUAUUUCGAACACUUUUGUAUUCGUUUCGUUGCGAUCUGUACCGCCGCGUUUUACCGAGCCCCGCGCACUAUGUGCACGGUUCUAACCGGUAUCGCGCGGACGACGAUAGACGGACGAAAGAAAAUAAAUCGCCCAACCCCUCCGGGGAGUAGACGGGGAGGAGCGGUGGUCGUGGCGGUGGCGGGGCGAACGAAGAUGCGCGCGAUAGUCGUACGACUAUCGUACAGUGUUGUUAUUGCGAUACGUAUCGCGUGCGCGAUAUAAUAAUAUCGACGGCUGGCGGGCGGGAUGGAUGGAUGGAGGGGGGGGGGCGAUGAGAACCGCCGGACUCGACGGCGGCGGCAAAGUUAAUGAUGACAUUACCGCGCGCCGAGUCGUGACCGUACGAUACAGAGGAAUAAUAUUACCGCAUCUCUCGUAUGCGUACAAUAAUAAUAAUAAUAAUAUUAUUAUUAUACGUACGGUACGGCGUAUAUUAUAGAGGCGGUUCGGGGCCGAACCGAUACUCUUGUCCGUCCGUCCGUCCGUCCGUACGCACGUACAUCGCUCCGGUGCAGCUGCAACGAUUCGUGGCGGAAUGGCCCCGCCGCCGGUCUACUGAGAUUGCCGUAAUAUACCUACGUGUUCCUUUCAACGUUGUAACACCAAUUUUCUCGUUUAAUAUAACCGCGCGCGCGCGCGCGCGCCCUGCACACGAUCUCUUCAUCUCCUAUCGCGUCCGCGUGCGCGCAGGUAUACGCGUUACGGUGUACACAGCGUCUAUGUUACGCGCGUGCGUGCGCGCGCGUGUGUCGGCGUACACGCCGCGAACGGCGGGAGGGGGCGGAUAGGAGACUGCGCGGGGAGGAGUCGCGUCGCGUAUUAUUAUUAUACGUGUGUACAUUUUUUUUUUUUUUUAAUAUUUUUAUUAUUUUUUUUUUUACGCGUGUAAGGUGUAGUGUAUACGAUCCCGUACGCGUACAUAUACGUGUAUUAUAUUAUAUACACGAACAAAAGGUCGCCUCCGGCCGUAUACGGUACACGGUGUACGGAGCCGCCGCCGCCGCCACUACCGUCAUCAGCUAGCGGCGGCGGCGGCGGCGGACGGACGGUCGGGCGACGCGCGGGACGAUGAAGACAUUAAAAAACCAUCAGACCGCGAAGCCGAGCACCGAAAAUCCGUUUUUAUCGGGUUGAUUACACAAACACAAUAUAAAAAUCGUAUCGAGGAACUGCGGCCGCGGCGGCGGCGUAAUUACUUGUUUGGUGUGUUUAUACCCCCGUCGUACGUAUACACCGCGCGCACGAUAUUAUUAUUUAUAUAUAAUAGUGAUAAUAAAAAUAUAAAUAUAUACGGCGAGUUACACCGCGUGAAUACCGCCGAUUCCGUAUGUUGCGCUGUGAUGUUAUUAUUAUUAUGUACCCGCCGAGAAAAGUGUUUACGGAAGCGUAACUCCGAACGCGUUAUUAUGUGCGUCUGCGGUGCCCGAUAUUUUUUUUCGUCGGUCGGGGGAAGGGGGUCUUUUAAGCCUACCAAAUCCGACCCGACGCAGGUAAACCGGCAGCUACCGGCAACAUUGUUUACGGCACUGUACACACAGAGAAGAAUAUCUGGUCGCAGCGCACUCGAAACGGACAUUUUUCUCGAGUGUACCCGCCCCGCGUGUGACGCGUAUACCACGUGUAUAUGGGUCGCGCGCAUAGGUUAGACAUGAGCCACGGCGGCCAGCUGCCGACGUGCGGUUUCGGGGUGCUCUCGUUUUUUUUUUUUGUUUUUUUUUUCCGAUUCUCGAUCCCCGUUCCUUUUUUUUGCCCGUCCCGCGUUUACCCUCAAUUAUUGGGUUUAGGCGCGCGCGGCCGUCCUUCAGCACUCGCACGUUCGAAUGAUCAUUACGAUACGCGCCGGGGCUGGAAAACGCGCCGAUGUUUUCGUUUCUCUAUUCGCGCGCGCCGUUCGCCGUUCAAUUAUCGCGUGAUUAUUGUUGUUGUUGUUGUUGUUGUUUUCGGUACCUGUUGUGCUACCGCCGCCGACGUCUUCCCUCCGCCGAUUUUAGGCUUACGGCAUGGCGCAUCAUUACGAUUCUUAUCAUUCCGCGGACUCUUUCGCGUACCCUCCGAGGCCGGCGGCGGAACAAUCAUUCCGAAGAAAAAAUCGGUCGAAAUCGAUUGCAUUAUUAUCGGACGCGCUCUCGCGGCAACAGAAACGCGGUUGACGCGUCGCCGUCGCUGUUUUCCGGCAAUAAUACUUCCGGUGUUUCCGUUGACAGUUAUUCGAUCGGCACGCAGCACUCGCGACCGCAAAAUGACCGUAGUAACCGUAAACGCCGCGACUACCAGAUUCUAAGUAGCAGCCACUUUUGUUCUCCCCCCCCCCGCGAAAAUCCUGUUUUAUCGCGAACGCGCGUGAUAUUUACACCUAUAAUCGUUGUUAUUGUUCGCUGGGCGCAAUCGUCCGCGACGAACUAUCGUGUCGCACUCGUUUACAGAUUCGCCGAAUUCCGCAGACCUUUUGUUUUUGUUUUACCGCCCCCCCCCCCCCCCGCGACAAACGACAAAAAUCGCCGCGUUUUUCGCUUUCGAGAAGUAUAAUUAUUACGGCGCGUACAUUUCGUCGAUGUUCAAAAAUGACGAAAUACUUUCUGUUUUUUUUCCCUUUUUUUCUUCCACCGUACCAGCACUCUUUGUUUGUUUUUUUUUUCUACGGCCAAUCAAUUUCGCCUCCGGUCGACGCCGAACGCCAAAAGCCCUGUGCAGCGCGAAUCCCCCUAUCCCUUGUUCUUUUCGAAGAAAACCCUCUAGUCGCGAACGAUUCGCGCGCGCCGCGGCGUGUAUAUCCCGGUCGAAAAACGCGCGGCGGCGGGAACACGUGCGAAUGGCCGCGAUUUGUGUAAUAUAGCCCCGAGGCACCUCUUUCGUAUACAAUAUAAUUAUACCGAACCGUUUGUUCGUGUUUACCGCGGUUACCGCCAUUUUGUUUUCGGUGUUUUUUUUUUUUUAUUUCCCCGUAAUUUAUGCCGCGACCCACAGCGGUAAUCUUGUUUAAUAAUAAUAAUAAUAAGGUAUUCCAGUCGAACACAAUGUGUGCGUGUGAGAGAGCGUGUUGCCGUUGCCGUAAUCGAAACCCGCGGCUCGUUAAAUUGUAAGGUUCUGCGGAUGCCGUGCUAAUGACGGGCGCGUUUUCAAAGCAAUAACACUAUUUAUGUAUUCACAAACGGGAGCGCUGUUUGAUCAGCGGGCACAUAUUAAUUAACAAAGCUAUUACUUUAUAACAUUUUAAAAAUACGCGCUCGAUCGACUAUCGAAAUCAUCGUUUUUGAACGGAACCCGGAAUGACGCGCGGACGCUCGCGGGCGGUACCGCGAAUUGAGUGUCCCGCGAAGACGUAAUACUCGUUGCCUAUAUCUCCCGAGAUAGUAAACGCAAUCGAAUACUGAGUUUCUACUAUACUCGUCGAGAUAAACACCGAGGAUAUUUACGUUUGAACUGAAUUUCUAUUGUCUGAUAAAGUAAAAAAAAAAACAAAACAAAAACGUAAAAAAUAACUUUAUUUUAUUAUUUUUGAACAAUAUGAAAACAGCCGUUUUAUAGAGUUUAUUCUUCUACUAAACAUUUUGACGUUUCAGCCUGUUAUUUCCAUUAAACUCAUCGUGAUUUUUAAUAAACUGUUUAACAAGUUAAGUGAAGCGUACAGUCGAUUUUAGCCUUAAUAAUAAUAAUGUUACAUUAACUAUUAUUCCGAUUACCUAAAAUUGUGCAACAGGCCGUAAUCGCAUUUGCUAAUGGACUAUUAUUAUUAUUUUGGGUAAUGGUUAUUAUUAACGGGUCUGUACACUUUUUUUUCUCUGGACUUAAAAAAUCACGACUUCAAUAAAAAUAAAAAGUUAAAAUGUCAACGUUUUACGACAACAUAAAUAAUUUAAUUCGAAUAUAAAUAUUUGUAGUCCUUAUCCCCGCGAGUAAUAUAAAAACAGAAUUUUAUUACCCUUAUUAUCUCUGGAGAUAUAGCAACGGAUAUGCCUUUGUAGGACACUCUGUGUACUAUAAAUAUAUGAUGUGUUUUGAAUUUCUCAGAAAACCUUUUUUUUAUUCUUUCUGUUCGUAAAAAUGUUCUGAUUUUUUACCGUUUUUCGAAAAAAAAUGUAAGAAUCGGACAAAACGUGACGAUAUACAACAGUGACGCACACCGCACGGCGGGAAGUACAUGCGGCUGUUUAAAUUUUGAAUCGAAAUGUGCGAUAAUGUGCUCACCUACCGGAAUGUUGAAAAAUUUUUCUACUGAUCGAAUUCACCGUAUCAGUAAUCUAUCUAAAAUUGGCUGUCCUACUUACCCUUUCUUGAUUCAAAUGAAGAUAUGAGUUUUAUCUUUAUACAACUUUUAUAGAUUUUCGAUGUUAUUUAAAAAAAAUCAUUAUUAUGAUACGACCUAGAAAUAUUAUCAGUACGAGCCUGAAAAACUUAUCGAUUUUAUUUUCUACGAAUAAUUUAUGUUAUCAUGAAAAAAUAUGUUUUAGAUAUUGUAUCGAAUAAUUUAUACUGUUUUGUGGUAAACCGUAUAGCGAUUCGCACACGUAUAAUAUGUAGCUAUGUGUAUAUAUAUAUGUAUACAGGUAUCUCAAUUAGUUAAAAGAUAAUAUAACACGUGUUCGAGUAAUACACACAACAAAACAAAUAUAAUAAUAAUAAAAAAAAAAACCUAUGUUAAAUGUAUACAGGUACAAUUUACAUUUGUUUAAUUAACGGGCCGGUUAGUUCAUUGGCCAAGUAAUAUUUUUUUGAAAGUUGAAACAGUUUUUGGAUUAUCUAUUUUUAAAUAUAGUACACGCGGCAUCCUUCUUAUAUAAUUAAUAACAAACAACAUAUUCUUUAACCCUUCUGUCCUCGUAGUUUAAUUGGUCUUAUGAUUUAUGAAUUAUGAUUAUUCAAAUUUUUUUAGUAUAUUAAAGAAAAGAUGGGACAGUACGAAAUCUGAAAAUAGAUUUUAAACAAAUGUAUACCCGCCCCUGAUGUACUCCAUCAUGUAGUUUGAACUUAAAAUCUUUAUUUUAUUUUUUUUUUUUUUUAAUGCUAACGUGGUUUGAAAUUAUGUUAUGAACAAUUUUUAGUAAUCUCGUAUUGUUAGUCAUUAUUAUAACCUAAUUGUAUGAUAGUAGCAUAAGAGGUAUGAAGGCAGUAUAUAUAUUAAAGAGGUAAAGUGUAUUGAUUAACUGGCGACAUAUUUAUUUAUGCCUCGAAUUAUGUGAUAAAUGUGACGAUAAAUAAACAAUUUGAAAUUAAUUUAAUAACAAAAACACUGAUGAAACGUGCAGUCGGCUUGUAAGUCAAAACUGUAGCUCUUCACUCGUAAAAAAUUAGUGGUCUCACUUGGUGACGUCCUAUCGAGGUAUUUACAUUAUUCAAAUAUUUCAUGGGCGUUGAUCAAUAGAAUCGGACCUACUCUUGGUUAUAGCGGCCGCCAAGCUUCAGACAUAUUCAUAUUAUAAUAUAACUCUAUAUUAUAUAGUCAACUACAGUUGUUUUACGCGAUAUUGUAUCAGUGGUCACAUCAAAGUCGGUGCGGAACACAAUAAUAAUAUUACCUGUAUAUUAUAAAUCAUUACCUAUGCACAUAAAUAAAUGAUAAAUAACUCAUCGAAUAGAUUUUUAAUAACAACAAACGUUUUUAAUACGAAAAUCUAUCAAAUAUACUGAUAGGUUUUUAACAAUUUUUUUUUUUUUUAAACGAUAUUUUCACGAAAAUCGGUUUGUUUAUUGUAGCCCGCAGCCUGUACAUAUGCGUGCAACAUGAAUACUAUAAUAUUUAUAAUAAUAUAUUCACGCGCGGCGUUUGCCGGCCGAGGUGGAGAAGGCGAGUUUCUUAUUACUACUAUACCACUAUUACUACUACUACUACUACUACUCGCGCAUACUUGUAUAGUAAAUAAUAACGACAAUUUAAACGGCACUUAUUAUUAUUUAAGAAAUGCGCGUCGCUCGUUUUCUAAAUAGACAUUUCGACGAUUUAUAUACGUGGCCUCCGGGGUCUCGCGGAGAGUACAUUAUAUAAUAUCCGCGGGACUUCUUAGCAUAAUAAGUGUGCGUAGGCUAAAAAAAAAAAAAGACCGAGGGGUGGAGGAAAAAAAACCGCAAUGUGUUAAACACAAACAAUGGGACGUUGCGCGCGCUUAAUUUUUUUUAUUUAUUUAUAUUAUUUUUUUUUAAAUCAUGAUAAAUUGACCUUUUGUUUUGGUAUUUCGUGUUUGCGUGCGUGUGUAGGAAGAAGACGAUUAUCAGUGGUGGACCGAGGAGGACCUGUGGAAGUUUCCCCCGCCGCCUCCCCGUCCACCGUUCCUGGAGCCCCCCAUACCGGACGGCCUGACCACUUGCGACCUGUGCACAUGGGCCCUGCAACCUCAUCUGGAAGACGGUGAGUGUUUUUUUUAUUUUAUUUAUUUAUGAAUUUUUUUUAUUUUUUUUAAACGGCCAGCUAUUGUGUCGCCUCAUUGUUGUUAUUAUUAUUAUUAUUAUUAUUAUUUUAACGUUCUCUUUUGUGUUUUGUUUUAACCGAGUGUGCCCGGGCGGCCCGGCCCGUUCCCGUCGGUUUUUUCGCCUCGCCUCCCGCGCGCGACCGCCCGCCGCUCUCUGUAAAAUUCUUCUCGUUGCCUACCGCGCGUACACCUCUGCGUAAUAAUAACGUAAAGUGGACGACGUCGUCGCCGCCGCCGCCGCCGUCUCCUCGAGCUCCUUCGCUCGCGGUAAUGAUUUUUUCGUUUUUCACGCGUCUGAUCGCGAUCGAAAUACACGUUAAUAACAACAAUGAUAAAGAUUCCGUCCCGCGCGUCCCACCGCACGGUUACGGCGUUACAACACGCCCGCCGUAUGGCCGUUGACGCCGCGUGCGUGCAUGUACGCGUAAUAUACACGCGUACACGCUCACACACACGCACACACGCGCGCACACACAGACACACACGCGCGGGCAUUAUGUGCACAGUACUGUAACAAUGUCGUAGCGACGUCCGCGUCUCGUUCCCGCGGACGCGCCGGCACCUCCUCUUUAUUUUUAAUAUUAUUUUAUCGCCGUAACGAGACGCGGACCGCCGCGACGUCCUGGUCACGACGAACCGCCGUGGUGUUUCGCGCCGCGUUAUUGUAAUAUUCAUUUUUUCUCGCGGGCGCGCCCGCGGUCUCCCGCGUACGCCGCUAUCGGUACGCGCGCGCCCGAAACCGUCUCCGGCCGGGCCGCAGCUCUCUUCGGUCUGUACACGACACUACUAUUAUUAUUAUUAUAUAAUAUCAACCGGGUUAAAGUGCGUCCCGCGUAUAUUUACGUGCGCACACUGAAAUGUACGCGCGUUUAAGAGGGAGGGGGGGAGCGGGAAAUACGCCCAACAGGAAAUUGCUCGUUGGCCGCAGUCCAAUGCCGAUAAAUUAAACGACGGCAAUCGGCUCGUCUCGCCAAAGUUUUCAUUAUGUUUGUUGUUGCACUCCGCGCCGCCGCCGCCGCCAGUAUCAUGUCGUCGCGACGCGCCGUCGCGUAAUCUCAAGUGAACGCCACUGUCGCGUCGCCGCUGUCGGCCGAGGUACGCCGCGGGACGUUUUUUUUUUUUUUUUUAUUUUUUUUUAUUUUUAGACGAGUCUAUUAUACAGCAAUAACAUUUCCGCGCCGAAUCACACGGGACGCGCGGUGCGGCCGUUUAAACGGCCAAUUUAUCGGCCGCGCGAUUGCGAUUGAUAAUAUUAUCGUUUGCGGAAUAUCGAACGUAACGUACCUCGCGGCAUUUGACGCCCGGCACGACGUGCAGGAGGAAGUGGUGGCGGGUCACCACACCCAUCUCUCGGGGAUGAGAGGGGGGGGAGUGCGUAGGUUUAAGAUUUAUUACAGGAACUCAAUUUUUUUUUUAACCGCCGAUUCCGUCGUAUUUCAAAUAAUUGAUUGACAGACCCCCCCUCUCCCCCCGUAAAUAAUCUGAUAUCUGCGCGGCCGUUUUGGCUAAACAAUCCAAAAACUAUUGGCGAUUUAAUCUUGAAACGAGUAUUAUAUUUUACAGCCAACAAGGAUUAUAUUGAAUGAAAACUAUUGGCUUUUUAUUGCCAUUGUCAGGUCAGGUAUAAAAUAAAAAAAAUCCUAGUGUUCCACGAUUUAUAUUAACCACGAUUAUUAUUUGCUAUACGUUCCGUCUCAAUUCCCGGGCACGCCAUCGAUAUCUUUUUUUCUACUUCGUGGUACUUACUUUUAUAAUUAAUUUGUUUUUUAUAUACACACACUGUAAAAAUUAUUGUAAAUCUCUGUAGAAUACAUUAUUAUUAAUAUAAUCGUUGGCGGGUUAGUUCCGUGGGUAAGUAUCCCGGAGCCUAAUACCAAUGGAAAUUCCGACGAGUUUACGAUAGAAUCGACGCGUUUUCUUUGCGCGAAUCGUCUAUUUAAAUCAACUGCAGUUUGAUUCACGUUCGAUAGAAAAAAAAAAAAAAAAAAUCGUUACGUAAACAACGUAACCGGGCAUAGUCGCCCUAUAUAAUAUAUAUCUGAUAUUUCGUGCUGCACACUUUUCACAUAAAAAAAAAAAAAAAAAAAACCUCACGGAUAUUCUUAAAUGAUGCAACUAUGCCUGUUUAACUCACCUGUUUCUCUAAUCCUAAUAAAUAUUGUAUACAUUUUUAUUGGAGUGUAAAAUGCUUUGAACUCGAUGCGUUUUUCCCAAAAUAAUAAUAAUAAUACGUGUAUAAAGAUGUUACCUAAAUAUGUUUUUAUGAAAUAGCUCGUACCUGUAUACCUGUAUUAUUAUUAUUACUGACGGUUUAUAACAUUGUUAUUACCUAUAUUACCUAUUUAUUUUUUCUUCGUUACCAAUAAUUAUGUCGUUGGUGCGUAAUUAUUAUGGGCACCGGGCCAACACUUUUUCUUUUCGUGCCGCGCGUUAAAAAAAAAAAAAAAAAAACAUAACAAAACCAAGUGCACGUUGCGUGCGCAAACCAUCGCGCUCGGCAGUGGUCUCGACUGACCGUCUCAUUUUUUUGUUCGUGCGACGUGUACACGGGUCUCGGGCGAUUUUGCGUUCCGUCGACACGUGCGACCGUUUAAAACGGCAACAAAUCACGCGGUUUUAACGACUUUCCAGCCGACGUCCGAUAUGUUGUGCAGGUAUAUAUUAUACAUAUAUAUAUAUAUAUAUAUAUAUAUAUAUAUAUAUAGAGAGAGAGAGAGAUAUUCUGAAGACACGACGACGUUGAUUGCAACCGACACGGCUAAAUGACGGGACAGCGGGCGGUAUUUCGCCGACGAUUUAGUGUUGGUUUAUACAAUACGAUUCUAAUGUUAUUGCGCUCUGGAGUGGCGUGUCCACGCACAAGAGGAGACUAUUCGGCCCUAGGAUUGACAAAGACAAAUGUCCUCGAUUAAACGCACAGAGAGUAAAAUGAAAAUGACGAAAUCGCCGAAAUUCCGAAAAAGAUUGUAGCGUAUCAUAACAAUGCGAAGUGACCAAUGGCUAAAUAUGAUAAAAUGUAAAAUUCCUGAGUUUUAAGGGCGAUUAACGUCAGAGGUUUUCAGCGGUGACCACAAUCAAAAUUACACAAGAAAUAUCGACGAUAAUUAUUUAACUACAAUAACAAGUUCGUUUUUAUAAGAAAAAUAAAUAUAUUUAUAAAUAAUUCAACUCUUAUAGUGACAACAUUGUGCGUAGGUUUUCAGCAAAAGUCGCCCUAAACUAUAAGAAUGCACCUAUUUUCUUUGUGUUUAAAAAAAAAAUACUAAAAUAAUUUUUUACCGUUUGGAAACGGCCAUAAAUGUUGUUUUUUAGAUUAUGCGGAUUCGUAGAACUCGAAACGUUAAAAGCUCUACUGCGCGAAUUCCCCUUUGGACAUGAAAUAUAACCGGGGGAAAAAAAUAAAUAGUUUCUAACGCCACUGACUCUAUUAUUACAACAUCUCGACCUCACACGUCGAAUACGAUUUUUCCGCUCUUGUUUUCGUUCACAGUGAUGUUUUUCUCGUUUUUUUUUUUUUUUCAGCGACAAACCUUUAAGUAUAGGUACCUCCUAUAUGUAUCUAGUUUUCGGACGACGGCGGCGGUCGUGUUCGGACUUUUAUUUUAUUAUACGAGUAUGUUGUUACGGCCCACGCGCGAAAUAUCCGUAACGAAAUAAUUAAAUUAAAUUCCGUGUUGAAAAAACAAAAAAAAAAAAAAACAUAAAAAACUACGCAAACACGGGCGUAACCCACUCGCGCAUACACAAAUUAUUUCCGAAAUGAAAACAUAAUAUUCCCGAGAUGUGUUAUGACGAUUGUGCGCGCGCGCGUAAUAUCUGUAUACCAGUAGAAGUCGCGAGCAAUUUGUAUUCGACUACCUACGUUGUAAACUCGUUUUUAUAAUAUUAUAUCUCCGCUCAACAUGCGCGUUAUAAACGCAAACAGAUUAUAUUAUAAUGUAUACAUUACCUAUACGAUUCGAUAUAUUAUUGUUAUUUAGAGUACGGGCCCGCUGCACACGCGUAUAAUGUGCGGCACGCGUUUCGAAAAAAAAAAAAAAUCUCCCGACAGAUUUAAAUCGCAAAACAUUUCGCUAUUGGCACCUACAUAAUGAUCACACGCCCGGUGUGUAUAAUUAUUGAAAUUGGUUUUGCUGGUGCGGAAACGAGGAACUCGUUCUCGGUCUUUGUUCGCCGUUAAUGUCGAUCAUUGACAAUAAUGGUAUAGAGACGUCGUCUCCCGUUUAAGUAUUCCUAUACGGCCUGCGGGUCUAACGAAUAACGACGAUAGAUUUUUGUUAAGCGGUUUCUGUCACAAACGAUAGUUAACUAUCGCAACAGACGUGUUCGAAUUAAUAAAAACCGUAUUUUAGGAAUUGAAAAUUUGUUCAACUCCGAUUCAAAUGCCGUGUCUCCAAAGGGCACGCGACACUGCCGAUUGCCAAGCGUGUAAUGUUGAUCACGCAACCGAAUGCAAUUGAUAGGUAACGCAUACAGCAAUACAAGUAGGUAUUACGAGACUAGUUGUCCCGCGCCCGGCAUUGCCCGGGUGGAUUUUUCAUUCUUUUUACAUUUAUUUCCGUUUUGCUUUGUCCGUGUCGGUAUAUUGAACUAAAGCAAACGGGCGGACAUUGGGUAGUCCGCGGACUAAAAAAAUUGUUCUAGUGUGUCAUACAUUUUUUUUUUUCAUUCGUAUUACCAUAAAUACCCGCACAACACAGGGAUUAAACUAUACAUCCGCUAUAAAAGUUGUUACGGCGUUUUUUAUUUCUGUUUAUCGUUUGUUCGUUUUCAUUUCAUCCGUGUUUCAACAUGUUUGCAAUCCGUUUUAUUCAACAAAAAUAAUUUUAUUUUCGUACCAAAAAUACCUAAAAACCUUUCAUGUCCUAUUUUACCUCAUUCAAGUUUUAUUUUUGUGACAAAAAAAGUAGCCUAUGUUUUUCUCUAAGUCCACGUCUAUUUCUACACUAAAAUUCAUCAAAAUCCGUUCAGUAGUUUUUGCGCGAAAUAGUAUCGAACAUCCAUCCAUACGUCCUCACAAAUUUUUACAUUUAUAAUAUUAUAGUAGGACAUACGAGUUUGUGUGUGUUUAAUAUUGCGUACCCAAGAAAAUUAGUCUUUUUCGUCGGUUUUAUUUUUAUUUUUCGAAAUAAUCCGCAUCACUUGCUAAAAUACCGUAACGGCCCGAGUCGCAAAGUCAUACUCUGUGCAUGUGUGUGUGUGUGUUCAGUCUGAAACACGUGACCCGGACGUUUGGGAAUCGGCUGCUGCAGCGGCGUUAUUAGAGAGUGAGAGUCAGAGAGAGAGAGACGAUGUAGUCGUUGUCGUUGCGGGCGAAGCUUCGCAGAAAAUCGUUGAUUUUGGCAUGAAAACCAGACCACUCGGAGACCCGCUCCCGCGAUCUACCACAGGGUGCACCCGUAUAUAUAUAUGUGUAUGUGUAUACGGUGUGUAUAAUGCAUACAAUAAUGAUAAUAACACGCUGACGCGGAACAGAGAGAGGAAAACAUUAAUCACGUCACAUUUAACACGUUCCCGGGCCCCGGUCCGUAUACGCGGGCGCGCGCGCGCGCCCGCGUAUAAUAACGCGUACACCUCACUCGGUGGAUGUCGGUGUAAUUUUUUUUUAUUUUCGUUUGCCGAAAACCAGAACGGCGUGUCUCGUGUGAUACGCCGACACGGCCCAAAGGAGCUUAUGAUUUGUGUACGGAGUUGUGUAUAGACGUUUAACACCCGACGACAAAAUGAGUCGUUAUAAUAAUCGGAGAGCCGCAGCCGCCGCCGGAAAGAGGUGUAACUGUACAAUAUUAUUAUUAUACAAGACGUAUGUUAUAACACGGGUACAUGAUGAUAAUAAUAAUAUAUGUGCACACGUCUCGAGGAUUAUUAUUAUUUCUCCCCCGUCCCACCGUUCGAAAACCGGACUCGCUCCUGGAUUGGAUCGGAUACAAUGACGGCGGCGGCGGUUCGGAAAUCAUCGUAAUGAAUGGGUUCCUUAUCACGCGUACCCGGUACCGUCGUCAUGGGCGAAAAUUUCACGUUUCCCCCACGGACGUUCGCGCGCUACAACUAUGGCGGCGUCGAAUUUUUGUACGUCUACGUACGCGUCGGGUUCGUUACACGCGGGCUACACAAUGUCGGGGGGGGGGCGGCGGCGGCGGNNNNNNNNNNNNNNUGUCCGGGCGCGGAGCGAGGAAGGGAGGAGGGGGACCGACGAACGGUUUUUUUAAUUUAGCCAUCAGUUGAUACAAUAUCUUUGACAGGUAUAAUUAUGGCCAGCCGACAGAGACGGGUUCGUGUGUAUAUGUGUGUGUGUGUGUGUGUGUGUGUGUGUGUGUGGAUCCAUGACAUUUAAUUAAAAUAUAUCAGCGUUAGUAUAUUAUGUGUUAUACGUGUAUAGAGAGAAAUAGGUACACACGCGCGCUCGCGCACUCUAUUUUAUAGCCUCGGGUGGCGGCGACGUCAGUGGCGGCCGCGUCAUAUGGGCGCGGGAUGUGUUUUGUUCGGACCGAAUCUCGCUCGGGAACAAAGAGUCGAAAAAUGGAUGUCAUAUAUUUAUUUUUUUUAUUAUUUAUUUAUUAUUAUUAUUAUUAUUAUUUUACUGUACAACGUUAUUAUUAUUGUACAUUGAUCGCGAGGUGAAAAAAGACCCAUCGACGUAUUAUUACGGGCGGGCAAUAAUGUACCUUACGUCGGUAUACUCGCUACGACUCGUCGUCUAUAACAAUGUUACGUCUAUAACACUAGCGCGAUAAAAUAACACCAAUAGAUAGCGCGAUUUUCCCGCGAUUUUUGAAUCUGAUAUUUCGUCGCUCAUUACACGCGUAUACGAGGCGUACUGUAUAUUAUUUCGGCCACGGUUUAUCCGCAGAAGAAACGACCGUAUUGAACAAAAAAAAAAAAAUAAUAAUAAUAAUAAUAAUACGGGUUCUUUUCCAAAAGAGUAACACGGAAAUACGAACACACCGCCAACCAAUACACAUCACUUAUUGUAAUAAUAAAUUGAAUUAAUUAUACGGGAAAGAUUUCGAUAGGUGAAAAAAUACCGAUCGUAGUCGGCGGCGAAUUUUCUUUUAUCUACAUAGGUAGUGAAUGGUUUCUAGUCGAUCCCGUUUUCGUUCUCGUGGAUGACAAAAAACGGACGGUAAUUCGAAACUCACCUGAAGUAAAGCAGCUGAAUUUUUAUUUAUUUAUUUUCAUUUUUUUUUUUUCGUGUGUGUUUACUGCCAAUAUUUACAUAUUUACCGUCCGAAACCUUUUCAACUGUACAAACACUAAAAGACGUCCCUGCUCUCCGAAAGUCUCAUGUGUAUUGGUUUACCAGUUCAUUGGUGCCGUAGCCGUAGAGUGAGAGUAAAAAUCGAGUAAAACGAGUGGAAACAAGUGUCUCCCUGCAGCAUAUUCGAAUACAUACGUAUAUAUAUAUAUCUAUAGUGUACUGAUGUAAAAAAAACCGAACGGCCGGGGAGAGCUCGUUAGAUCACACAACGACGACGACGUCGAUGAAAAACCGGCUUCGGAAAUUAUAAUUUACGGUCUCCGAGUCCCCUGGCCGAAAAAAACUAUAAAAUAAAAAAAAAAAACUGACUCGAACAAUGUCAGAAAAACAAAUACACGCGCACGGCACGCGGGGAAAAAAAAAAAUCACCGAACGAACGCAUAAAUCGUCAACGAAUUCGAAAUAUGUAUUCCGUGCCUUGUGGCCACAUAAUAUAAUAGCGGUGUAUCUUUGGAAUCGUGUACUAUUAUUGUAUGCGCACUGAUUACCGACUGCAGAUAAUGGCCGGUGAGAAAAUAAAACACGUAAGUAAAUACGAAUAAUAGUCUGUAGAUUUUGAGGGGGGUUUUUUUUUUUCCCUUCCAUUUCCGUCAUUAUAUUUUUUUCGUUUAUAGUGGGUGCCCCCGACAGACCGAAUCGAGUUUUUUUUCGGUUCGACAAAUCUUAAUUGCGUUCGGUGCGACCGCUGCUAUCGGUGUACUUACCAUUCGAUUUUUGGGGAGAAAACCGUGUGUUUAUACCGGGAGUCGGCAACGCACAGUGGUUUUAGAUUCUGAUCGAAGCGAGGAACGUACGAUGCGGUUUUUAUUCGUGUCUGUAAACAAAUUUUCUAUCAGAAAUCUUACUCCAAUCAAAAGCUUACUAAGAACUUUCGUGUAGUGUUUUAUUUCUUGUCGACGCUCGUCAAACCGGUUAUUUUUUCGAUUUUUCUUGUGAUUUUCAUUAACAGUUGGAAAAACCGGCAAUUUCGGCAUGAUUUUUGAUCGAUUCCCGGCAUUACUUAAACCCGGAAAACCUGUAAUGAACAAAACAUAAGUGACAAUACUAAACCGGACGGAACUAUCAAUUAGCUCUCGGUAUUGAUUAUUUACGCUAUCCGAUAAAGUUUAAGUUAUUGCACGUCGUAAUGUGCAUACAAGUAGAAAUGUGUUCCAACGGUCAUAAUAACGUCGUUAAUCAUUUUUUUUUUUUAUAAAAUUAAUUUCAAAACUGCAUCAAUAAAACUGCAAGUACAUAUUAUUGCGUUGCGUCGCGUAGACGCGUGUUUGCGAUUAUCGAUUAUUCCAAUCAAAUAUGUAAAUUCGUAAAUUACAGUCUCCAAAUAAUCGUAAACAUUAAACAUAGUUUACAACUAUGCGUGUAUAAAUAUUUGCAUAACUGUAUAAUAUUUGCACUCUGCCGCGGCGAGCUUAUCGGUUAAUAUUAUUUAUAUAUAUACGCGUGUAUACGUAUACGCGUGCAUGCGUGUGCAUAGUUUGUGUUUAGUUUGAGUAUUUACUGCGAUUUUAGCAUAUUAUUAUUAUUAUUGUACGGGGUGUCCCAUUAGGACGACUGGCGCGGAUCCAGAGAGUCAUUAUUGUACAUAUGCGUAUACGCGGCGGACUGCCGAUGGGGGGAGAGGGUCGAAACCGUACGCGCGAGUGUAAACCGACUGAAUGAUAAUAAAUCGCGCGGUCUGUGAUUUCUAACCACGAGAACAUAACGUCGUGCGGGCGCGAGUGGUUUUUUUUUCCUCGAAAUUACUUAUUUUCAUUCUGUCGCGUUACCGCGUUAUAGCAGUUCGGAGCCAAAAGUCAAAAAUAAAUCGGUGACGAAAAUUCUUUAUCGCUCGCGAUGGCGCUUGUUAUCUCCAACAGUUCUUAAGUUCGGCCGUAGACUUUUGUCUCGAACGGUAUAUCCAAAACUGAGAAUAAUUGUUUUUUUUUCUCGUUGUAGAAAAUUAAUAAACAUAAAAAAAAAAAAAAUACACUCGGUAUACUAUUGUACAUGAUGUUACAUUAUCGUUUUUAAUCGGAUAAUAAUGUUAUUAUUUUGUAAUUUCUCGCGUCGAAAUCAUAUUUGUAUUUGCCAUUUCGCAAGAUAACGUCGUAAUACAUUUUAAAAUCCGUUGGAGUACGAUCGCGUUGCGAGGAGCAGGACGGCGAGCUAUAAUUAAAUUCUGCCGUUGACGCGCCGACAAAUAAUAAGUUACGAAACAAAGUUUUUGACGCGUAUCGUGCUGAACUUGAGGUCGUCAAUCCGGCGCGGAAACCUUAAGUUUCAGCCGAACAGUCGAUGCCGCAUAAGCACAAUAAUGUAAUAAAACGAUGCAGUUCCGGACGGCAGAUCGCGCGCCGGUAUCGCGCCGUUACAAUACGCGUACGCACGUGUGCAUAUGUGUGCACACGUACACACGGGCAACGCAAUUACAAUCGCAGCGUUCCCCGCGGAAUAAAACGGGCGGAAAAUUAAUUUUUCGACGGUUAAUUAUCGUUUUCGAACGGGCGCGAAACGUAUAAUAACACCGGCCGCGGCGUCACUCUCGGUGUUUUCGUUCGCCAACAAUAACGUUGAUAUUGAAACGUUAUAUCGCGAUUGUGUGGCACAUACUCGUGUGUGUCUCUCUCUCUCUCUAUAUAUAUAUACGAGUAUAUGAAUACGAUUAUAGAGCGGUUGACGAACUCCUCCGGUGCGGUUUUCCACGUCGAGCGGCGGCAAAUAAUAAUUAAAAUACGCAUAAUCCGUUUCGAAACUCGGCGCGGCGAUGCGUUGUGGGCUAUAUUGUUUUAUUAUGACGUUCGCGUAUACACACAAUACAGGCUCGGGGGACGUUUUCCCUACCCCCACACUCAUCGCCGGUGUAAUUGAAUAAAUCCGAUAAAUAUUAGCGCGGUGUGAAGCGUUUGUGCGCCAAAAAGUUCCCCUCCCCCCCCUCCCCCUCCAUAACACGUAAGUAGGUACUUACGGUAUUAUGAUCGGAGUGCGAAAACGUAAUUGGUGACGUCGCACAGCGUGGAAGACCGGGGGGAAGGGAAUUCUCUUCCGCGUUACGAUGAGCGGACAACGGCGACUGGAAAACGACCGCGACGCGAGACCGGCCGGCCCCCCGGGCCGCGCGCGCGCAUAACAUUUCUCGACGAGAAUGCGAUUAGUGACCGGGGGGGGGGAGGGGAAACCCGCGGUCCUUCCCGGGACGAUGCGGACGAAUGUGCGCGUCGUUCGAUGGCAAAUUUAUACACGCGCCCGGUAUUACAACAAACGACGACGGCGACAAAAUCGUACGAAAAAAAUCAUUACCGGCGACGGUCGGUGUCCCGGCCGCGUUACGCCGCGUCGCGGGUCAAAGGGGAAAACCGGAGACGCGCCCGCGAGGAACGACACGAAACGCAAGGAGUGCGUGUGCACCCGUAUGUAACGCGGUGUUGCGGGCAGUUGAGCAACACUCGCGGGAGCGUUUCGAUUCGGCUGCCGGGGGGUGAUGGGAGGGGGGGGUGAUGUCCGCGCGCGCGUCGAUUUCUUCGCGAUGAAACGCGCGGCGAAUAUCAUUGCGUGCGCGCGUGCGCCGCGACGCCGCGCUCGGAAACGGACAAAUUGCGGCGGUCACCGCGCGAGAUGACAAACGACGGGAGACGAUGAAGACGUUUCGAGGAGUGCGCGUUAAGCAAAAAAAAAAAAAAUCUAUUGAUACGGUCACGGCGGACGGCGGCCGUCGCGACUUAAACGUUUGUAACCGACGUGUAUUAUUAUUAUUAUGUUGCCGGCGACACGUUUUAUAUACGGAAUCGUAAAAAAAAAAUAAAAAAAAACACUUUGUAGAAGGUAAUUUAGGUAUCCGCGGCCCGCCGGUUCACUUUCUCAUUUUACAAGUCAAUAAAAUAAAAACGGGAAUAAUAAUAAUAAUAAUAAUAUACACGUAUAGGUUAGGCGGGUACCACUAAACGUAUUAUGCACGAACGCGCGGUCCUUCGGUCGUCCGCAACCGGUUACGUGCGGACGCCGAGUGACUUGUCAAGUCGCUAAUUAGUCAACCGGGGCGGAGGGGGGUGGGUGAUUAGUAACGCGGCGGUGUAACCAGUUGAAAUUUACCGGCGGACCCGACGAAAGUCGUACGCCGCAAUGAGAGGAUAAAAAGAAAUAUUCGUAUUAUUAUUGUUUUACCCGGGUACACUUACGGUUGGAAACCGGAUUUAUAUUCUCUUCGUAUCCACCGAAGCCACCGCCGCCGAUACGAGUGUAUAAAUCGCACGUUUCGGCCGUUUCACUCCUCGACAAAAUCCCAAAUGCGCCACAAAUGGACGUGCAUUCGUCGUCUUUCGGCUGUUAUUACGACAGUUGUCUAAUGGGACAACGACGCCGUGCGAGGUGGUGUACAGCACGAAAUAUUUCAAACUAUAAUUAAUAUCGUAUUUGGUCCCGGGGGGGGGGGAGAACCGUUAGAGGAGUAUUUUGUUCUUGUGGUUUUCGAUACGCGCCGAUUAAAUGUUCGGGUUUGCGCCCGUCUCUAAGAAAACCCGAUACAACUUCGUCGAAAUUUCUCGUUUUCAUUUUCAAAAGGCCCCGCCGCCGCGGAACGAUCAAUAAUAUCACAUCACAAUAAAAGGAAUUAUCGCGUGUCGCGUUUCUCAUUUCGCGCGAAUUUAUCGUCGAGAUUUAUGAUUGUGCGCGGGCGUCUCAUCACGUAGGCCGUUCGCCGUCGCGUAUUAUAAUUAUAUUAUUAUUAUUAUUAUAAUUCAAAACGCAACGCGAUUCGUUUUGGCGGAUAGGAUUUUAAACAUAAUAUUUUACGCUGCGGUCCGAUGGAAAAAAAUAAAAUAAUAAUAAUAAAUAAAUAAAUAAAAAAUAUGAUUUAUUCCGUCGAGAGUAUUUUCGUCUUAUUAUUAUUAUUAUUAUCAUCGCAUUUUUUCGACCGGACUCUAUACCGGGCCGACGAUAAUAUUAGAAAAAAAAAAAAAACGGUUUACACCGCGCGUGUAUAUAUAAUCAAGUCGUUAUUCCGCGUCGGUCUUUACAAUGCGUACUUAUCCGUCGACUUAUCUCGCCUCCGAGCGAAACGGCCGUACGGUACACGGUCUUACCCGUGCACAUUAAACACGAUGGCAAGAGAUGAAUUAUCUUUUAAUUCGAAAAUAAUGUAUUAUUAUCGGGCGCGCGUUCGAUUGUUAUUACGUUUUUUUUUUUUAUAUAUAUAUUUUUUUUUUUUUUUAUUGUUCGCCGCGACGCGCGAUUUACCGUCAAACGGUCGUCCGGAGUCGAUUUUCUGCGUUGGCGCGCGUGUUUCACGUACACAUGCAAUUACUUAGUUCGGAUUCUGUUCGCGGAGAGGAAACCUUGGGUUUGGAUGUGUGUGUUUUUUAAAUCUGAACUAUUUUAGCGAGAAAUACAUCAUAUCGGUUCAUGCGCGCGUUUUCGUUCCGUCUGUGAACGUAUAUUUCAGUGUCGGUCCACGUGCAGGGCGGCGGGUUUCUGCGCAUUCCCCUCGAAACGAUUGCUGGCGCGCCAAUCCCUGAUACGAGUAUAAUGUAGCAGUAACGUUACGAUACGUCUCAUUUCGAACUGAACCGGACAUUUUUCUUUUUAUUAUUAUUAUUUAUUUUUUAAAAGCUCAGUAAAUCAUCUAUUGGAUUUACACGCGUUUUUUCCCCGCCCGAACGAAACGUUUCCCAUCAGACGUCUUUCUCCGAUCUUGAAGUGUGAAUAUAGCAUCUUUUCCGAAAACAAAUUAACCCUACAGUAAUCGGUGCAUUGACGGAUGCCAUUUUUUUAAAUAUUUUUCUUGUUGUUGACAUUCAGUUACAGGUAAUUGUAGAAACUUGAAAUAUUCGCAAAAUAAUUAUUAAUAUUUGCCCUGUAUUUGCCCGUUUAUAGACGUGAAAAAACAUUCUGGUAAUUUUUCAGCCAUUAUUGUUGUAGACAACUGACAUUUUCUAGUUUUUUUAAGUUUUUAUUCAGUCUUAUGUGAAUAAAAUUUGUUUGGCUAUGUCAAAACGAUUAAAGGUUUGUUAUUUAUAUUUGUUGUACAUAGUAGCGAAAGCAAAAAAAAAUUUAAGCGACUUGUAAUAAUUUAUUUUAUUAGCGUUUUAAGUUCAAAAGUUGACGAUAAUUGUUAAAACCACGGCAUUUCAAAAUAUGUUCAACGGCAUUUCACUCAGAAACGUUUUUCGUUAACAAUUUAUGUAAUUUAAAAAUGAAUCUGUAUAAUAUUAUAUACUACGUUUUCAACUAACCACAGCAAUGUCACACACCCGUCAGUAGCAGUAUCAGUUCUUUUUUUAAUUUUAAUUUUCGUCUCAUAAGUCGAAGUUGAAAUAAAACCGAGUCCGCGAGAUAGUUUUAUUAUGUAAAAUUUAUUAUACAUGUUUAAUAAUUAAUUUCGAAAACACUGGUCGUAAACUGAUUAAAAAUAUACCAUUACGAUACGUGGGUAAUAAACAAAAUUCGCAUUAUUCUUGAUUAAUUAAAGCGUUGUUUUUUUUUUUUUUUUCUAUCCUCGAGAUAAUCAAUGCGUGAAAAUAUUAUGCCAAGUAAUCUGAAGUAUGUACGCACAUAUAUUUAUGUGUCUUCUAAAUCAGAUAUAAUGUAAACAAUAGUUUGGAACGGUGGAAGUUAUAUAUUAAUUUCAUUGUUGUUGUAAUAUAUUUUAUUAUUAUUAUUUUUUUUUUUUCAAAUCCACUGUCUAACCACCGCGCGUAUAGUCCAAUUAAAAUAAAUCGUGGCUUUUUUUUUUUUUUUUUUUUAUGUUUUAUAUUCUCGCAAUUGUAGAAGUAAUAUUACAUAGUAGGUAUACUUAUCCAGCAGACGAAACCCGGUUUUAAAAUGUAUUGCGUUUACCAAAUCCGCACUCGUUUACACACGCACGCGCACUAAAUUCUUUGCGUACGAUACGAUCAACCGUAUUAAAAUAUUAUAAUAUGAUUAACUAUCAACUAUGACUUUGCAGGUUAAUCAAAUUUCAGUGAGCUGUGACAUUCGUUUAUGUAACAAGGUCAGAGAGCACAUAUUAUUACCCACAUGCAAUAUGCGUAUAGACCGUGUCUGCAAACUAUCUAGAGCGUUUCUCGAGUUGCGUAUAUAUUUAUCACAUUAUGCUCAACAAUAUCACAAUAUCAUUAUAAUGGUUGUCAUAGACGAAAAAAAAAUCGAACAGCAUUCAAAUUAUUGGGUUUUCGAUUAGCUGUUCGAAUCGCCGUGGUCAUUUUUUUUUUUUUUUCUUGCCAUGUGUAAAUUUGAUUUUAAAUAAUUUUUAUAACGAUUUAACGAUACAUGUAUAGAUUGUCAGCUUGCAUAUUCUUCAACAAUUUCAGUUUUCUUUUAAGAGUAGAUUUUUUUUUUUUUUGUUUUUUUUUUAAUUUGGUGUUUAAGGUCGAACACGUGUAAGGCGGUGUCGAGAAACGCCGGUCAGCGGCGGGGCGGUAUUUUCUGAAUGACCGACAACCGCACACUCGGCUCGGUAUUUAAUUACAAAUAUUAUUUAUUUUCGAAAAUACGAUUUGGCACCUAAAGUAUAUACCCGCAACAAUUUAUGACGCCCAGAAGAAAUUUCGAGCCGUAGAUAUUUAUUAUGGCUCGCAGUCGUUCGCGAGACAUAUGCCCUACCCGAUAUAAUAAUCCCAAAAAAAAAAAAAUAAUAAUAAUAAUAAUAAAACUGUUCAGUACCUAUAGAAACUGUAGGAAAAAUAGAUUCUGGAUACGGGGUUAAGUUGAUUUUCAAACUGUCCGCCGUAUUCAUUUCAUAAUAAAUGCACGGUAUAUUGAUAAUAAUAUCUGUACUGUCACUCUGAGUUAGACAAUUUUAAAUGUACAGUCGUAAUUUUGACGCAAACAAUUUCGUAAUAUAUAAAUGUUAAUUUCAUACGAUUAAGUUAAAUGCUUAUUUAGUUACAUUAAAAAAAAAAAAAAACAGUCUAUUUGUAUAAUUUUCUGAUAAAUAAAAAAGACGUAAUUUACAAUCUGCUUGUUUCCAGUACUGAUCGGAGUAAUUCGAAAUACUCUAAAUUGUAUUUUUUUAUUUGCAUUGGAAUUUCGCAUAGUAUAAUUCCUUCUCUUACUGUUUCCGUUUCAUACACAGUAGCAGCACUAGCUUCGGUUAAUAAUUUAACUCACCUUCCGACCGACUGAUUGACGAUCUUCGUAUCACAAAGUCUACGAGAUACGUAUUUACGUAGGCGUUUGGAAUAAUGAAUAACAUUUUUACUGGCAUGCGAAAAAUAUCUGAAAACAAUGACAAACGCGCAUAGUAUUCAAAUUCUCUUUUAGUUGCAUACGCCCCGAACGUCACGGACAGCACUGUCAUUUAGAUAUAAAUUAAAACCUAUGACGAUAAUAUGCCAUCAAACAAAAAUAUACAAUCAUUGUUUUUAAUAUUGUGUACUUGUUAUUUUUCGGGCUGUCGGUUGUUUUCAAUAAUAAUUGCUAAUUAAUUUUCGUUUUGCUUGUUCGAUGUUUUUUUCCCCCUUUGAUUUUGGCGUCCCGUUUCGACGACGUCUAUAGCAUUUUUGGUCUGCGGUUGCUGCUGCUGCUGUUGGUCUUGCAGUUCUGAUUACUUACCGUUUAUUUUCACGUCAUCGUCGUCGGCAUCACCCACUUACCCGUUUCGUUUAUUAUUAAUUAAAUAUGUUUAUAAUUUGAAAUUACGGCGACAUAACCCGUGUAUAGCCUAUAUUAUAUACAAGGAAAGUUGUUUAAUAUAGUUGUUAAAACUUUCCCCGUGAAAGUCGCCUGUUAAUUCCGAUUACAUAUUAUAAGACGCGACUGCGUCCUCCGGAACCCGACUUAUAAAUGCGUAUAUACAUACAUAUAUAUAUAUAUAUAUAUAAAGUUGUACACUGCAGUUGCUAUAAUUAAAUUUAAAAUUUAACGCGGCGCAAACGAGUGCGUAUUAUGCACGCGCUGCCUGCGAGAAUCUUAAAAGUUUAUUCUAAUACCGAUUAAAUAUUUAACGAUUCCGCGAGAUUGAAAUUCCGUCUACUCGUAUUCGUAUUUUGUUUUCUUUUUCUUGUUUUUUUUUUUUUUUUUUUAUGACCGAUUGGUGCAGUAAAUAAUAAUAUACCUCUAAUAUUAUAAAUUAUGUGGCAUAAAUAUACGGUAAAUAAUAAAAAAAAAAAAAAAACGGUCGUAAAUAUUCAGACACGAUCGUCUGCAGGAAUGCCGCGGUCGCACAUGCACACACACGGUUAAUUAUAUACACGUACUCACGUUUUCGGUCGAGUACAAUGUAUUUUAUUGUAAAUUUGUAAUUUUUUCGACCCAAUUGAUCGGCGAGCAAGUCAUUAUAAUAAUGUAGGCGCAGGCGCCAGGUUUUUAAAAUGUCUUUGGGAGUUCAAAUUUUUGAGCUUUUUUUUAAUUUAAAAAGGAUUUUUCCAAAAACAUAAAAUGAAGAAAAACUACACACUAUCUAUUUCGAAUCGGUUUCGUUACCUAUUCGAUAAGAAUGUGUAGGUACUUAGAGGGCACAAGCGCUCUAAUCAAAAAGAUGUUAUCACUGGCACGGUGUUUGCCACGUGAAACCUAAGAUACCUGUAACGACACUGUGAACAGGUUAUUCGUUAUGUCGGAUGAUAAACAAAUAGUUUUUUUUUAUCGUAUAACACGUCUGAUAGUCUGUUUUAUCAAACAAUAAUGGUUUUUUAAUUAUCGCCGGAUAACUUCGGUAUUUAACCGUUAAGAACAAUAUACAUAAUAAUAAUACGCUGGCAUAAAAUGUGCGUUUCGUCAAUAAAACCUUUGAGGGCUGAGCCCGGCAGGUUCAAUAUCGUCAAUUGGGAGCUGUACCGUCCCCGUGUACUCGGCGUCUAAAACGAAUAAUAUGCGAAACACGAGAAACGAUAAAAAUAUCUGCCGGACGGUGCGCAUUCGACAGUCGUUAUUGAAGUUAUUAUCGCGUAAUUCGACACGACCGCGGCGACAAAGACGACGGGUCGCAAUGAAAAUGUCGCGUUAGCACAAUAUCGUAAUAAUAAUGAUAAUGAUAUUAUGUGCAGGCGUGUUACGGGGCCGGUACGGAACGCCGUGACGACAGAAUACGAAACGAUGACGGGGGGGGGGCAAAGGAAAUAUUAUUGUUACACGCGUGUGUGUACGGGGCGGGUAUGUGCGGGUGCUCGCGACGAGAUAAAAAAAAAAUACCAAUAAUAACGAAGUGUAAACGUCCACCAAAACGAAAUCGUACGCGGACGUAAAUGUUAUUAAUAUUUUCCGUCUCCGUCGCGCCGUUCCCACGGUGGUGGAUACGCGACGACGACGGUGUCGCCGCCGCCGCCACAGUUUCACGGAGGUGACAAUGACGACACUUAUUAUUUAUUGUUAUUAUUGUGAGCAAACUCCGUCGCCGUAUUAUCACGGAAGAAAAAAAAAAUGAAGAAAUGAAGACGUUACCCCGUGUAAUAAUCGAGCCGUCAUUGCGUUAGGCACGGCUAUCGUCGCGCUCGGCGGAGGCGUACCGCCGCGCGUAUUACCGUCCCGUUCGCCCGUUGCAUCUUUAUUACGUAUCAUCACGCCACCGCCGUAUAAUAGAUAAUACAUAAAUAUAAUAACAGGCGCGUCGUCGUAUUUCCGUCUAAUAACAAUAACAUAAUAUGGCGGCGGCGGCGUAAUUUCAGGUACGAUUUAUAAUCCAAUAAAUAUAAUAAUACGAAAAAAAAAAAAAAAAAAUCACAUAUAUAUAUAUAUGUGUAUAAUAAAAGAUAGUACUUAAUGUGAUUAUAUUAUUAUCAUUACACAUUAUUUACACGUUACGCGUAAUAAUACCGAUUCAUUGUUGUGUUUUGACAGAUAAUUUUCCAGUUCCCAUUGCUGAGGUUACGUGGCCCAUGAUACUGGUGCUGGUGUCGUUGCUGUCGGCCGCGAUCGGCGCCCUCUUCAUGGUCGUUUUCCUACACCUCAAACUGUAAGUCAUUAUUAAUAUUAUCGUACGUAGUAACCGUGUCGAAGUGAAUAUCACAUUUCAUAACCGAAAUAUCCGUCGGAGUCGUCGGGUUCGGGCUACCGACAACACUCGGCAAACGCUCACGCAACGUUUAAAAUAUUAUUUAUAUAAAAAAAAAAAAAAAAAAUCUUUUGCACUGUGCGGUGUGUUUGACCAAACGGAUUCAAGCUCGAAAAUUAANCGUCGGGUUCGGGCUACCGACAACACUCGGCAAACGCUCACGCAACGUUUAAAAUAUUAUUUAUAUAAAAAAAAAAAAAAAAAAAAAAAAAAAAAAACAAUACUGUAGAGAAUAUUUCUGUAUAAAGGUUUUAUAGGAGGCAUGCACCGAGGCCUUUUCUAGGAAAAUUGUUAAAAACAUUUUUUUUUUUUUCUAUAAGGGUUUCAUUAACAGGAUAUUAUAAUAUUAUAUUAUGUACCCAUACUUCUAGCAUCUCAGUGCCCGGCGGUGAUUUCGGUUUCGGUGAUCUCGUGAUUUCAUUGUCUAGUUUCUUUUUUUCAGUCAAAUUUCCUCCACUUUCUUCCGAAAAAAAAAAAAGAAUCUUUUGCACUGUGCGGUGUGUUUGACCAAACGGAUUCAAGCUCGAAAAUUAAAUUUGUUUUAUAAAUAAUUAAAAGUUGAGCUGAAUUCAAUAUAAAUUUCGGCAUUUAUUUCGAAAGAGAGGGGAUACUUUUUAGCUUUGAACACUAGGUGAAUGAAACUAGGAGUUGAAAUCUUGUAUUAUGCAAUGUGUUAUAGUGCUUGGCUAGUACGGUGUGCUUUUAUGGCGUUUCAAAAUUGUCCUCCAUUUUCCGGAAGUGCACCUAUUAUUAGAAGUAUUCGAUUAUUUAUUGCUGUACAAAGAAUAUUUCUAUUUCAAACAUGGGGGGAGAAAAUUUCGAGAGAACUUUGUAGCUUACGUGUGUCUUCUCCUUGUUGCAUAGUCACAAAUCGAGAGUGCAGAAAUCCCCCGUAAAUGUUCAAACCAGUGCCACGAAAUUCAAAUUAUUAAACUAAUAUUUUGUUAAACCAUUUUGCUUUAACAUAAUAAAAUGUUUAUUGUUAUCAUUAUUGAAACAAUAAAUAACAUGUAUUUUUAACAAUCAAGCCUGCAAACGACAACUAAAAGCCACCAAUUUUUUUUUUUUUAUGUAUUAUAGUUACUAAUAUUAUAUUGGAUAUUGGUUUUAGGUUGUUGUUAUAAUAUGACGGACGACGUCGUAUACUGUAAUAUUAUACAAAACGCUAGUUUACGAGCGGAUUUUUUUUUUUUUUUUUAUGACGGUGUCAGCGUUUUAUAAAUAUUAUUAUCGCGAAGCUUAAAAAAAAAAUAACAAUAAUGGCGAUAAAUAUACAGUUAAAAAAAAAAAAAACAAAAAUCCAGAGAUAUACGACCGCGGUGACAUUUACAAUAAUCAUUUUAUACACAAACUUUUUUACGAUCAUAUUAUUAAUACUUGUGUACACGAGACGCGCUCACGCAUAUUACAUACGCAUAUAUUAUUAUGUACUUGUGUCUUAUAAACAGUGAUUUUUUUUUUUAUCAUUAUUCACCGAUUUUAAUAGAAUUUUAUUUCUUUUUUUUAUUCAAUCUUUAUGCGGAAUUUAUUAAACUAGUUUGUUUAUUAAAAAAGUGAUAAAAUAAAGAUUUUAUCACUAUUUUCAAACGUUAACCCCAAUUUCUCUUAUGCGUUUAUACCUUUAAAACAAGUAUUAACUUAUCAUUUCCAAAUGACAACUAUUAAUAGAAUCUACCCUUUUUAAGCUCUCCUCUAAACCUUCCAGGUUAAACUGUUAUAAUUCGCACAAACGGCAAAUCCAAUAGUAUAAUGUUAUGAAUUAAUAAUGUGCAUAUCGAAAUAUUUUUCAGAGAAAUGUUCUCUUUUCGGAUCCGGUUUGAAAAUCAACAAUUAAAUUAUCGUAAACAAAAUUAUUAAUGGGAGCUGCUAAAAAAAAAAAAAAAAAAAACGAUCAAAAUUCAAUUGUACACUCUGAAAUUCCCGUGGACAAUAUUAUAUAAUCGUUGGAUCGCGCGACCGGGAAAAAAAACCGCUCUGCAUAAUACGCGUUUAUAAAUAAGACGUGCGCGAAAUGACGAAAAUAACGGUGGAAUUUGUUUAUUUCUCGAUAUUACGCGUCUCGUGUAUACAGGCUGAUCAGUCUAUCCGUAAGACACGCGUUAUCUCGGAGAGUAUAAACUUUUUUUGGAAUUCGUUUUAUAGAACAUUUAAGAAACAAUAGUAGCUGUACAAUUUCACAGUAACGUGAAAGAUUCCGUCGCCCAUAUUUUCGGCGGUAAAACCACCACCUACUUUUGAUAUUCAAACAGCAGCGUAUAUUAAAAAAGUUUAGGCCACUCGAACGGCGGCACGGCGCGUGGUGUUUUAUUAAUACUCUCUUUCGGACCGAAACUUAAAAGCGGCGUAUCCAUCUCGUCGACGGAUUGACAGUAAUCAAAAACGUCAACGCCGACGUUAACGCCUUGGCCGAUAUCCCAUGUAUUUAUGCGAUUUCGAAUGUCGACAAACUGUUACGCGCGACCCGCGCGGGUCGCCUAUUUGAAAACCGAAUGUAGACGGCGGCGGUCGUACCCCGAGAAAUCGGGCCGACCGAAAACGGCGUAAAUGCGGACUCGCGGAGCCGCUGGUUUCGCGCGUUUUCUGCGACCCGGAUCCCGAACGGAAACGAGUCAACGGUCCCCGAGACGGCGCGUGUUUGACCGGUAAGAGAAUCGCCCGGCCCGUCGCAUUCAGUAGGUAUUUACGCGCUGCCCGUUGCCGACGGCUCGCGGCGGUGCGAUAAUAACGAGUAAUAACGACAACAACAACGGCGACGUUAAUCACGCGAGUGCCGUGCGCACGGCGACAACAACAACAACAACAAUAAUAAUAACGUAAGUGCACGUAAAAGUAAUGCGCCGCGCACCGCCGCGGCACGCUCGCCGGACUCGGAUUUCGCCGGGGCGCGACACGCGCUGGCGCGCAGGAUAUUCGUCAAACGUCGGCGCGCGCUAAUGCCGGGCAUCGCUUACAAUGGCGAGUCGUAACGGUCCGCAGCGGGCGGUUUGUUUCAGCGCGUAAUUUAAUGUGCUUUUAUGCGUCCCCGUGUACGCACAUAAACAGUGCGUGCGUGUGCGUGCGCGCGCGUGUGUGUGUGUGUGUGUGUGUGUGUGUGUGUAAAUACGGUACGAAACGUACCGGGAACGCGAGAUCCGUCUUGCCGGACACUUGCGGUGCACGCCGUUUUUGUUUUUAUUUUCUCUGCGUUUCGCUCGCGCCGCGUAAUGUUUUACUCGGCCACAGCAAAGGCGCCGGACCGCGGCCCACCGGAACGAUCGUACGGCGCGACCGAACUGCGUGCCGACAAAAAAAAUAACAAUAACACUAAACAAAUUACCGGCCUUUUAAUAUGUGUUUAUAUAUAUAUUUAUAAUUAUAUUCCAUGCCGGAUAUCGAAAGGGUCUGUUGCCCCGCAUUGCCGUGCCGUUUUAACGAAACACGUUUUUGAAAAUACAAUCAAAAACUAACAGAUUAUAGCAAAGAUUUCAUUUUUUUCAACGACGUGUAAUAUUCUCUACCGAAAAAAAAAUCUAGAACUUUGAGUAAAUAACUCAAUAUUUGAUUGUAACUAUUAAAGCGGUUGAAGUUAAGAUGAAUCCGGUUAAAUUGUUGCGCGAUAAAAACCGAAAAUGAAAAAUAAAAAGAAGCAUUUGAUCAAGACGUUUAUAGUAAAAUAGUGUUCUUUGUCAAACGAAUAAUACUAUAAUAGAUCUUAUUGUCCUAAACUCAAUCAGAAAGGUUGCGAUCGUGAAAGUGCAGAAUACGUUUGUCGAUGUAUUUACGCGCGAGGAAAACGGAGAAAACGAAUAAUUCGUAAAGGCUUCUCUUAACCGUGGUUCGCGAGAGAGUAUCCGUCGCCGUCGAUAUUUACACCCGCGCGGGAAAUUCAUAAAUCGUAAACUUGUUGCUUGUAACAUUAUACUAUUAUGACUUGGAAUGCGACGACGAUGAUCGAUAUAACAAUACAAUAUUGUAUUAACGCAGAAAGUAAAAACGUGUCUUUGAUUAACCGUGGAAAACAAUUCGAAACAUUUUUCAAACGCGAAACCCAAGGGGAGGGGAAACGAUAUAAUAUUUUUAAUCGCUUAAAAUCUUUAACUAGUUUAGGAAUAAGUCAAUCGCUUAACGCCCGAGCGUAUACAGUCUUAAUAUAAGAUCUUUAUUAAUCGUGUUAAUUAUAGUGUGCUCCUUAAUUACACAAGUAUACCUAUGUAAGUAUAUUAUACACGUAUUUCUUUUUUCUUUACAAAACUGAAAACCUAUCUAAACACGAAACGCAAUUAAUACACGAUACAAAUCCAAAACCGAGAAGUUUGGAAAAAAAAAUAUCAAAUUUGUUUUUUCGCACGAAAAUUAAUAAACCCGAUAUUUUUAUACACUUCAUGGCUCUCACAAAAAUAAACUUAUAAAAAAUUAUUUGUAGACGUGCGAACGACUACAUUUAUUUUUAAUUUUUUCUGUUAACUCCUACACCGAGAUAACAAUAAAUUGUCAUACACAAGUAACGGCAGCCAGCAGAUAUAAUAAAACUAUAUAUACCUGUAUAAAAUGCAGUCGACCCGUCUCGCAUCGUCCUUAAAUGGUUACAAGAUUUCAGUUUCUAGAUUUUGUAAAUUAUUAUUAUUUUAUUAUUACAAGCGGACAAAUCCACCUAAAAGUACAGUAAAUUACACAAACACACAAAAAGAACAUACCGGGAACAGGUGUAGCCACUGUUGCAGGUGGGAAAUCGGGAAAGUAAUAUACUUAAUUAUUCAAUUUAUAAUUGCACACUAAGAUAAACACGCACUACCGAAAAACUAUUCGGAGAGAAGCUCGAGUGUACAUGAUUUGAAAAGCCGUAAUAUUUACGUUUUUCGUCAAAAUUUGAUACUACAUUACACUCGACUUUUUUCUUUUUUACCACUGAGUAUUACAUAUAAUGAACCUCCUGUUAAAUUUUCAAGAAUUUCUGUUUAAUCCAAAUAUUUUAUCAACAGAGUACUUACCGAAUAAGAAUUACGUAAAAAAUUGCAAAAUUAAAAUGUCUAUAGGUUUAAAUAGUUCAAAAAAUGGCUCAAAUGUUUUGAAAAUUUUACCGCGUCUAGAAAAAGUAAAUCGAUGUUCCAAAUCUCUAAAAAUAUUUUUGAAAACAACAAUAACAUUAUUUUCGUAAAUUUUCCCGAUUUUCGCGCGGUCAGGCAUUCGUUCGUCGUUCAUUACACGCCUAACCUCACCGCAGUAUCGCCCGGAUAGAACAAACACGCGUGUAAAACAAUACAUUCGUCGCCCCGUUCAGAAUCCAAAAUCUAAUAUUUCACACAAUGGCGGAUUAUUUCAUUUGAAACACUGCAGACAUCGAACGCUAUUGGUCUGUGAACGACGAUGGUGAUGGUUAAACGCCGAAAACGCCGACGGUCUUAUCGACUUGUGUGCCGGUUUAAAAUUUAAAAAAAAAAAAAUUACCGCAUGUCGUUACGUGUGUACCGUGAAAAUACGUUUUUUCGGCGUAAAUACGUACAUGCCUUAUUAAAACGGCGGCCGUCCGUGUGUAUACACGUAUUAUAUACGUAGCAUACCUAUAGUGAUAAUAACUAACAGCGCGCACCGUCAACGUUUACAACAGGUGGCAGGUCCGUUGUUUUUUUUUUUUUUUUUUUUUCCCCCGUGUGUGUACGCCCACAUUUCACUCGAGGGCCUUAUAAUCGUAGUGCGCGGUCCGCAUAUAAAUAAUAAUAAUGCAUAUAAAUAUAUAUAUAUAUAUAUAUAUAUACAUACAUACUUGUAUCUGUUUUUUUUUUUUUUAUAUAUACGUAGGUACGUUUGUAAUAUAAUUAUCCCGGGCCGAAAAAGAAGAUUAUAACAUCAUCAUAAUAAUAAUAAUAAUAAUACCUAAUAUAUUCCUAUCGAUUUUUCACGUUUCGAUUCCGAAUCUGUAUACCCGGGUGGAUAUAAUGAGAAAUACAUUAAAUGCAUAUAUAUAUAUAUAUAUACGUACACGUGGUUAUUAUUAUAUAUUUUAUAUCUGAUUUGAAUUUGUAAUUUAACCGGGCACGCACCGUGUAAAAAAUAUAUAUAUAUUUUCAUUCGUACGUAUAAUAUAAUACAUAAAUUCGUAGAUCGGAAUACGCUGAUACGCGCGCAGGAACGUAUUAUUAUUAGCUGUAAGGGUGCACCGAAAUCGACAAUAUGUUACGUGUCGGUGUAUACAAAUUAUUAUAAAACGAAACAUAAUUAAUACCUUUUAUUUAUUUAUAUUCACAUAUAUAUAUAUAUUUAUUUUUUUUCACACAAUAUAUCGCGUGAAUACAUGAAUGCGUAAUCGCGAGAGUGAACGAGUGAAAAACGCCGGGCGAAUUUUCACGCCUGCAUAAAUCAAAAAUACAAAAUACGUAAAAUUACGUGUAUAAUAAAUGGCAUUUUUUUUUUUUGUCGUUAUACCGAACGUCGAGUACCCACCCGUAUUAUACUAUUAUAAAAUAUUAAUUUCACAUCUAGAAUUUACCAAUAUUAUCCGACGCUGCGACCGUUGCAAAAUAUAUUGCGUAUGCGUAUAUUGGUAUUAUAAUAGGCAGGUACGGGUAGAUGAACGUAGGUAUAGGUCGCGGAAACUUGUCGAAGCGACGACGACAUCGACGGUGAUAAGAUCGAACAUCGGCUGUACACACAGUAUGUACGAGCGGGAAAGAAAAGUUCAAAAACCUCUUUAGUAUAUAUAUAAAAAAAAGAAAAAAAAAUUAUAAUAUAUUAUUAUAAGUAUAAUAUGCGAGAAAGGCCCACGCGCGUUUAACAGUAUUAUAGACCCUCGAGGAAAACCCGUGUAGGAAAUGUCAAUGGAGUUUUUAACAACAUUGUAAACCGCAUUAACGAUACGAUUUAUUCGUACGUACGUUCAAUAAAAUAUAAGUGUAUACGUAUAUUAUUAUAUUUUAUAGACGAUAAAUAGCCGCAAAAGCGAAUUCAUAUAUAAAUGCUUGUAUAUUAGAUAUAGGUCGAUAAUAUGUAAAAAGCGAUUUCUGCCGAUAUAAUAUUUUAAUAAUAUGCACAUAUAUACGUAGGUCCGGUACGUCGUCGUGUAUAAUAACAAAUUGUCGUGAACGUAUUGUAUCGUUAUAUCAAUACGGUAUACAUAUAGCUGACUUGUACGAUAAAUUUUGAAAAUUGUUUAGGAGGGCGCGAUGAAUAUCGAUUAUAUUCGAGAGAAUACGACGGUAAAAAUCUGCAAAUCCAAAAACCAAGGUCGUAACGAAAUAAAAAAAAAAUUUAUAAAAAAAAAACCCACUUCACGGGUGGUUGAAGAAAAAAAUACAAAUAAUUCAAGGUUUGUCGUGAAAAAAAAAACCUUCGCAUUGUUGUGCGCACGAAAUGGCACAUUUUAUAUACUUGCCGAUGUAUAUUAUUGAUACACGCACCGCGUCGGAUGAAAUAUUUUCGGUCUAAACGCUAAGAUUGUAUUCUAUUUAAUAUUAUUGUAUAUAAUAGCGAAUAUUUUCUCCGAAUAUUCAAAAAAAAAUAUCAAAAAGAAGAAUUCUUAUUAUUCUUUAUAUCGGCUCAAGUGUUCCGUUUAGGACCAGCGUUCCCGUCACGAGCAUUUUCCGUCUAUAUCUCCUAUAACUAACGAUGAUUGAUCUGUAUCUUUGAUACGCUGUUCUGUCCACAAGCGUCGUAUCGUUUUUAAAUCUCUGAUAACUACAUUAAACCGUUUCGAGUCGUCUCUGGACCGGGUUCCCUUGCAGAAGAUUAUUGAUUUUGUUCAUAAUUAUUAUUGAAAAUUCGAAAUGUAUAUUUCAAUAGAGUGCAUAACAUUAGUGCUUUAUGACGUAAGUGCAAAUGAAGAAGUUUAUUCGGCAGAGUUCAAAAAACGUAAAAAAAAAAAAAAAAAAAAAAAAAAAAAAAAUGAUAUUAGUUUUUUACAUCAAAAGUACUUAUAUUAUUAUGGACACAAGACAAGUAAAAAAGAAAAUUGCAUUCUGCCUUAAAGAAAUUUCUAUUCAUUAUUAUGAGUCUCUAUAUUUAGAUACUGUUAGUUGAUUAAUAGAAUGUAUAAUAUUUAAAAAUAAUAUAUUAUUAUACAUUUCUGUUUUAAACGUUUAUCAAAAUUUUAUGGAGGUAAAAAACGUAGUCGACUCUGUAUCACCGAACAUUAAUUAUUUUAAACUGCACCGUCAGAAACGUCUCGUAAAAAAUAUACACAUAUAUAUAAACGUUUUAAAAAAUUUAGUGCAUAAACUUAAGGAGUAAAAAAAUACUAUACAAAUAAAACGCACGCGCGUCUCACGGUUAUCGUGUAUAAAUAAUAAUAUGAACGUUGCAAACAUGAUAUUUUUUUUUAUAUUUUUUAGUCGUCGAGUUUUAACGUGUCCUGUGAUGUUCACGUUUUAAUAUUAUAGUCGUUUUUUAAAACCAUUAAAAAACGUCCCGAGUUACUCGUAUAGCGAAUGUGUUUAGCUUUGUUAUUCGUCGUCGUCGUCAUCGUUUCCGGACGAAAUGAAAAUAUUAUAAACAAAAAAAAAAAAAAAAACUGCCAACGCAGUGAUGUUAGAUUAAAAGACAUUUUAGCAUACAUUUUGUGAACGCGAUAAAAGAGAAAUUUCCUUAUGUUUGUUAUUUAAAAUUAAACAAUUAUGGCUGUAAAUCGUAUUUUGGUAUACACCGAAAUUAUGGUGCAUUUUAAUUUCAACAGCGGUCUCGGAAGCAUCUGCAGUGUUAUUAAUGAAUUAUUUUUUCGUUGUUAAAAUUAAAUUUAUUAAAUUAAACCCGCGAUAAGUUAUGCGAUAACGGUGUAUAGUGACGCCGCCUAUUGAGGCGUACUUUUCGGUCGGGAAAUUUCGCAAGUCUUUGGAGGGAAAACUGGAAAAGCUCCUGUAUAGCGUCCGCAGCGCAAGAGCAGCCGUUGUGCGGACGUAUAUUCGUAUUACAGAAAGAAAAAAAACAAACUUUCGUCGUGCUAUAGAAAAUUAGAGAGAGAGUGAGAGGGGGGAGGGGGUACAGAAAAAUAAUGUUUCGCGAAAACCGCGACGUUGCAGUCGUCGUUUUAAAUAUUAUUAUUAUGUAUACGAUUCAAAUCGCGCACAUCUAUCGAGGAAAUCUUGACGCGACGAUCGUCGUCGGUAGGAUAGUAAUUGUUUUUUAUUAUUAUUAUUAUUAUUUUUUUUUUUAUUCAUCCAUACGUCGUCGUUUACGUUCCCGACGGUAAUAAUUAUUACAACAACAAUAUUAUUACGACACUGGGCCCGAUGACGUACGAUAAUGUUUUUAUAACGGACGGUCGUUAUUUAUAUAUCGACGACCACGCGCACCUAGGUACGUGUACACACGAAUUUAUUGGUAUCGUACGCGGCGAAAAUGGGUUUUUAAAAGACCGGCUCGUAUACAGUCGUCGUCGGAUUAUACGGGGGCAAACACGUCAUAAUAAAGAAACGGAGAAAAAAAAAAACUCUCGUCGCAUAAUAUUUUAUUGUUGCAUUAUACAUAGAUACCAGACCGAUAAUUAAAACGCCAUUGAAGCCGCGGAACGAAAAAAACUAACGCCACGAAAAAACAAAAAAACUAACCAGCGAUCUGUAGGAGCGUAUUGUAUUGCGGUAUACUAUUGUUCACAGCGAAAACGAUAAAUAUUAUUGAUUCGUAGGGUUUAAGGCAUUAGCAUAUUUGUCCGCCCUCGAGUCUAAACCGGUGACGACGGAUCCAGGGGUAGGCGAUUGGGGCAAUGCCCCCUCCCCCGUUCAUUUUUCAAUAUACUCUUAUAUAGCUCGAGUUCUGUAACCAAAUCAAUUAUUUUAAAUUAUCGAGUUUAGAUUUUUUUUUUUUUUUUAUGUCGCCUUAGAGCUGCUCGAAAAGUUGACACAAAAUUUCAUCAGAAGUUGUACUACUUCGUGAUGAAAACAAAUUGAGCAUUGUGUUAUAAAUUGUUUUAUUUCAACUUAUUUCAAAUUAGUUCUGAGUUUUAUGAAAAUCGUAAAAAUCGUGACGUUUAAACUUUAAAUACAUUGUCACUCAAAAAUCGAAUAAAAACGUUCGAUGGUAUUUUAAUUGUGUAAAGAACUUCAUAAAUGUAAUUUUCAUAAUAUUUUACAACGCACUGGAAUUUUUUUUUUCUUGUUAAUUAUCUACGUCAUUUUUAUUUGUUUUUUUUUCAUGUAAUUUUAAAAGUCAGAUGCGUGUUUCGCAUUUUUUUUUUUAUAACAUAUAAAUCCUGACUCUAAAAAUUAGCUUUUACAAUAACAUAUACUCGAUACGGGAUCGCAAUAAUAGUUUCUAGUUUCCUCGGUCGGCAGAGUAGACGCGUUUCUUUUUCAUUAUUAUGGAUACCAAUACUCUGUUGGAAAAAAAUACAUUCGGUUUCGAUUUACAGAAAAAAAAAAUAGGGGAAUAAAGACAUGUUUGUUUUUCUUCCACGACGUUCGUUAAAAACAUGUAUAUAAUAAUCAUAAUAACGAAGCGUUCCGUUUUAUUUUUUUGUUUUCUUCGUUUCCAAAUACCGCGACCCAAAAAACUGCUCAUGACAUCGACUACGAUGACAAUGUCAUCGUGGUAUUUUUUUUUUCUUCAGAUGAUGACUGAUAAAAAUGCGAUCGGAUUUCCGCGACCGUUGCAAAAAUAAUAAUUAAUCAUUAUAAUAACGUAGGAAUAUCAUUUUCUCGGGUUCUCGCGGCCGCGUCGAGUCGAGUUCGCGACCGAAUAACAUCGGCUCUAAUGUUUUUUUAAUGAACGCAAGACCGUAUAAGAAUAUACGUAUAAUAAUAUUAGGCACAUACCUAUGUACUUGAAGCAGCGCAUAAUAUUUUGCCAGCGUGGGCGUUUACGACUGCGACGAUAGAAACGACCGAUUACGCGCGUCUCUUGUAUUGUGUUUUUCAACCCGUUCGAAAAAAUUAAAAAAUUAAAUUAAAAUAAACCCAUUUGCAAUUUAAAAUAAUAGAAUUUUUUUUUCAUUUUUUUGUUUCAGACGGCUUUCCGGACGCACAGCACCGUCUCGGCCCGGUAAGUACCUAAUAUAAUAUAAUACACAAUAUAUUAUGUUAAAUUAUAUUACACAGUGUACGCCAUAUUACGAUGAUAGCACCCAUAUAAUAUACUCGUAAUAAUAUUUAUGCGUGUUGGUUAUAUUGUAUAGUAGCGAGCGACUUGUCGCCAUCACAGCCGAGUCUCGUUCAUAAUAAUAAAAUUAUAUAGGCAUGUAUUACCCGGUAUAUACACACGCUCGUUCGAAAUUUAUUAUUAUUGGCGGGGUUCGCCUUGUGGAAGUUAUUUUCCGCGAUUUUUUUUUUUUAUAUAUAUAUGUAUUUGUACGUCAACAUGUUUGUAUUUGAUUUUUACACCGCUUAUAAUAAACAAAGAAGUAGCGAAUUACAAAAUGUCCCGUAUCUAUAAUUAGUAUGUACACGCAUACAAAAUAAUGCGCAGGCUACACACAAUUCGCUUUUCGAAUCACGGGCGACAAAACCUACUUACUAGAAAAAUCCAAAGGUUAAAUUUUUAAAGGAUAACGUACACUCACGGAUGCUAUUGUAGAGGAAGACUUUGAGAAAUUAGUGACGCGCCCUGAGACAUCCAAAAGAGCUCCAUAAUAUGAUUGAAGGAAAGACAACUGCAGCGUGCGACUUACAGGACAAAUUAAAAACGAUGCAAAUGUCAUCACACUUACGAGUGUUAAGGAACAAAACAGAAAUUCGAGCAAUCAGUUGAAACAGAGAAUUGGAGUUGUAGACUGUGUAGUUGUGACUGGAGUUGAGAAAACAAAAAAUAAAUAUUAAAACACACAUAAUGUAUUAUUUGCUACAAUUUAUUUUAUAACCAUAUUGAAUAACAAAUAAGUCCUUAGGAAUAACGCUAAAAUUAAUAUUUUUAAAUUGGUCACUUCUGAUAAGCUUGCAGUUUUAUUGAACUAGUUACUUUUAGAAUGAUUAAUAUUAAUACGCGAAAUCGCUAAAUAAUAUGUGUCUUAAAAUACAUAUUUAAUCGUAUUAUAUAAGAUCAGUGAGAUCGACUAAUACCAUAAUUAUAUUGAAUUUUGUUGUCCCUUUGAUUUUCCUCGCUAGUUUCGCCGGCUUGCUAAGAAUUUGACGUUUCGCAGAUCACGAACGUUCAACGUUUUAUUAUAAUAAACAUAUAUUUUUUAACGCACCAGCUCUUUGAUGUCACAGUUAUAAAGGAGUUAUUUUGAUAUCGUUUCUCGGUUUUCUCUUUGAAUGCGUACAUUUAUGAUAUAGUUUUUAUUAACUUUCAGACAUUCGUAUAUUAUAUUAUAGUCAUUCAACAUGUGUUUUUUUUUUAAUACCUAUCUAAAAAAUGUAUUUAUAAACUAUUUCAAGUAUUAUUGUAUAUUCGUUUAUUAAAUACGAAAUUCUCGACGACCUGAUGAAUAUUCAAAGAAAUCGCACAUUUUUUAACGGUGUACCUCAGUACAUCAGUAUACUCUUUUUUUUUUUUUUUUAAAAAAAAGACAUUAUACGCGUUUUUUUUAUCGGGCAAACUGUUGUUUUUUUUUUUUUUUUAAUACAUAUGUAUGUAUAUAUUUAACCGUGGUAUACGUUGUUCAUUGUCGGACGGCUGUUUAAUUAGAACGGUCGACACGGGUAGAAUCGCCUUUGAACGUCAUUGACGACGCCGCAUUCGGUAUUCGAAGCAGUAUUCGAAGAACUGAAAACGUGGUUGUCUUGUGUGUUUUUCUUUUUUUUUUUCCCAGUAACUCGCGACAAAGGGAACAUCUGGUAGAAUUAUGGUUUUUAUUAUUGAUGCUGGGUUUUUUCUCUAUUUCUUUUUAAUUUACUCCAUCUGUGAGGUGAAAAUUUCACGGUUUGUGUGUGCGCCGCACGUAUAACGCGCGUGUGUGUAUAUAAACUAUAACCUCGCCGCUGGUAUUCAAAUACAAACAUAACGGAUGUUCAAAACGCUGUAGUUUUUUUAUUUUUUCUGAAAUUCUCAAAUGCCACCGCAAAAAUUCUAAUUGUCUUGCAUGUGCGGAAACCGCCGAGAUUGCAGCCGCAGUAAAAUAAUAUUAUUAUUAUUAUUACUAUCAUCAUCUACACGUCCUGUAGAUGUAUAAAUAUUAAAUAGGUAGGUGGGUAGGUAGUGAAUUUAUAGCUGUAUAAAAUCGGUUUGAACAAAACUGCGGAAUAAUAAUAAUAAUAAUAAUAAUAAAAAUGUAGGAAAGUAAUACAUUUUGUGCGAUCGUCAAAUUUUAACUAACCCAAACAACACGUAUAGAGCGUUUUAUGCGUAUAGUACAUUUUUAUGAUUUUUGGCUAUAAUAAAAAAAUACUACUGUGUUAGCGUGAUGUUACUCAAGACGCACUCGUGAGAGUUUGAAAAAUAAUAAUAACAAAACACGUUUAUAGUUAUAUUAUAAUAAUAUAAUGUUAUGAUCAACAUCCACAUCAUCUCACGCACCAUACACACGCAUAUUAAUUUAGGGCCCGGGCUUCUAUGCUCUGAAAACGUACGAAAUAUGUAAGCGUUUAUGCGCUAAUUAUCAAAAAUAAUAAUUAUUAUUCAAAAAGUGCUGAAAAUAUGCAAAAUUGAAACAAACAUAUUCAUGUUAAUUUCAGCUUUUCUCUAGUUUAUAUUGAAGUAAUAUAUUUUGAAAAUACGUACGCUUAUGCAAUUUAGACCCAAUAAAAGGGAACGAAUUUUGUUAAACAAAGUUAUAAAAAAAAAAAAUGCCCGAAAUUGAAUUAAGCCUUUCUUCUCCGGAACCCGAAUAUAUUCUAUUGAAAUCUACAUACUGUAAUACCAAACAAUUGGGAAGACCGCAUAUAAUGUACAUACAUUAUAUUGCAUGCUAUAUACAGUUAAAUAAACCUAUAUAGAUACGAUUUAACGGACAUUAAUAUAAUAUAUUUUAUUAUCAUAUUAUAAUGAGGACGCUCGUGUGUCUGAUCGUGAAGGGGUAGUGUGUAUAGUAUAGUCGGUGGCAACGACAUAGAAAACGUACACCCAGUAUUAUUUAUACAUAUAUGUAUUAUUAUUGUUAUACUUGGCGCUGCACAAACGCCAAACGCUACUGCAGGACGUACCUGUAUAGAAAAUAAGGAUGCAGGUAUAGAUACCUAUCCGAAACGCAUUUUUUACUCGGUCCGCUGACAGAACAAUACCAACGGCCCGAGUGGACGUAUAUUAAUACGUUAGCGUAUAUUAUUAUCAUUAUUAUAUGGUACCGCCGAUGAAGAGAUAAUACAGUAUUCGUUUAUUAUUUUCCCCUACCCCUCCCCCCUCCUACUCUAUAUUUUUGAAAUUUAUAUUCCGAAUCGGACGUCACCGCUCUCUGCACAUGCUGUGCCGCAGGAGCAGACGGACGUUUCCGAGGCACUCUGCGUUUUCGGAGGCGGCCAUUUUAUAUCUAACUUUUAUAAGUAUACUUACGACGACAACUAUUUAUAUACACCCGACACUUUAUACUUUGUUUUACUAACUUUAUACUUACCUAUAUCCCCAGGCUAUACUGUUUUGUUUUUGUUUUUUUUUUUUUACAUCGUUAUGACACGCUCUUUUUUACGCCAAGUUCGUGCGCGGAUGCGCCACCAUAUCACGAAAAACAAUUCCCCGCGUCCUCCCUAAAGUCAUGAUAUUUUAUUAUUAUAACAAUAUUAUUGUACUCUGCUGCAACGUCUAUAUAAUGCAAUGAUAUGACGUGCUGCAAUUACGCGUGUAAAAUAUUACGGUCGUAAACUUUCGGGGCCGUACAUUAUAUGACGCGAUAUUAAUAUUUUACAAUUGCCACGUUGUAGGCAUAGCGGUACCUAUCUAAACUGCAGCCAAAAAUCGUAGGAUUUAUAUACGAUCGAAAUUUUGGAACACGAACAACUUUUGCCGGCAUUGUAUAUAAAUUAUUGUAUUCGGCGUAGUGUUAGCUGGGCUUGAUCAUCAUCCGCAAUGUGUGUAAUAAUAACGGUUUUUGAUUUCCCGUCUUAUUAUUAUAUUAAUGUAGUCAACGGUGCAACCGGGAAAGGUUAUUAGGGGUUGUAACCUUCCGGAAAUUAGAGUUAUUUUUUUUUCAAAUUAGAUUGAAAUUCAUUGACUAACUAUUACGUCAGUUUUUGUUUCCAUUCUUGUUGUACGGCAUAUAAUUAUUUCUAUUCAUCCGGGUGAUUUUUCUUCGUCUCGUUUUACCAUUAAAUUGAUUUAAUUGUUUAUGUCACGUGUGUAGAUUAAACGAACUACUAUUUUCGUCCAUGUGUCGAUUCAUAAUUUCUUCUUUUUUACAACCUCUCCGACAAAACAUUCAUCAUAUGCAUCAUCAAUAUAGAGCGCUUUUUACUUCAUUAUUCUUACAGUAAGUUAUACAUUUUUUCAAUAACGUGUAUGCUAUUCAAUGGUUUAGUAAUACCAUUUAAUUGUUUUGUAACAUUAUUAUUCUUGUUGCAAAAAAUUAAUUUACCGGAGACCUACAACUCGAAGUUAACGACACAGCCGAUGUCGUAUUUUCAAAAAUGUUAUUAUUUGAAUUUACUAAUGGUUUCAAGUUCAUAAAAUAUAAUGUACGAGUUAUUGCUUGUUGUAUAAUUUUAUUAAUUAGUUGAACAAACAUUUGUGUCAUAAAAAUAAUAGUAUGAUCCAGUGAGGGUUAGUCGAAGAUCAUUGUAAAUUUAUGGUGAUCAAAUUGAUAAUUGGUUAAAUCUAACCGUUCAUUGAUUUGUAUAGAUUUAUUGUAUCUAAGUUCAAUAAUAAAUAUGAAAAUUUUAAUUUGUUUCGUCUAAUAAUUUUCGAACAAAUGUAAAAUCAAUUUUAUUCUAAACACAAUAAAAAAACAUAAAACUUUCAUGAACACCCUUCUGCUGGAGCCCAAGACCAUCUCCAUUUCGCCGAUAAGCGCGUCAAAUCAACCCAAGCCUACUGAGAGGAAACACCUUAAUUGGGCAUUGCCUCUAGACUGACAUUUACCACACAUUAUAUUUUUAACGAGCGUGAUGUAAAAAAAUGAUUAAUUAUAAUUAUUAAAUAUUAUAUAAUAUACAUUGAUCUAUUUUUUUUCCGUAUAAGGUGUGUUUCAAUUUACAUAUCAUUAAAUAACAUAUAUAUAUAUAUAUAUAUAUAUAUAUAUCACACAUAUAUAAUAUACAUAUAAAAGUACAUAAUAUUUACAACUAUCGAACGAAUUUUAAUGAGUGCGCAAUAUUAUAGGUACACGAAAUAAAUUAACAUUCUUUUAUUCACGUUUGGCGGCGGCGAUCGAAUAUUGCGGAGAAUUCGUAAUUAGUUAUUAUAGUAGGGUUCGGAUUUCGGGACAACAUAAAUUAUUUUUUUAAAAAAUUAGUUUCAAUAUGAAAAAAAAAAAAAUAUAUAUAUAAAAGGCCAUUUUAUAUGUAAAAACAAAGCAAUUAAAAAGUGUAUUAAAUAUUGGCAUGGAAUCACAAAAUUUGACAUAAAAUUAUCGACGUACGAAUAAAAGCUGUAUUAUUAUUAUUUUUUUUUUUUUUAUGGCGCGUUUUUAUGUUUAUCAAUUCCGACUCGUUGCAAUACAUUUUUGUCACCCGAUACUUUGACCUCAUCAAUUGUACAUUAUACAAAUAUUCAAUUAUAUAGUUGUUUUAGAAUUUUAAUUUAUUUAUUAUAACAAUUAGUUUUAUUGCCUACCCGGCUUCGCCCAUGUGGAGUUUUUAAGUGUGUACACUUAACAUAUACUUAGUCAAGUACCUAAUAUUAAAUUUAAUAUUAUUAUUAUUAUUAUUAUUGUUAUUAUUAUUAUUAUAAUUGUUUGUUUUGACAAUUCUGUGUACCCACAAAAUUAUCAGCUGAAUACACUUAGUUUAACGUCAUUUAGUUUGAUGACGUAAGUAAACGUCGGGUAAACUUUUCUUUUAACCCCCUUAGGGUUUGAAUGUUGAGAAACCUAUUAUUAGUGAGUCUAUAGUCUAUACACAAUAAAAUGAAAUUACCGUCCAAAUGUCAUACUUCAUCGGUUUCAAUUCGGCAAUGAUUUCGCUUUAAAAAAAUGUAGGUACCCUUCUUUAACCCUUUGGGGGUUGAGUUUAAAAAAAAAAUCCCUUGUUAUAGUAGUUGUUCACGUUAUGAAUCUAACUAACUUCCAAAUUUCAAACUUACGGCUUCGUCGGUUUCGGCUCACCAGUGAUGAACAGUCAGGAAAAGGUUCAAUUUGUUGUUUAACAACAUACUUAUAUCGACGAUAAUUUUUUGUUGAAGUUAUUGAACUACUGAUGAGAACCAAAUAAAAUGCUUAAUUUUUUUUUAUUAUUAUUUCAUUUUACCGCCUGCUUAUUAUUUAUUAUUCUUUGAACAAAUUUAUAAGUACGAACGAAUAUUACCCAGAAGUCUACACCAUAAUAUUAUCACAUAUUAUAUAACUAUAUAUGAAUAUUCAAAUUGUCCGUAUAAGCAAAUAAAAAAUAAAUUUAAAAAAAGAUACUCGUUUAUCUCCCGGCUGCAGUAUUGUAUUUCACGGUGAGGAUUUAAAAAAAAAAACAAAACAAAAAAAAAAAAAAAACAUUCAUAAAAUAUAGUAUAAUACAUAAUACAUAUAUAUAUAUAUAUAUAUUCUACAGAAAACAAUAUCGUAUAAUAUUAUGCACACAUGUACUGUCGAAAUGAAAAAUGCAUUAUAAUAAACGCUAUAAAAAAUAAUAAUAAUAAUAAAAAUACACGAUCAUAAAAUGCACUAUUAUAGCUGACAUAUUAUACAAUAUUGUGUACAACAGUAUAUUCGUUAAAAACAAUGGUAAACAAUUUUAAUUAUACAAAUUCAUUAAACAUUUUCGCCAAAUAUUUUUGGUUAAAUUUUGCAUUCAUUCAAAUUCUGAUUUUGGAAUUUAUAAGUGCAUAGUUAAAGCCGGUAUUUUCGAAUACUUUGAUUUUUCACGGCAUUUGAUAGCGAAGCACUAUUAAAGUGCCGCCACACAAAUGAUGCUUCACUACCUAAACUUAAAAAUGAAAUAUCUCGUCAACGGGUUGACGAAAAUCAAAACUUUGAACAUAAAAAAAAUUAUUUAAACUAAUACUCAGUCUAUUUAUGGAAUCUUCAAUGGACAAGAGUGCCUAUAGGAUAAUUUUCAGAUGAGGGCCAAAUGAAACUAGUUUCCAAAACCUAUUUAGAGCAUAUAGAUUAUAAAUAGAUUCGUAUGUCUUGAAAAGGAAUGAGAAAGAAAGUAGGGUAUGUAAUUAUGUAAACAUUAGUUUUAAGAAAAGAAAAAAAAAACUGUCAAGUGCUGAAAAUGAAAUCAAGUCAUUAUAAUAUUUUACUUUUUAUAGUUUACAUUUUAUAUUCAAUUAGAUUAUAUAUUUUUUUGGAUAAUUUAUUAUUUUCUAGGAGGGGACAUGUUCCCCUUUUGCCCCCAAAUGGGUGCAUAUGUCAAUGUACGUUUUCAUUUGAAAUACCAAAGUUAAUAUUGCCACAGGAUACUCCUUAAAUGUUAUGAUAAAUCAAAGUAUUCGAAAAAAUCGGCUUUAACUACACUCGAGAAUUCCGAAAAUUAGAAUUUGAAUAUGUUAUGCAAAAUUUAACCAUAAAAAUGGAAUGAGCUGGUUUAAUGAACCACUCUGUAUAGUGAUGAUAGUGAAACACGGAAACCUCGUAAAAAAUAAUUUUGGCGUACCAUACUCGUUAGGAUAAUAUUAUGCUUACGUGUUUUUAAUGACAACAUUUUGUAUUCUUUUACAGAGUGUUUGGUAUCGUUUGAUCCACCCACGGACCGAGUGCAUCACCAUCACCACAACCACCAGCAGUUGCACCAUCACCAACGGCAGAUCGCUCAGAUUGCGGCGGGGGAUCAUCACCACCAGCUGAACCACCUGAACCAUUUGAACCACCUGAACCAUCUCAACAAUCUCAACAACGGCCGGCACACCGGCCCGAUCGUCCGUCGUUCCGGUAGCGGUGCGGGUCAUCCAGACGGUACGGUGUCCAAGCACUUUACCGGGCCGGGUCGGCCGUCGCGUAACGGAGGCAACGGGGGCGUCGGCGGCGGACGUCGGGGCGCCGGCGGGGGUGGCGGUAUCCGGGGCGGAGGUGGCGGUGGCGGCGACGGCGUCGGUCUGCAACUGUCCGUGAACCCGGGCGAUUGGUUCCGGUGGUUCCGGCGGAAACGCGGCGCCGUGCUGCCGCCGGACGCCGUGCCGUCCAAUCAGAACGCCGUCCGUGCCAACCAUUACACGGUCGAGGAAGCGGCCGUGCCCGUGGCGGUGUACGCGUCCGUGGUCGGCGGUGGCCUGCAAGACGACGGUCCGCCGCUGCAUCACCAGCCGCCGUCGUCCGCGGUCGCCGACGACGUGCUGUACACCGAACUGGAUCGGGUGCCGACACCCGCGUACCACAACGCCGGCUACGCGUUCGACCAGCACAGCAGCGCGUACUACUCGGACAUGUACGAGCCGAUCGACAACUAUCGCCACAAUCACCACGCCAAUCACCACAGCAGUCAGCACCAGCGGCAGAACUCGCUGCCGUCCGACUACGUCUGACGGCACAACAACGGCGCCGGCGCGCACACCGCGGCGUGCGGCUGCUGCCGUCCAGUCCCGUCCGGUCGCCGCCGCCACCGCCGUCGCCGUCACAAUCACCUUCGCCGACCGUCGCCGUCAUCACCCGGUCCCGCCGCCGCGGCCGGCGGCGCAUACGACUGCGCCUAGACACGCGCCGCCGUUGUUUUGAAACCGGUGAGUUUCGCGUUUAGCGUUUUGUAAUUACGCGCGCGCGUGUUGAAAACCCCUUUGAAAAAACGGUACGGCGCCGUACGCGAGACUCGCGUAUUAUAAAUUACGUAUUCGUGCAUUUAGAAGGUUUAGAUUGAAAAACGCGAUAAAAAUAAAAAAAAAAAAAAAAUCGUCGCCGUCGUAUAAUCGUUUAGACGCGUGCAACGCCCUUAGCCGCGAACGGGCGCCGGGGUUUUUCUAUCGGUGUUUUUUUUUUCUUUUCGGUUAUAUAAAUAUCGUUAUCCGAGCUCGGCGAAAAACAAACACUCGACGCGGGGUACCGGGCGCUCGCGACCCGUACGAUUCUAUUUUUUUUUUUUUAUAUAAUUUUUACGACCUCCCGGAGUACGUGCGGAGUAGUGUGUAAUACGGAGAAUCCGGAAAAAUAAAUGAAUAUCGUAUGGGUAGGUACGCGUGUACGCACUCCGACGACGAAAUAAUUGAUUUCGUGCACGGUGCGCCUGUGUACACGUGCAUUAUUGUGUGCGCGCGGGUUUUUUUGUUCUGUUUUUGAAAGGAUUAAACGGAACAAACGACGCCGACGCUACCGGGGCAAACAGAGAUAACGGAGGGAAAAAAAUUGAUACGCGCGUUUUGGCCUUAACGUAUCGUAUAUAAUACCGUGUAAUGAUAACGUAGAAAAAAAAAGAAGAUUAUAACACACGGCCGACAGUAUAAUUAUUAUUAUUUCCGAACGGUUGACUUGCAUUCCGUAAUCAUUUUUUUUUUUUACGCGGCCGGUUUCCGUUUCCUACGGUUGUUGCGUGCGUUUUCUGCGUCGUUUGGGUUUUUUUCAAAGAAGUUAACGGGGAUCGAAAUUCCGUGAUCUCCUAAGUUUCGCGUCAGUGUCGGCGGCAUGUGCCGUUUCGGAGUUUCGGAGCUUUUACCGAUCGCGCCUACCGUUUUUCCGCUCAAAUUUUUGCUCGUUUUGUUUUUUACUCUCAAUCUCUUAAAGCGGUGUUCGGGGGUAUGCGCGUCGUUUACGGAGACAUUCGACUUUGAUGUACGGUAUUGAUGACAACGCGCGAGUACGUAACACCUCUGGGGUCUGAGAUGACCCGUGACGCAUCGAACGGAUAAAGUUCCGAAAUUCAAAAUGGACACUAUACAAAACAAUCUUGAUAUGUACUCGAGUUUGAUCGAAACGUACAGAGGUUUAAAUGUAUUUAACGUGCGCGUUUUUUUCCCGUACUGCCCGUCAACAUAACAUGUUUGGCUCGCAGCCCGACGGCCUAAAACAUUGUUAUCGCGUAUCUUUCGGUCGCGUUAUCUGGAGCGUUUUGACGGUUCUACGCUGUACGAUAAAUUUAUCUAUGCGCAACAACAAUGUGGGCGAUAUUAAAAUUCGUUGUUUUUAGUGAAACCGAAAACGGAAUUUAAUUAAGGUAUUGUUGUUUCAAUAUAAUAUUAAAAGCACGAUAUCGCGUUGACGGCGACGUAUUAAAUUAUCAAAAAGAUAUUCGCGAAUACCUCCGCGGCUUUCGCAAAAUAUUUCAUACUUGUUACAUACCUAUAUCGUCGUCGCAUCAUGUUAUGCGUAGCAUUUUCUCUGUGCGGACGUUAACGUGUAUUUUUUACAAACAAAUAUUUUGAAUUCCGAUCGGAACGUUAUACUCCGUAUUAUGUUAUAGAAAAAUUUAGUAUUCAAAAUACCGAACACGGAAAAGCACGGUCCUGUGUGGUCGUAUCUACGAAAUGUAACGUAUUUUUUUUUUCCCCUUUCUACUAAACUCGAUAAUACGACCGGUCGGUGUUUAUAUAUUGUGUACAGAAUGCGUAGACGCGCUGCCUGUUUCGAAAACACGCCACGCAACGAUCUAACUACCGGAAUUCUCAAAAUUGUAAUAUUAUUAUACAAUAUCAUUAAUAUCUUUUUCAACGAAAAAAUUCUCAAACCGUUAUUGAAACGUAUCGUCGACAAAAUACGAUUAUUGUGCGUUUUUUCCCCGCUUUUUUUUUCACACGUUUUCGACCAGAAAUUUCGCUCCUGUACAUCAGGGGCGGUUUCUGGUAUCGAAUUUCGUCUGGUUGGUGGCGUUAGGGAUGCCAUUUCUUGAAUUUGCUUGUUUUUAUUCUUGUGCCGGAAAAACGUUGGGGGAAACGGACAUAUUUGUACAAUAACGGUUUUACGCAGUUGUUCUUUGUUAUUUUUUUUAUUUCAAGUGAAAAAUAAUCGUAGGUGCCCGUGUCCAAAUACACUCAUUAUAUUAUAGGACUUUCUACACGUAGUGUGGUACAAUUUUAAAAAUAUUUUAGCGUCCCUUUUAAUCUUAGUCAUUUAUAAGUAUUGGUUUUUUUUUUUUUUUUAGGGGUGUUUAAGCUAACAAAAAAUAUUGUAUUUUUAUCGGCGUUUUAAGUUCAAAUUUACAUAGGUUGAAAAUCGUUAAAAAUACAAACGGUUGUAAUUUUAUUGCAGUGUAAUCACAAAUAAAUACUGUUUUAGAAAAAAAUGUUUUUUUUUUUUAUAUUUAAACCGACGUUUAUUUUAAUCUUCGGAUCCCGCUCAAAAUCGUUUUUCGUUUGCAAUGAUAUUUACAUUCAGUGUUAUACAUUUUGUAAAGAGACACAGUUUUAGUUUAAAUAGAAAUUCACUUUAUACUCUUUGCCCAAAAAAUGACAUACUUAAAAGUGGAAUAUUUUGUCACGGCGGGUUGGCGGAAAUUAUUGAAAAUUACAACACCGAAAUGUAUUCAAACUAAAAUUUCAUUUCUUCGUAGAACAUUUUAAUAAAUAGGUUGCCAUUUGAAAAUCAAAAACGAAGUCGUGAUGAUUUCGCCUCCGAACAUAAUAUGAUGAAAAAAUUAUAAUUUUGCGAUAUUCUAAAGCUGAACGUUAUUAAAUUUUCCAAACGAAAAAAACUUAAAAGGACAUUAUACCCGCAUCUACUGUCACAGUCAGAGGGAAUGUCAUAGGGUUUUUGUAUUAUUCAACAUAUAUACAACUCCGUAUAAACGAUACAAAAACGGUUUCAAUUUUAAACUAAUUUAAAUAAAUAUAACUCUUUUAAUUGUUCAUAGUUUAAAAAACACCUAUGACAUUCAAUCAAAAAUAUCGAUAUCUAUAAAUUUCACAAUAGAUGCUUUGACUCUAAAAUCAAAACUAAGUUAGAUAUUCUUCGUACGCAUCGUUUUUUGUGUGUUACCCGGUACGGUUGGACCGAGACAGUAGACGCGGGUAUAACAUUCUCUGUAGUUGACGCGUAACAUGUGUUUAGAGUAAAUCGGUCUGUUUUCAGACUUUACGGUGAGAACAUUAUAACUGUAAAUAUCUGUGUUAUUUUAAUUUUCUAGUGAGGCACAAAGUUCAAAGAAUUUCGAAUUGUUAUUGUUUUACGUACUACUCGGAUUUCAUUUGAGAUUAUUAAAAAUAAUCGAAGCAGUCUCGCGAAUAUUUGGAUAAUAGAUCACAGCACGUAAUAUAUUAUACCGUGCCAUAUCUUUGCUAUAUCGUAUAGACACGAAGUCAGCACGUCAUGCGGGCGCGUGACGUCCUCUUAAUUACACUUUCCGAGAUAACGAACGAUGUGCGUGUCUCUGUGCGUUAUAUCGAUCGCCCUUUAUAACAAUAAUAAAAAAUAAUAAUAAUAAAAAUCUCGUUUACGAUUAGGUGUGUAUGUGGAUAUAUUGUAUAGCGCUGUUUAAAUUGUUAAAAAAACAACGGUAACGGCCCGUAUAUUGGGUCGCGCAAUAAUAAAUAAAUGAUAAUAAAAAAAAAAAAAUUUUAAACGGUAUCGGCCGGGUUAUAAAACGCGUAAUUACAAUAAUUAUCAUGACGUAUGAUCGUGGUCGCCACCAUAUUUGUGUACAGUAUUUUCGGUGGCCCGCAUGCGUAUGCGUUACCUAAGCGCAUUUUUCAAUUGAACACCGUAUCGUGUUAACGCGCUAUUUAGUAAAAUACGACGACGGUAAUUAAAAAAUAGAAAAUCGCGUCGGAGCUGGGGUCGACCCCCGACGUGUAGAUAAACACAUGCCGUACCUAUGUGUUGUACAUAAUAAAUUAUCGUCACUAAUAGGAUUGCGGAAUUCUCGAGCUCUAAAAAGCUCUAAAAUGUAAAAAAAAAAAAAGUAAACAAACGCAUUUAAAACCAUCCCCGAAAACUAGACUGCUAUCGAUAUGUUCUUUUAAUUUCGAAAAAAUGCGCUAAAUGCGUUAAAAAAAAAAAUUUAAAAAAAAAAAAUUCUAUCGCGUAGUUCCCGACGGUUAUAUAAUUUGUGUAUAACUACCGGAAUAAUUAUUAUUCGCCGGUAAUAAUAUUUAUAAUAUUAUUAUGCGAGUCACACGCGAAUGAGUCGGAAUUUUAUUUAAUUAAAAAAAAAAAAAAAAACAGUAUGCCCGGUGCGGUCGCCCGAUCGCACGUUUACAGACCCUGUCCGAGUUCGGUUCACACCGGGGGAAUUCAGAGGAUAUUUUCGAAAUAUGACUUAUCGCUCUGCACGGAGGUCGUAGGAUGUGAACCUAAAACCCAGCCGAUGAAAAUAAGCCACCGCGGGCGGUCUUUUAUCGAUCCAAACUAGCGGAUUUUGGGUUUCACGGUGUGAACAAAACGACCGUGUUACGCAGUACAAGAACCGAAAAUUAUUCGCACCUACGUUCGCGGCGUGUCGGAAGUCGCCUGGGACUUUGAGAGCGGCCCCGAGGCCCUAUCUAAGAGGGACGGGGUGCUAAUUUAAAGUUCCGAAAUCCGCGUUUAGAACGAAAUUCGUAUCUACGGUUGAUAUUGUCGGUUCUCCGGUUGUCGGACUUCGGCAUGUCCGGGUUUUUUUUCCGUCGCCAGUCCAAACGCGGAUAAUCGCGUUUUAACGUAGUCGGCGUGGCGUCCUGGGCGCGGGCCCGAAACCCAUCGGCGCUGGGGGCGACGUAAAACCGCGCUUGGUCCCGAUUUCGGUUAGGGCGCGCAAUCGUGCCGCCCGGCUGCGGCGCUACGGAAUACGCGUUUCGAUCGUACACGCGGCGACGUUAAAAUAUUUCACCGCGCAUCGUUAUGGUAUUGCGGUGCGCAGUUUAUCGGCGGCGGCCGGUGCGUGCGCCGCGACGUGGGUAAUAAUAACGACAUGUUAAUUUUCCGGCGUUUCGGUCGGCGAUAAUGUAAUAACAUUAUAAUUUACGAUGCACCGCAGUGCCCGGGCGACACCGAAUUGUAACGCGAGUUACGCGUGGAGCGGGGGCCCCGGAAAGAUCAGGACAGACGCGAGUAAAAACAGAUUUCUUUGCGAAUGAGCGAAAAAAAAAAAAAAAAACCCCUACGAAAACGGGAAAUUUGCGAAACACUACACGAUGCUGGAACGUUUAAAACGUAUAUAUAUGUAUCCUGAUCGACAAUUUGUACGAUAUUACGCUUGUUGAAUGUUGUUGUGUUGUAUAUGGAAAAAAUAAAAAAAUAAAUAAUAAUAUUAUUUUAACGCGACGGACGUUCGCGAAUCGUAGAAGAAAAAAAAACUGCUUUCAAACACUGCUAGUGUAGCAGUAGUGAUUCGGGUGAAUUGUGUCGGGAGGGUAAUAAAGCUAAAAAUACCGCGCGAAAUAAUACAGCGCCCAGUGUUUCGAAGUGUUGUGAUAGGGUGGGACGGUAAAAAAAAUUCAAAUCGUCUUUCAUACAAAACCGUUGACAACGAUACCGCUUUAUAAAGCGGCGUGUUUUUUUUCUUUUUUUGCCAACGAUACAACGGGUUCGUCCCGACGCGGGAUUUGACGAGACCGUUUGCGGACUGAUGUGUGAUGGUUAUCGGUUUACUGCGCGCACGUAGAUUCGGAGUUUGGGCGCGAAAGUGCCGGAAAGCGUUUCGGGCCGACUCUCUGGAUUGUCCGCGGUCGUGGAACGCAGGUGAAAUAUGAAACCCGGCAAGAACGGAUCUCGCGUCUCGCGGCGAAACGUUUUUUACGCGUGUGUUUUGAAAUUUAAAAAUCUGAUUGACGGCGGGUCCGUUUCGGCCGUCCGAAACCGAUCCCGAAACCGGACAAACGCCGUCCGGCGGUUCGGGCGCGCGUUUUACCUGCGUGUCGCACGCGCCCGCCGGUUCCGCGACCGUUCGAACAAACCCAACGUGUUCUGUACCGCUGUAGCGUUAGCGAUCGACUUUUGAAAACGCUGCUAUGCCGAUGGCUGUCCGCGAACACGUUGUAUACCCGAGUGUCAUAACGUCGCUCGUGUUUUUUUUUCGUAUUACGUUAUCAACGUCGUCGUUAAUGAUUUUUUUCGUUUUUAUUAUUUACAGAAUCUUAGUCGUGGUAAUAACAAUAUUGCACACACACACACACAUAUCCCGGAAUAAUAUCCGCAACGUUGUUGCGGUUGUUGAGUGUAAGCGUGUUCGGGCGAUGCGGUUUCCAGCGAGAUCCGGUUACCGUACGCGGUAACCGGAUAAUAAUUACAACAGCGACAACAAUACCAUUGCAGUUUGGCGCGCGGGCAGUAUUGUCUCGGCCAAGGGUGAGUGGUGUAACGAACGGUUACCGUUUACCGAAAACCGGGGCGAGGAACGCGGACUAAAUUUACAGCGCAGCCGUUUGCGCGGACCAGCGGACAUCGUUGCACUGGAAUAUUACGCCGCGGUCGAAAACAAGCAUCCGAAAAGCGACAGCCGUCCGUUGUCACGGACCCCUGGACCAGUGGUUUUCGACCGUUUGCGCCUUCGAAAAUCGUUCGACAGAACGCUGUGUACUCAAUCAGUCUUCGUUUUUCGCCUCGAUCCGCCGACCAAACGGCACUUCUGUGUUCUUCUCUACGGACGAAUGGACCAGCGAAUCAGAAUUCCGCUUGCGCCCGGCGAUCGCGCCGGCCGGUUACCCGCACAUUUUAUUGAAUUACACUGCAACAAUGUAUACGAGUAUUUUCGGUAAAAAUCAUUACAAUUAUUAUUCCCCUCCCCCCCUCCCCCUCCCCAAUUUUACUUUUAAAAAUGUAUAAUUAUCACGGUAGGUUUUUUUUUUUCUAUGUGUCUCUCUUAAGUGUUUUAAUUAUUAUUAAUUAUUAUAAUAGUUGUUGAUUGUUUAAAUUAUUAUUAUUAUUAUCAUUAUUUUACGCGUGUAUAUAAACAAUAUUUUCCAGUGAUAAUAAUUAAGUUGUACAGUAUACAACGUGUAAUAUAUUUUUUAGUAUUAUCGAUUAUUAAUAUGUAUAAGUAUACACAAUGUAUGUUAUGUUUAGUUGCCCGCGGUACUUAAACGACGAUCUUUAGUAAAAAUAAUAAUAAUUAAAAAAAAAAAAAAAAAAUGUAAAAUUAUUUCCGUGCAUUAUCAGCGAUAGCGAUAUCACGCGAUAAUGUAUUAUUUUUCUACGUGUACCUGUAUUAUACGCAUAUUAUUAUCUGUAUAAUAUUAUACAGGGCGUUUCUGCAGGAUUUGAUUGAUAGGAAAUAUUGUCAAAUCCCGCCGAUGCACUCUGUGUAUACGAUGAUAAUACGAGACUGUACAACACAAUUUGGGAAUACUUUGGUUAUAGUCUUUGUUUCCCUCUCUACAUUAUUAUAUUUUACCUAUAUGUCUCCUCUUUUUCUCUCUUACACACACACACACACACACUCUCUCUUUAUUUCUCUUUUUCUCUUUUUUUUUCUCUCUUUCUCUCUCUUUCUCUCUCUCUCUCAUCACUCAUUAUUUCGUACUCACAAUUUUUUUUUUUUAAAUGUAUGAUAGAAUAAUAAUAAUAACAAUUUGUUGUUAUAAAUAAUCGUAUAUUAUGUAACGGAUAAUUAUUAUAUUUGUACGCUGCAGAAAAAUAAAACAGUUGAUAUGCUUUCCGUUGUGGAAAAAAAAAAUCAUUGCGUUUUAUUGUCCGAAUCAAUCGACUCACUCAACCGUCGUAUAUUAACAAUAAUAAUAAUAAAUUAAAUAAAAAUACACCGUCGUCUCAGGCGCAUCACAUUUACCAAUCCUCUAAAUAAAUUAACGCGACAGCAUUUGGAAAUUUGUUGGAUGCACUAGGACCGUUCGUGAAGCAGGGC